AUUUUGCAACAACAACUGAUUCCAUGCAUGGAUGUUGUAUUGCAGCAACACAACAUAGCGCAUGGAAGAUCACAAGUUUUGCAACAAAGUACUUACCAGCUGUUGCAAGAAUUGUGUUGUCAGCACCUAUGGCAGAUCCCUGAGCAGUCGCAGUGUCAGGCCAUCCAAAAUGUUGUUCAUGCUAUUAUUCUGCAUCAACAACAAAAACAACAACAACAACCAUCGAGCCAGGUGUCCUUCCAACAGCCUCUGCAACAAUAUCCAUUAGGCCAGGGCUCCUUCCGGCCAUCUCAGCAAAACCCACAGGACCAGGGCUCUGUCCAGCCUCAACAACUGCCCCAGUUCGAGGAAAUAAGGAACCUAGCGCUACAGAUGCUACCUGCAAUGUGCAAUGUCUACAUCCCUCCAUAUUGCACAAUCGCGCCAUUUGGCAUCUUCGGUACUAACUGAGAAGAAAAUAACUCUAGUACUAGAUAUAUGAAACACCGUUUUCUCAGUCCAUGGUUUGGUCAUUGUAGCGUCGAAAAAAUAAUGUGACAUGCACUAUCAUAUAAGAAUCCGAACUAUACUAGUUCAAACUUGGGAAUAAAAGACAAACACAUGUCUUGUCUACAUAUUUAUGUUGCAUCUAUUUAUAUAUUAAAAGUAAUAUAAGGUGAACCAGGAGCAAGGUAAAUAUGCUAGAAAAUUGCACGUUAAUUAGAAAUUACUUGCCCUCGAUCUGGUAAAUCUUAACAAAUAGAAUUAUCUUGACCGUUAGAUUUAUAUAACAUAUAUAAUGCUCUGGGCCUCCAACGACUGUACGUGACACAUCUGAACGAACAUAUGGUAAAGAAAAUAUAUUUGGUAAAUGGUGGGCCUGUUUAAAAAGAGAACUCACGUACAUGCACCAACUAAGAAAAACACAUACAUGUAAACGGGAAAAGGAUGAGAUUUUCUCACGUACGUGCUCCCUGGCUCCACCCCGUUGAAAAAAUAUACAUCUGGAGGCCACUUUGUUUCCUCAUCAAAAAAACUUACGUUAAAAAGAUUGCAUGCAUCCCAGGGAAAAUAGUCAAGAAGAAGUCGGACUUUUCCUUACAAAAACAAGGAACGUGUUAAGUUGACUUCAAAGAAAAAAGGAACAUGUUAAGUUAAAAAAAAACAAGAAACCUGUUAAGUUAGAAAAAAACAAGGAACGUGUUGUCCAAGGAAAGAUAUGUGUCAAAUCUUACAAAAAAAAAGAAUACACACACGUACGUUCAUGCACUUGGAAAAUAGAAAAAAAGGAACAUCACGUAUGUAUACACUUCGGAAACUCAUUACAUGACCAUGUCUGAUAUACUCCUCUAAUGCUUAAUAUUAGUGCCUAAUAAUUUAUAUUUAAAAUUUAAUUUACUGAUCAAAUAUCCCCACUGUUUAAAUUUUAAUUUGGCACAUUGUUUGGCUAUAGUAUGAACCUGAAUUUCCUCUUAUUAUUAUAUAUCAUGGUAAUAAUCCAAAGGCGACUAAUCUGCACCGGCGCACCGGCGCAAUCAAUUCGGCUGGACACAGCGCGGCCGUUUGAUUAGAUUGCAUUUAACCAUCAGAUCUGGAAUCGUUUUCUUUCCAAUUAAACGGAUUCAACCAAACAGCAGAGGGGAAAACAAAGCAGCGCCGCCGCCAACACUAGCCAUGGACGACCGAUGUAGCAAAACCUUGAAGAACCGCCGCCGGUCGCCACCCUCGCCUCUGGUCGCUGCCCUCGCCGUCGGUCACCGCCGGUCGCCGCCCUCGCCGCCUGCGUUUCUCAUCGGCUUCAUGCAUGCAACAACAUGCACUCGUGGUUGCAGGCUUGCAUCUCCGGCUCCGGGGACAUGGCCGCAUCUCCGGUAGCGCCGGCCGCCGGCCGCAGCACCUGUCGUUGUGGUCGCGCUGUACCUCGCCGUGUGCCCUCCCGAGGCUCUUGCUGGUUCCAACAAAAAACGAUACCUGUUGUAGCAAAAAAGUAUCGCUUCCAGCAAAAAAGCUUACCGCUACAGCCCGCCAUCGUCAUUGUAGCAAAAAUGUUAACCCGAUGUAGCUUCUGUGGUUGCCGACUGCAGCAAAAAAUGACAUGGCUGUAGCAAAACACAAAAGAAAAACACUGGCCGGCCGCUGUGUAUGGUGGUAACAAACCCUAUAGCCGGUGGUAGCGAAAAACUUCAUAGUGUGCUGCAAAAAAAUGUUGUCACCCGUCGUCGAGGUUGCAUCAUCUUCAUGAAUUAUGCCGCAAAAAAACGUUGUCGCCGGUAGUAGCAAAUGAAGCCGCCGGUAGUAGCAAAACAAGACACUGGUUCCAGCCAAAAAAAAAAUCAGCGACAGAACCUUUGGUUGGUUCCAACAAAAAAACUUGUCGGUUGUAACAUCCCUCGCCGCCGGAUGUAGCAUCUCCCGGGGCUGGUUGCAACACUCCAUAAAAAAAGUUGUCUAUGAGCGCAUCCAUGGUGACUGCUGCACCGUCAGCAAUGAGGGGAAGAGGAGGCAAUGAAAAUCAUUCGAGUCAUAGCUCCACAGGACGCGGCUGCAGCAUGGGGAGUCCAAAAAUCUGUCACAAGCAACAUGCGCCGCGCCAUCCUCCUGCGCAGGAGAGAGAAGAAAAAGGAAUAAGAGGAAGAAGAAAGGAAACAGGAGAAAGAAAAAAGAAAGGAUUGGUGGUUGGCUCAGGCAAUUAGUCAAGCGAGGGGCACGCGGGGCCGCAGGACACAGCGCAAUCGAACGAAGCGCGCGCGUCCGGGCGAAGACUCGGCCGGACUGCCGUCUGGAAACGUUUCCCUAAUCCAAAGGCUUUAUCUGAAUGACAAGUCGUCUGGGUUACCGGCUAACUAGAAAAAAGAUAAAUAUGCUAGAGAAUUCCAUAAUAAUUAGAAAUAUCUAGCCUUUAAUUAUGUAAACCAGAAAAUCACAACCGUUGGAUUUACUUUAAAGGUAAAUUUCUAUAAAUUCCCACCAUUGCCAGUAUGUAGAAACAUGUGCUGCUUCAAUUCUCCCAUAAUCACCAAUCAAUCAACAACACAAAACAUACCUCAGUUAAAAAAACUGAACAAAAAAAAGAAAAAAAGAAGAAAGGACAAGAUACACGCAUGUACACGACAGCCUUGGCUUGAAACACAUCAGUAGAUCAAGUGUCCGCCUCCCUUACACGUACGUCCCAUGAGGUUUACUAGCCUACCGCCGCCGCAUCAUGCCAUCCUCUCCUUUCAGCUCCCAUGCUCUCCAGCACCCUCAUUGCGGCGCCACUACUCGCCUAGGGAUAUUGCUGCUCAGACCGUGGAGCUUAACCACAUCAGCAUCAGCACGUAUGGGCCUCAUUAUACUGCAGCACGUAUUGCGCCCCCUUAAGUCCAGGUCUGUUUGCUGGCACAUAUGCUUUGGAAAUAGGCCACUAUGUUUGUACUUCAAAAUUGUUUCUGUAUUCUUGAGUGGUACAUCCUUUUAAGCGCCAGUUUUUUAUGUUAAUUCAUGCUGACAACACUUAACCUAGCCUUUCAUGUUCACGUACUAAAUACAGGAGCAAGUAAAAACAACAGACCACCUAAUUGCUCUGCAUGUACUACAUAGGAAAAUUUGUCAUGUUCUACGAUCGCACCAUCCCACCCUUCUCUCUUGGUAUGGGCGCCAAUUGAGGGAUUGAUAAAACUGAAACGAAGACGUCACAGGGCUGGAAGUACCGCUAGCCUGGUUUGCACUGCAACCUACCCAACGCCAUCAGAAACUAGCAACUGAGUCAGGUGUUGAUCGAUUCUCUCAAAUUGCUCUCAUGUAAGUACUACCCCUUGCAUGUGCGUACAUACCUUUGUUGCAUUCUCAAACAGAUAGAACAUGUUUGAUCGGUGCAUGGCUAUUUUUCAUCACAUGACAUCCAGAUAACAAGCAUGAAAGGACUACAUUGGAGAUCAAAAAAUAUUGGUUCCUGGCUAGAGUACCACUACCUAUGGACUUGUCUCCAUAGAAUUUGUUCCCAAGAUGUUAUUUUAAUUAAUCUCUUUAGCUUUCUUCCAUUGCAAACGGUGAUGUGCAUCAUGGUAUAUACGUGACCAUCUUGCACAUGUAUACACAAGAGGCUCAGAUGGAGGUGCUGGAUUCUGGACGAGGGAAUAUGAAGCAGGAGUGAGCGAAGAGUAAAUAAUGGUGGGAGUACCGAUUGGUGUUAUGAAGAAAAAUGCCAUCCAAAGAUUGAUUAGUGUCAUGGAAGAUUAAUUUCUGAAUGCGAAUAUAUAUGUUACAUUGGUUUGGAUCUUUUUGAGAUAAUUCCACCUAAAUUAGGUUCUUUCUUAUUUCAUAUGUAUACCUUAUUUCAGUAAAAGUUCACAACGAACUUAGUAGGACAAAUAUAAUUUUGUUUGUUCUUUCUGUUGUCCGCCACCAAAGCUCAAUUUGAACUCUCUAGAAAUGGACAAUGAUUUAUGCAUUCUAUAUCUUCUUGAUUGAUUAGCCAUGACAAGGAAAUAAAAGGAUUGACUGAUAUAGCAUAACUUUGGAACGAUUAGAGGUUACUACAAAUAAGAGUAGUGUCUGUUGGAAUUUUGCUAGUAGGCCUUUGGCCCAAAGCCCAACUAAAAUUCUGAAAUUCUCUUGGCUCAUUUAUGCACACAUGUGAGUUGAGUGAGUGAGACUAAAGUUUAGUCCCACCCUGGAAGUUGAGAGAGAGUUGCACCUCUUUAUAAGGUGAGCUCUUCUACCACUUGUAUGAGCAUGAGAAGAGGAGACCUACACGCGCGCUCCUCCUCCACGCUCGCCACGCCUCGUCGCGCCGCGCCGUGCCGCGGGUUGCGGGAUUGAGCCGAGCCGAGGACGUUUUCUAUAUUUUUGCUGCUCGGGAAAAAUUAAUGAGUCAUUAAUUAAUAAUUAAUGGACACAUUAAUUACUGAACCGUUUCCGAUUUUUUUGGAUCGUGACGACUCGGACGUGGGGUUUACUCCCAGGACCUACCCGGCCCGCACUAUAUAGUCAGGAAGACGUCUACCCUAGCCGCCGCCGCUUCGUAUGGUUUCUCACCAUCGUUACAGAUCAUUGCGCCGCCAAGCAAGUUUUCUCCAUCCCUCCUUUCGGCGUGCACCGGGAGAAGGGACAGCAGACCUCCGGAACCCCGCCUCUCGUGAUCCUAUACGGGAGAGGGGCGAUCAGGUUUUUGGGGAGCGCACUCGCAUGACUGCUGGCAGCGACGACUUCGCAAACGACGACUUCUUCCCCGACCUCGGCAACCUCAUCCUCGACGACAUGGGCGACAACGUCAACGCCGGCGGUGCUACACCCACUGCACCGUAUGUUAUUCUCUCCUUCUUGUUCGAGAUCAUGGUAGAAUUCAUGUUUCUAGUAUAUGUGCCCUAGAUGUGAUCUGUUCAUCUACUAUGGUAGUUCGCAUGAUUAGUUUAAUCUCUGUUAUUGCUGUCAUGAUCUAUUUCCUAUUUAUUCGGAUUAAAUCUCGUAGUAAUUUUCUCAUUUUUCCAACAAUCCAAAAACCUGAUUAUAGGAAAUUUACUCCGAGUGGUUUUGCUGCGCAUCUGAAAGCCGCUUGCCUUUAAGGGGGCGCAAUAUAAGAGGUGGCGCACCAGAGCAGUCUACUGGUUUCAGAUCAUGGGCUGCUAUGACGCCACCAAGGGCAAGCCUGAGGGCGAUCUUAAUCCAGCACAGCUGGAAGCUUUCAAGAAGAUCAAUACCCUCUUUAAAGGCACGCUUCUGAGUGUUCUUGAUGACUCCAUUGUAGAUUCGUAUAUGUCGUUUGACAAUGGCAAGAACAUGUGGGCUACGCUCGAGGCCAAGUUUGGUGCCUCGGACGCCGGCAGCGAGUUGUACGUCAUGGAGCAAUUCUAUGACUCCAAGAUGACUGAUGGGCGCCCUGUUGUACAGCAGGCUCAUGAGAUACAGUUGCUCGCAAAAGAACUUGAGUACUUCAAGUGUGUGUUGGCGAACAAAUUUGUUGCCGGAGGCAUCAUUGCCAAGCUUCCACCUUCGUGGAACAAUUUUGCUACUUCCCUGAAACACAAGAGACAGGAGUUUUUCGUUGCGGAUCUCAUUGGUACUCUUGAUGUUGAAGAGAAGGCGAGAGCAAAGGAUACACGUGCUUGAGUUGCUAAGGGAGGUUCUAGUGCCCACAUGGUACAGAAGAAGAACUUCCAGCCCAACAAGUUCAAAAACAACAAGAACAAAACUUAGGGCAAAGGCAAGUUCGAUACAAAGAACAAGCCAUCACAUUCUACCAACUUCAAGAAGAACUCUCAUAAGAAGGGGAAGGGACUUUGCCAUGUCUAUGGUGAUCCUAAUCACUGGGCUCCGAAGUGUCCCAACCGCUUUGAGGAGCGCGAACAUGAGAAGAGCGGCAAGUCUGCUAAUGUUGUCAUCGGUGAUACUGAUAUGAAGGAAUCAGGGUACGGUAUUUUUCCUACCAUCCUUUCAGUAUUCCAAACCCCUGACUGGUUAAUUGACACCGGUGCCAAUGUACAUGUUUGUGCUGAUGCCUCCAUGUUUUCUUCUUACCAGGCCACUGGGACUUCUCCUAUGCUGAUGGGGAACGGGUCACAUGCCAUCGUUCGAGGUGUUGGUACGGUCGAUCUGAAGUUUACUUCGGGGAAGACCGUGCGUCUGAAGAACGUUCAUCAUGUGCCGUCCAUCAAUAAAAAUCUCGUUAGCGGUUCCCGUUUAUGUCGAGAUGGUUUUAAGUUGGUUUUCGAAUCCAAUAAAGUUAUAAUUUCUAAGUAUGGACAAUUUGUUGGAAAAGGCUAUGAGAGCGGAGGCUUGUUUCGCCUGUCUUUGUCAGAUAUUUGCACUAAAGUUAUUAAUAAUGUUUGCCACAACAAUGAGUCUGAUAUUUGGCAUUCACGACUUUGUCACAUUAACUUUGGUUGCAUGACGCGGCUAGCCAAUAUGAAUUUAAUUCCGAAAAUCUCUACUGUCAAAGGAUCUAAGUGCCAAGUAUGUGUGCAAGGUAAGCAACCUCGCAAGUCCCAUAAGACUGCAGAGGCAACAGACUUGGCGCCACUAGAGCUUAUACAUUCUGAUAUUUGUGAGAUGAAUGACGUGUUGACAAAAGGUGGAAAGAGAUACCUCAUGACGUUGAUUGAUGACUCCACUAGAUAUUGUUAUGUGUAUCUUAUGAAAUCAAAAGAUGAGGCUUUGGCUUUCUUCAAAAACUAUAGAGCUGAGGCAGAGAACCAACUUGAUCGAAAAAUUAAACGGCUUAGGUCCGAUCAUGGUGGAGAGUAUUUUUCCAAUGAAUUUGAUCUAUUUUGUGCGGAACAUGGUAUAAUCCAUGAGAGGAUGCCUCCCUACUCACCCCAGUCAGAUGGGGUAGCCGAAAGAAAGAACCAAACUCUAACUGAUAUGGUUAACACCAUGUUAGACACUUCGGGUCUAUCCAAGGAAUGGUGGGGGGAGGCGCUAAUGACUGCGUGUCAUGUCCUAAACCGAGUUCCCACAAAGCAUAAGACCAUGACUCCAUUUGAGGAAUGUUAAAGGAAAAGGUUGAAACUCUCUUACCUACGUACUUGGGGUUGUUUGGCGAAAGUCAAUAUACCAAUUCCCAAGAAGCGCAAGCUUGGACCAAAAAUCGUGGGUUGUGUUCUUCUUGGCUAUGCUUUUCAUAGCAUCGGCUAUAGAUUUUUGAUAAUAAAAUCUGAGGUAUCCGACAUGCAUGUUGGUACGAUUAUGGAGUCGAAUGAUGCAACUUUUUUUGAGGACAUAUUUCCUAUGAAGGAUAUGUCGAGUUCAUCAAAUCAGGAGACACCUACUCCAUCUAGUGAGGAAUUCAUUGUAAUUCCUGAACCCACCAUUGCGAUGGAACACAUUGAGAAUCCUGUUGAGGGUGACAAUGGAACUCUUGUGAGGAGUAAGAGACAUAGGACUACAAAGUCCUUUGGUGAUGAUUUCAUUGUGUACCUCGUGGAUGACACACCCAGGACUAUUUCAGAAGCCUGUGCAUCUCUUGAUGCUGACUACUGGAAGGAAGCUGUACGUAGCGAGAUGGAUUCCAUCUUAGGUAACGGAACCUGGGAGAUCACUGACCGUCCUUAUGGGUGAAAACCUGUAGGAUGUAAGUGGGUGUUCAAGAAGAAGCUUAGACCUGAUGGUACGAUUGAAAUGUACAAGGCACGGCUUGUGGCCAAGGGUUAUACCCUGAAAGAAGGUGUAGACUUCUUUGAUACUUACUCACCCGUGGCUAGACUGACCACAAUUGGGUGCUACUAUCACUUGUUGCCUCACAUGGUCUUCUCGUUCAUCAAAUGGACGUUAAGAACGCUUUCCUCAAUGGAGAGUUGAAGGAGGAAAUUUACAUGGAUCAGCCAGAUGGUUUUGUAGUACCUGGUUAGUAAGGAAAGGUGUGCAAGUUAUUAAAGUAUUUAUAUGGCCUUAAACAAGCUCCUAAAGAGUGGCAUGAGUAGUUUGAAAGAACAUUAACUGCUACCGGCUUUGUAGUAAACGAUGGUGACAAGUGCGUGUACUAUCGCUAUGGUGGGGGCGAAGGAGUUAUUCUUUGUUUGUAUGUCGACGACAUAUUGAUCUUUCGAACCAAACUUGAUUUAAUCAAGGAGGUUAAGGAUUUCUUAUCUCGCUGUUUUGAGAUGAAGGAUCUAGGAGUAGCUGAUGUUAUCUUAAACAUCAAGCUGUUGAGAGAUGAGAAUGGUGGGAUCACACUGCUUCAGUCACACUAUGUGGAAAAGGUCUUGAAUCGUUUUGGGUAUAGCGACUGCACACCUUCUCCAACCCCAUAUGAUGCUAGCAUGUUGCAUCGAAAGAAUCGACGGAUUGCUAGAGAUCAACUGAGGUAUUCUCAUAUUAUUGGCUCGCUUAUGUAUUUGGCGAGUGCCACGAGGCCAAACAUCUCGUUUGCUGUUAGCAAGCUGAGUCGGUUUGUGUCAAAACCAGGAGAUGAUCAUUGGCAUGCACUUGAGAGAGUUAUGUGCUAUUUGAAAGGCACCGCGAGCUAUGGGAUUCACUACACCGGGUAUCCAAGAGUACUGGAGGGUUAUAGUGACUCAAACUGGAUAUCUGAUGCUAAUGAGAUUAAGGCCACAAGUGGUUAUGUUUUUACACUUGGUGGUGGCGCUGUUUCUUGGAAGUCCUGCAAGCAGACCAUCUUAAUGAGGUCAACUAUGGAAGCAGAACUCACAACAUUAGAAACUGCCACUGUUCAAGCAGUGUGGCUUCAUGAGCUCUUGAUGGACUUUCCUAUGAUUGAAGAACCAAUACCCCCUAUCCCAAUGAACUGUGAUAAUCAAACUAUGAUCGUCAAGAUAAAUAGUUCUAAGGACAAUAUGAAGUCCUCAAGGCAUGUGAAGAGGAGACUGAAAUCUGUCAGAAAAUUGAGGAACUCCGGAGUUAUUACGUUGGAUUAUAUCCAAACGUCAAAAAAAUUGGCAGAUCCCUUCACAAAGGGUCUAUCACGUAAUGUGAUAGAUAAUGCAUCGAUGGAGAUGGGUCUGAGACCCACCGCAUGAGUUGUCCAUAGUGGUAACCCACUCUUUGUGAUCGGAUAUCCCGUGAAGUAUAAGUGGGAGACAAGCUGUUGGUCAGCUGGGAGGAGAGUAUCCCUAUAUUACCUGUCCCACUCCAUGAAGAUGCAAUACUCUCCUAAUCUGCAUGGCAGGUUGAUACUUAUCUUAAUGUGUUCCAAGUGGCUUAUUCGGGUAAGCAGAGAUGUUGUCCUGCAGAACAUCUUCUGAGGAACACACCUAUAUGAAUUUGACUGUUAACGUCGCAGUCUGUGAGAAUUGGGUGUUCUCUAAUAAAUUCAUGAAAAGGCCCUGGAGUAUGACGUAUACGCUCCACCCGCAGGGAAGCCUUGCGGCAGCCCAGUAUCGGUCAAGAAUUUGUGUGAAACUAGUUGCGCAGAAAAUUUGUAGUUCAAGGCAUAGUCCACUAUUCAAGUUGUGAUCUAGUGUAGCAUAAAUCUCUAAGUGGAAGUUCAACUUCACAGUCUCCACUAAGCCCCGGUAUAUAAACAAUGUUUUGGAACUAAAUGAUGAGAUGUGCCAAUGAGACUUUGUGGGGGAUUGUUGGAAUUUUGCUAGUAGGCCUUUGGCCCAAAGCCCAACUAAAAUUCUGAAAUUGUCUUGGCCCAUUCAUGCACACAUGUGAGUGGAGUGAGUGAGACUAAAGUUUAGUCCCACCCCGGAAGUUGAGAGAGAGCACCUCUUUAUAAGGUGAGCUCUUCUACCACUUGUAUGAGCAUGAGAAUAGGAGACCUACACACGCGCUCCUCCUCCUCGCUCGCCACGCCACCCCUCGUCACGACGCGCCGCGGGUUGCGGGAUUGAGCCGAGCCGAGGACAGAGCUAUGCACAUUGUCUAUUUUUUGCUACCCGAAAAAAUUAAUGAGUCAUUAAUUAAUAAUUAAUGGACACGUUAAUUACUAAACCGUUUUCGAUUCUUUUGGAUCAUGAAGACUCGGACAUGGGGUUUACUCCCACGACCUACCGGGCCCGCAUUAUAUAGUCCGGCAGACGUCUACCCUAGCUGCCGCCGCUUCAUAUGGUUUCUUACCACCGUUCCAGAUCAUUGCGCCGCCAAGCAAGUCUUCUCCAUCCGUCCCUUCGGCGUGCAUCGGGAGAAGGGACAACAGGCCUCCGGAACCCCGCCUCUCGUGAUCCUGUACGGGAGAGGGGCGAUCAGGUUUUUGGGGAGCGCACUCGCGCGACUGCUGGCAGCGACGACUUCGCGAAUGACGACUUUUUCCCUGACCUCGGCAACCUCAUCCUCGACGACAUGGGCGACAACGUCAACGCCGGCGGUGCUGCACCCGCUGCACCUUAUGUUAUUCUAUCCUUCUUGUUCGAGAUCAUGGUAGAAUUCACGUUUCUAGUAUAUGCCCUAGAUGUGAUCUGUUCAUCUACUAUGCUAGUUCGCAUGAUUAGUUUAAUAUCUGCUAUUGCUGUCAUGAUCUAUUUCCUAUUUAUUCGGAUUAAAUCUCGUAGUAAUUUGCUCAUUUUUCCAAUAGUACCAUCUAAUAGAUGAUGUAAAUCUCCUCUAGUUUGACGUUGUUGAGCUAAUUUACAAAAAAAACCUCAUCAUUAUUGGACGUCCUUAACAGCUCAAGAACAAGUUGGGGUCGAACUAAUGGAUUUUACACUUUUACAUUAAAGGUUUAGCUAAAGCUAGCAGGUGUUUUUAAACCUGAAUUUUUUUCCUCCUGAAUUUCUUUGUAUUUUCUUAUUGACACUAUUUAUACAAUCAUCUGACAAAGAUUAGCUAAAGCUGUUUGUAGAUACGUUGAAACCUGAAAAGCUUCUUUGGUUAUCCUUUUAAUAGUUCUACGUUUAUUUUCUCAUAGGUCAUAAUUCUUAUGUAAUACCAAGAUGCAUUGUGGUAGUGUACAUGUGUUAAAUUCAGGUUGUUAUUCACAAUUUGCGACAAAAUUUAGCUCACGCUACAUUCAAAUAUGUUGAAAUGUGAAAGCUUUUUUUUCUUCUCCUUUCUACACCUUGCAUCGGAUUGCAUCCCUUUAGUUAUCCAACAUUUUGUACAACAUGUAGAGAUUAGGAAGUUCAUCAUAGUUUGUUUAUUUCGGUGCUAAUAAAUGUAUGAAAUCUGCAUUUCCAAGCUACUAGGACAAGUAAAAAAUAAUAAUUUUACUAUAGGAUUCAAAAACAGCAGUUCUGAAGUGCACUUUAUUUAUUUUUGAAAGUGAUCACAUUUUGUUUCAUUUUUCUAUAGACAAAUCUACUAAUACAUACUCACGAUAAAACUAUAAAAGUUCUAGUCCGCACAUUGGGCGGGCCACCCGGCUAGUUAGUCUAAAGAUAACAAAAUGAGUCUGGAAUUUGAAUUAAAUUGAAGUAUUUUCUUGGACUUUCAAAUUGAGUUUUAUUAAAGUAGUAAGGACUAUCCACAUCCUUGGCUUGCCCCUGAUCAAUUAUUUCCAGAGAAGCAUUCAAUUCAUCAAUCAAUUACAUUGAUUUUAGUGGCUGGUACUUCUCCUCAACAUCAGUAUAUUCACCGUGGCCACUCCAAAUCGGCAAGAAUGAGGUACCAGUGCUCUGGAGCAGUGCAAGCUAAUUGCUUCUCAUCUGAAGGGGUGCGGCCGCAGGAGAGGUAUUUCUGGUGGGCCAAGGGACUAAGAAGCGACUGUGGCAGCGGUAUAGACGCCCGCAAAGCCCCAUAAUUUGUUUUUGGUUUACAGGAAAAAUGCACAUCCAUACCAGCCUGGGGAAUAUAGGACCGUAUUGGAUGGAAAACCAUGUCCGGAUGGUUGCGAGCGGUUUAAGGGUUAGCUUUUGUAACGCCCGGUUAGUUAUGCUAUAGCAAUUCCCUGCUAAUGAUGUCACGUUACCACGAUUACUGUUGUUAACCUCACAAUGAUUCAAUCCCCUUCAAAUUGAAAUUUAAAAUAAAGGCAAACAUCAAAAGUUUUCAAAUAUUAAAACUAAAAUCUUUGAGAGGUGACAAAUAAUGCAUAAGUAAUUAUGGUGGAGAAACCACACUUUAAUCAAAUGUUUAAAUACUCUAAAAUGAAAAAAAACAGUUGCUUAAACUAUUAUUUAAAUGCUUUUAAAAUAGUAAAAAUCUUCUAACUAAAUUAUUUGGGUACCAAACUUUUGGUGGCAGUGGUAUAUUUAGUACAACUAAUUUAGAUGCUAAUUAUAUAAAAAGGAAAAGCAAAAGGGGGCAACCCCUCGCUGGGCCUCGGCCUAGCUGCCACUAGGCUAGCUAGGCUGGCCCCGCCGCCUCCCUUAACCCCCCCCCCCCACUCCCCAUCGAACCCAAGCCCGAUCGCCCCACUUCCCCCANNNNNNNNNNNNNNNNNNNNNNNNNNNNNNNNNNNNNNNNNNNNNNNNNNNNNNNNNNNNNNNNNNNNNNNNNNNNNNNNNNNNNNNNNNNNNNNNNNNNNNNNNNNNNNNNNNNNNNNNNNNNNNNNNNNNNNNNNNNNNNNNNNNNNNNNNNNNNNNNNNNNNNNNNNNNNNNNNNNNNNNNNNNNNNNNNNNNNNNNNNNNNNNNNNNNNNNNNNNNNNNNNNNNNNNNNNNNNNNNNNNNNNNNNNNNNNNNNNNNNNNNNNNNNNNNUUGAUCCCAUCUGGAUCGGGGAGGGUAAUGCCCCAAUCGACCCCGUUGCCGUCGCGGGAUUGCCCGCCGACGUCGCCAGGCCUCCUCCCCGCCACCCGUCUCCGGCUCGCCUCCCCUCUCGCUCCUCUUCCCCGACCCGAUCUGGAUCGUGAACGAGCAAUGAGCUCGAAGCCCCCUUCACCGGCGCCAUCACCGUGCGCCACCACCACCGCCUGAAGACCUCACCGUCGCCGAACCUUGCGUCGCCUCCUCGUAUCCCUCCCCUACUCGCGUCCUCAAGCCAGGCCGAGCCCCUUCUCGGCAACGCCGUGAGACGCCCCCGUCUCCCUCCUCUUUCCACUGCGUUCACCGCGCCGCCCGCCGUGCCCCUCGCCGUGCGCACGCCCACCACCGCACCAGCCCCCGCUCCGCGCACGACCCUACCCGCGUCCGCGCCAUGAUCCCCUUUUCCACCCUACCUUCCUGCGCUCGCCGCGGUCCUGAUGCUCCCCCGCGCCCUCUUUUGGGGGCGCCGACUGCCCCUGUCCCACUGCUCGCCGCCGUGCCUCGCCAUCGCUCUACUGCUAAGUUAUUGCUGCGCUGCGGCCGUCGCCUCUUCCCGCUGCUCCGCCAGCGCCGAAGCUCCCGAUUGGCUCCACCACUUCUCACGUUAAACCGCCGGCCUAAAUGGCCUAACCCCCGGCUAAUGAACCCCCACUAUCCCACUGACACCGGGACCCACAUUCCCUAAUUAACCAUUUAAUAAAUUAAAACUCUUAAAUUAACAUUAGUGUAUGACAUGUGCGUCCCCUAUUAAUUUAUAAUUUUACUGCUAGUUUUAUUAGUUUCUGUUUUUUCUGCAUAUUUCUUUUGUAUUUGAACAGGCUUUAUAUAAUAAUAUUUAGCGUCUCAUACACAUAUAAAUGUAAUUAUAGCAUAUACAUACAAAUAGUCUCAUCAAAUCAUGUCAUCACCAUAAUCAUCAUCCAUCACAAAGUGAUCUCUCGUCAUCAUCUCGAAAAUAGCAAUACAAGUCUCGAUUACUUGCAACUACAUCGUCAUCCAUCUAAACAAUGAUAUACGCGAGAAGCGCUAUCACUAUGAGUGAGAGCGGAACUAUGCAGUACAUGAGUUUGUAUCCCUCUCUCACAUUAGCGUGAACCUAAACUAACUACUGGCUGUUGCUCGGAAACCGGAAACCGGUACACCUGGGCCUGACACUCCGGCCACUCGUCGUAUACUCCUGGCGUAGCACUUCUUCGCCAUCGAUGAUCUAUAAACCUACAUCGUCAGAUGAGUCGAUGAUAUGCAACAUAUAUAGUUGAGCAACAGAAAGAGACAGACUUGGCAAAAAUAGAAGCAACAUAUCAUAAGCAUAAAUAACAAAGUUCAUCGUACGCAAAAUGCCCUAACUAGAGUGAUCUUCGCUAGUCGAGGAGGACGGUUUAAUUACAUCACAAAUAAUUUUUCGUCGUGCAUAACUCAAAGUUCCGUCAUACAGAAAGUAUGAACUAAAUGGACACAUUGUCAUAUUUCAAAAAUCACUCCCACAUGUCGUGCCAUCCAUCCAAGUCAAGGAGAUAGUGCCCGAGCUUAGUGAAAGGCUUUAGGUCGAGACGCUGAGCGGCUAUGCGUGUUCGGACGUCUUCCCACGACAUUUGUCCUUCUUCAUAGAACAUCCCUGUUUUUUCGACGACCUCCUUCAUCACUGGAAGAAAAAGGGCCUGUUGUCCCGGUUCUGGAACCGGGACUAAAGGGUCGGUACUAAUGCCCUGUCCCUUUAGUCCCGGUUCAAUCCAGAACCAGGACAGUUGGGCCUCCACGUGGCCUGUGCGCGGAGCCUAGGCGGGAGACCCUUUGGUCCAAUAAGCAUCCACGCAUCAGCAUUUAUGUGGUUGGGGUUUUUGUUUUUUUUGAAGGGGGGGGCAUUGGGGGUUUUGGGGGGUUAAUUUUGGUGUUUCAUAUAUUGUGUUAGCUAGCUAUAAUUAAUAGAGAGAAUUGUCCUCUCUUAUGUCCGUGCUUGCUCGACGCUACGUACUAUACAUACGUAUAGAGAGGACUAGACACGGUAGCUAGCUAGUAAGCAAACGAAGGAAAUAGAAGAUCGUCAUGAACAUAUAUGCAUACAGAGAGAAGUAAUAUCGACCACCUCUCCUUCUCCGAGAGAUUGGUCGAACAACAAGUUCUCAUAUAUCUAUCCGACACUACCGGCUACAUAUAUACAAUAAUUAUCUCUUACAAAUAUAAUCAUACGGAUUCAGGGUCCACAUAGUAUUCUCUGUCUUCAAGGAUCACGUGGUCAAGAAAGAAUGCCGCCAAUUCCUCUUGAAUUGCUCGCAUGCGAGCUGGUGCUAGGAGUUCAUCCCGCUUCCGAAACAUCUAAUUUAAAGAAGGGGGUUAAUACAUAUAUACAUAUAUAUAUAUAUAUAUAUAUAUAUAUAUAUAUAUAUAUAUAUAUAUGAAUGAAUGAAACUCAACACGAAUGAUGGUAAUAAAAUAAAAUUGUGAAUGUUGUUAUUUACGUACUUCAUAUUGUUCGUCAGUGUAGCCCCGCUCAUAGGUCGUGUGGCGGAUGGACUCGCAAACGUAGUAUCCACAGAAAUCAUUCCUUUGUUCCUGCCACAACCACUUUAUAAGAAAUAGAGGUCAAUCAAACUGAUAAGCAAGAAUGCCAAAUGGUAUUGAUGAAACUUGUCAGGACCCCGAUUCCAAGCCACAUCGAUCUAGCCGGUAACACCUCAUAUCACUUUGCGGCCUCACGCACGAUAUUCCACGGGUGUCGCCUUACCAUGGCCCGGGACCGUUUGCGCCUUUUGGCUCACGUAUAUGAUAGUGUUGCUAGCAUCCAUAUGACAGAGAACCCGGGCCGACAUGGCUAGUCGUGAACCCAAAGUGGCACAGACCUAUGGAGACAGGCAUACAUGAAUCACAUCGAGCAUGUCGGUCAUCAGUGUGUGAUUCCGGGCUGUAGCACUGGGCUAACAGGACUCCGGGGAACCCGGGCUGUAGCAGGCUAGGCAGGACUCCGGAAGUCACCGCGUGACAUUUACCCGAAGGGACAGACAUAGGAACGAAGUGAAUCACAUGCCGGCAAGUCAAGUGUCCUGAGCAGUAGUACUGGGCUAGCAGGACUCCGGUGAACCGGGCUGUAGCGGACUACUAUGGCUCGAGGAACACUAGACUACAUUUCCCCAUAAGAAAGGCUGCCAAGGAUAAACAACUAGAUUGUCGGAUCCCACUCAUACCAAGCAUUUCAAUCAUACACACAAUAUGCCCGAUAUGAGUACAUACAACAUGGCAUCACAACAAAACUCUACAACUCAAGUACUUUAUUUAAAGGCUCUAGAGAGCCAUACAUAACAUGUUCAUACAGAUAGGGGUCACAUGACCCGACACUCAAGUCAUACAAUCAUACAAGCACAUGCGGAAGCAACCGGUCUGAGUACAGACACUAGAAAGAAAGAAGGCUCCUCGAGGCCUGUCUAUCUACAUAGGGCCCUCCAUGGCCAGGAUCACCACCUGGGUGGCUAGUCACUCGUCGAUGUCAAGGUCUACAUAGAACCCAUCGAAGGGGGCUGUGUUGUCGUCUGAAAACAGUAAUUAAGCAAACAUGAGUACAAAGGUACUCAGCAAGUCUUACAAAAGAACCUACUAUACAUGCUUAUUCUCAAGAAGGUGGUGGGGAUAUUGCAGCAAGCCAGUUUUCACUCUUGGCUAAACUAUCCUACAGAACUUCUCUAGUAAAAUAGUUUUCGCACACGAGUCCACUACUCACCAACACAAUACUCCACCGGGGAUCCUCCCUCGUCAUCCUAUGAGAGGGCCAUCCUCGGUACUCACACUUAUCUUGACUAUUUUAGUAGUAUCCAUUUAAUUGUCUAUGAACUGUAUAGGCAACCAAGUAGUCCUUUACCGCGGACGCGGCUAUUCGAAUAGUUUUAUACCCUGCAGGGGUGUACUUCGUCAUACAUGCUUUCACCACUUAUCGUCGUUUACACGACAUGUACUCGGCAACCUUCAAGCGAAAGCCCAGCGAGGGUGUCGGCCACGGCCUACCUAAACACUUAAGUCUCUAGUCCAGGUUUAUCGCCUAUCUAGGUUCCAUCCGCAGGGAGUCCGGGCGAGGUUUCCACAUACGGCCCCGAACGAUGUGAACAGGGUCCCGAGACGCCAAACGGGCGCCCGGCAUACCCGGCCAUGGUGUAUCUACCGCAACAUAGCCCACCCUUAGGGUCAGCGCUACGCACGGCCGCCAACACAUAACCUACAAACACCAGAAACUAUUUGCAACUCCUAGACAGAGUACAAGGGUGAUUAAGAAGCCGAGAGGGUCAAUUAAGGAUCCCAAUGCAUGGUAGUAGCUGAAUCUUAAAUCACACAUACCGAUCUCAGUUCUUAGGGACGGUCUCAAUGAAACAACCCACCAUGUACUCCUACAUGGCCUCUCAUCGAUACCUUUACCAAAACAUGUUCAACACAUUCCUCAUAUUACCGACAUAAUCAUAUCACCCUAGCCCAUCACCCAGAUGAACCAGACCUGACACAACUAUAAGCAUAGCAGGCAUAGCAAGGUAGGAAUCACAUACAUGGCUCAAUCAACUCCUACACAUGCUAGUGGGUUUCAUCUAGUUACUGUGGCAAUGACAGGUCAUGCAGAGGAUAAGGGUUCAACUAUCGUAGCACACAGCAGUUUGAAUCACAUUGUCUUAAUGCAGUAAACAAGAGCAGAGGCAAGAACAUGGGUUGUAUCGGAAUGAUCAAUGGGUUGCUUGACUGAUGGAGUGGUAGUGGGAUACUGCCCUUCAGUUGGAUACUCAUGAAUAUCCUCGGAGGCAGAACCUACCACGAAGAACACAUCGGAACACAAUCAACACAUGAUGAUAUGCAACAAUAUGAUGCAUGCUAUGACAUGGCAAUAUGAAUGUGUCUUGGCCUAAUGCAAGCUAAAAUAGAAAGGGAUGAACUCAUUUGAAUCAAAGAUUCAAAUAUUAGCUCAUUAAACAUGGCCUUAGUAGUGCAUUUCCUUAUUCUGCUUAAACAGCAAGGUAAACUUGUUUUUUCAUGCUUGAAACCAUUACAGAUGGAUAUAUUGAAUUUUUCUGAUAAUUUUUCAUAUAUAAAUUAUUUCAUUUGGAGUUACGGUUGAAUUUCUAUGAUUUUUAGAAGUUUCAAACAUUUUCUGGAAUUUCUUGAAUAAAAAUAAAUCCAGAAAAUGCAUUACUGCGUCAGCAUUGCAUCAUGCUGACCUCCGCAGGUCAAAGGCACCAGCCUAGGUCAAACCUGACUGGUGGGCCCCUUCUGUCAGUCUCUCAGUUAAAUAACAGGAUUAGAUUAACACUAAUUAGCUGUCAGUGGGGCCUGGGCCCACAUGUCACUGACUGAUUAAAAUAAAAUUAGUUAAAACUAAUCCUAGAUUAGUUAGCAAACCGGCCCCACCUGUCAUAGACUUAGGGGGGGUCUACCUGGGCCCACCCAGGGUCAAACUGGGUCAAACUCGCCGGCGCAGCUCGGAAAACGCCUACAGGGCACGAGCGAGGCCGUUCUUGGGCUCAUUGGAGAGCUCUUGCAGUCGCGCAUCUAGUGGCGGUGGUGGCCGGAGACGACGACGGCGAGCUCCAAGGCGGCGGCCGGAGUUCGGCCAUGUGCGGGGUGUCGGCUGUGGCGUGCAAACGUGGAAACUGAGGCACUAGCGAGGCACUACGCGAUGCGGCAAGCACGUUGCAUAGCACGGGAUAAUCAAAUGGUUGCCGGAGCGGCACCGGUGACAAGCUCGAGCGGAGACGAGCUUCGGCCAUGGUGGAACUAUGGCCUAGAGGGUGCAAACGCGUGGAAAAGAAGAGGGGAAAGGUGGCGGAGCUCACAGGGAGGUCGAUGAGCAGCUCAGUGGGCUCGGGGGCGACAGAAGUGAGGCGAAUCGAUGAGCAGCGUCCGGCGGGUACCGAGGUUGAAGACGAUCCGAUGGCGGCGAUGCAGGGCCUCCGGCGAUGCGUGGCUCGGUGGGAAGGGCGAGGGGGUGACGGAGGGCGCGACUACGGCGGUGAGACGGCGACGGGUGCGUCGGCCAUCGCGGGAGAGGGAGAGGGAGAUGAGUGGGAGAGUGAGAGAGGAUGAGAGGGGGACGUGGGGGUCGCGUGGCAUUCCCUGGACGUCUCCCGGCAUCGGCGGAAGCAGGAGGUGGCCGGCGUGUGGCCGCGGGCGCCGGCCACGCGCUCUGCGUCCUUCUGGCGCGAGGAGGACGACGACUGGCAGCGCCAGUAGGCUGGGCCGAGCCAGGUGGGCUGGCCAGCACAGGUAAGGCUCAGGUGGGCUUCUCCCUCUUUUUUUUAAUUUGUUUCUGUUUUCUAUUUAACUGUAAAUGUUGGGCUUUAUUUAAAAUACUAAAACAUUUCCAAAAAUCCUGAAAAUAAUUGUGGGCUCUGUUUGGAUUAUUUCCAAUAGCAAACAUUUAUUUGCAGAAUUAUUUGAGCAUUUAAAUGCCCAAAUUCAAAUACUUAUGAUUUAAAUCAAUGACCUUCUGUUGACCUAGAAAAGUUGUGCACCAAUUUUGCCAGAGGUUCUAACCCAAGACAAAGAGGGUGAACUUUUUAGAAGGGCAUUUCAGGUUCAUUGAAAAUAAUUUUAGUAAUCCCUAGUUGUUUCCAGGGGGGUGUUGGGGGUUUCUGCCUUCCCCAAUUCAAAUUUAAGAGGAAUUUAAACAUGAUGCACAUUCUAAUGCUUGAACUAGCUAGGGUGUGACAACUCACCCCCACUCAAAAGAAUCUCGUCCCGAGAUUUAGGAUCCUCUGGAAAGAAGGUGGGGUACUCGAGUCGAAGACGAUCCUCCCUUUCCCAAGUGGCUUCUUUCUCGGAAUGGUGUGUCCAUUGAACCUUGAGAAACUUGAUAUUAUGACGUCGAGUGGUACACUCGGCUUGAUCAAGGAUACGAACGGGAUAUUCCCGAUAAGAGAGGUUAUCUUGUAGAUCAAGCAUUUCGUGGUCCACUCCACGGAUAGGAUCCGCGAAGCAACGCCUGAGUUGUGAAACGUGGAAGACAUCAUGAACUCUGGAAAGAUGCGGAGGUAGUUCCAAUUGGUAGGCAACUUCUCCUCGUUUGGCAAGAAUGCGAAAGGGUCCAAUGUAACGAGGAGCCAAUUUGCCUUUGAUACCGAAAUGAUGGGUUCCUUUUAAUGGGGUAACCCGAAGGUAAGCCUUCUCGUCGAUUCAUAAGUCAUAGGCUUAUGUUUACGAUCAUAUUGACUCUUUUGACGAGAUUGGGCUGUUUUCAAUUUCUCACGAAUAACGCGAACCUGCUCUUCCGCUUCCUGAAUCAUAUCCGGGCCAAAGAGUUGUCUUUCCCCGGUUUCUGACCAGUUAAGAGGCGUUCGACAUUUUCGUCCAUAGAGAACUUCGAAAGGAGCUUUGCCCAAGCUAGCUUGAUAACUAUUGUUAUAAGCAAACUAUGCGAAUGGGAAGCAUUUCUCCCAACUCAUUCCGAAUGAGAUAACAGAAGCUCGGAGCAUAUCUUCUAGAAUUUGAUUGACUCGCUCUACUUGACCACUUGAUUGAGGAUGGAAGGCGGUACUAAAAGAGAGACGAGUUCCCAUAGCAUUUUGGAAACUUUCCCAAAAUCGAGAGGUGAAGAGACUCCCACGGUCUGAGUUAAUUUCCAAUGGGACACCAUGGAGAGACACUAUUCGGGAGAUGUAUAAAUCGGCUAGCUGGCUAGCAGUGAUACUCGCACGAACAGGUAGGAAAUGGGCUACUUUGGAAAGACGGUCGAUCACGACGAAGAUGGCAUUAUUCCCUCUCUUGUUCCUGGGAAACCCAGUAAUGAAAUCCAUACUGAUUUUAUCCCAUUUCCAUUCAGGAAUAGCCAAAGGUUGAAGGGUGCCAGCAGGCCGUUGAUGCCCUGCUUUAACACGAUGACAGACGUCGCAGCUAGCAAUGUAUCGAGCGAUUUCUCUCUUCAUCCUAGUACAUCAAAACCUCUGGCGUAGGUCUUGAUACAUUUUAUUGCUACCGGGAUGAAUGGUGAGAGGGGAUUCAUGAGCUUCCUUAAGGAUCAAUUGGCGUAGAUGUUGUUUCUUGGGAACCACCAAACGGUUCUCAAAGAAGACAGCACCCCGCUUAUCCAUGGAAAAACAUUUAGCAACUCCGCUAGCAAUGUUUUCCUUAAUCCGGGAUAUGCCCUUAUCAUACCGCUGGGCAGUUAUGAUCUGAUCCAUAAGGUUAGGUUUCGCCACCAGGGUGGAUAGGAAUCCUCGAGGAACAAUGUGAAGAUUAAGCUUACGGAAUUCCUCAUGGAGAAGUGGUUGACUUUGUUGUAACAUCAGGUUGUUACAAUAGGAUUUACGGCGUAGUGCAGCAGCCAUGACAUUGGCUUUGCCCGGUGUGUAGGUUAUUCCUAAGUCGUAAUCCGAGAUCAACUCAACCCAACGUCUUUGCCUGAGAUUCAAAUCUGGUUGGGUGAAGAUAUAUUUCAAGCUUUGGUGAUCGGUGAAGAUCUCGCAACGAUUAAGUGCAUGGACUACAGCUGCCAGCUCUAGAUCAUGUGUGGGAUAAUUUUCCUCAUGUGGGUGUAAUUGCCGUGAAGCGUAGGCAAUUACCUGACGAUCUUGCAUGAGUAUGCAACCUAGUCCUUGUCGCGAGGCGUCACAAUAGAUAAUAAAGUCCUUGGAUAAAUCAGGUGGUACCAGUACGGGAGCAGAUGUCAGGCGUCUUUUCAGUUCCUAAAAGCUGAACUCGCACUGUGGAGUCUACUCGAACUUUUUAUCUUUCUUGAGGAGUUUAGUUAGAGGUUUAGCAACCUUGGAGAAAUUCUCGACGAAGCGGCGGCAAUAGCUCGCUAAGCCAAGGAAGCUCCAAACUUGCUUGACCGUCUCAGGUGGAGUCUAAUCAAGGACGGCUUGAACUCGCUCGGGAUUGACGGCAAUACCCUUACCAGAGAUUACAUGGCCUAGAUAGGUUACUUCUGGCAACCAAAAUUCACACUUGGAGAAUUUGGCAUAAAGGCGAUGCUCUCGAAGUUUCAUCAAUACCAGCCUUAGAUGUUCGGCAUGUUCCUCUUCAUUCUUGGAGUAGAUUAGUAUGUCAUUGAGGUAUACUACGAUGAAUUUAUCCAAGUACUCCAUGAAAACCGAGUUCAUUAGCCGGGAGAAGGUAGCCGGGGCAUUGGUUAAACCGAAGGACAUAACGGUGUACUCGUAUUGGCCAUAACGAGUAACAAAGGCCGUUUUGGGAAUGUCCCCGUUUCUGAUUUAGAUUUGAUGGUAGCCCAACCUCAAAUCCAUCUUGGAAAAGACUGAGGAUCCAGCAAACUAAUCAUACAGAUCAUUGAUCCUGGGAAGUGGGUAUUUGUUCUUGAUGGUGACCAAGUUGAUAGGUCGGUAAUCCACAACCAUUCGAUCUGUUCCAUCCUUCUUGACGAAGAGGACGGGGCAAGCCCAAGGAGAGGAACUAGGACGGAUGAAACCCUUUUUCAAGGACUCAUCGAGUUGGUUCUCAAGCUCGGCUAGUUCUAAGGGUGCCAUCUUGUAGGGUCUUCUAGAAAUUAGAAUGGUUCCUGGAACAAGGUCUAUCACAAACUCGACAUCCCUGUCAGGUGGAACACCUGGCAGUUCUUCUGGAAAGGCAUCCGGAAAGUCUCGGACUACCGGAACAUCCUCAAGGUCUGGAAGGGGGUUGGCAUUUAGGGAGUAAAGUUGGCACUUGGCCACUCGAGUUAAGACAUUAACUGUCUUGCCCGAUGGGUGAGUAAGUUGAACGGUUCUAGUGGCACAGUCAAUCUUAGCAUAAUGAGCUGACAUCCAGUCCAUACCUAAGAUGAUGUUUAUGUCCGAGGACUUGAGAGCUAUUAAGGAUGCAAGGAAGACAAGUCUAUCGACAAGAAUUUCGUUCCCAUGGCUUACUCUAGAAGUUUGCCAUCUAGAGCCAGGGGUUUGAAUUUCCAUGGUAGAGGGCAUGUCACAGAAUGUCGUGUUGUGCAAUCGAGCAUAGUUCUCGGAUAUGAAUGAAUGAUAUGCUCCAGUAUCGAAAAGAACAGAUGCCGGAUGGCAGUUAACAAGGAGCGUACCAAGGACGACGUUGGGAUCCUCAUGAGCCUCCUCGGCUGAAACAUAGUUGACAUGGCCACGUGCAGUGGUGGCUGGCUUAGCGUAGAAUGUUUUUCCCGCGGGCUUACCACGGCCAACGGACUUUCCAGUUUGAUUGGGGUUGUUGUUCUGGGGACACUCUCGGCUAUAGUGACCCGGCUCUCCACACUUAAAGCAUGUCACCACAUUGGGGCGUGGAGCAGCAUUAGCAGCGGGGCCACCAUAGGGCUUGGGCGGUGCAAAUUGCUGGUUGGGACGUGGUGCCUCAAAGGAUGGCCUCGGGAUGAACCUGGGUGGCAGUGCCGUGCUUGGAAUCCACACCCGGCGCUUCUGAGCUCCAGAGCCGAUGAAGAGCCAAAAUCACGGGAGUGCUUGCGUGAAGUGUCAUAAUCAGUCUGGCCUUUCUCAGCACUGAUGGCUUUAUGGACCAACUUCUAAAAGGAGGUGCACUUGUGCAGACGAAGACCACGGUGAAGCUCAGGGCUAAGUCCCUUGCGGAACCUUGCCUGCUUCUUAGCAUCAGUAGAUACCUCUUCAGGGGCAUAACGUGCCAGAUUCCCAAAUUCACGACUGUAAGCAUCCACAGUCAGUCUUCCUUGGGUGAAGUUGCAGAACUCCUCCCUCUUGCGAUCCAUGAGACCUUCCGGAAUGUGAUGCUCACGGAAAGCCUCACUGAAUUCAGCCCAAGUAGUGAUUUGGCCGACCGGGCGCAUAGCUUCGAAGUUUUCCCACCAAAGGCUAGCAGGGCCUUUGAGGUGAUAGGCAGCAUAAGUAACCUUGUCGGCUUUGGCUACGUUGGCAGAACGUAGCUUGUGGGUGAUGCUGUGAAGCCAGUCAUCCACGUCGAGGGGCUCGACGGAAUGGUUAAACUUUGGUGGGUACAUCUUGAUAAAGUCAUUGAUUGACACCAACUCAUUUCGCGGGUGGCGUGCAGUGUUCUGCUCAAUCCGCUCCAGCAGGCGGUUGGUCUCACGCUUCUUUCUUUCUGCCUCCAGCAUUACUUCGGCCAGAGAAGGCGGGUGAGGCAGAUUUUCACCUCUAGCAGCACUGGCUUCCCCCUGCUCCGGGGCAACAGGGUUGCUGCGAGUAUUGACCAUCCUAGGAGAAAACAAGACAACGGUUUAGACAAGGAUGGCUCAAACUGAGCAAGGAUGUGCAGAAUGUAAUGGAUAACACGGAACACAGAGAUGUUCAUCCGUAUGUCAUGGUAAUAUAAAACUGCCAUAUAUAUACCAACGGUCAUACACAUCACACAUAGUUUAGUACAAGCCCAGGCUACAGUACAACUAUGAUGAAAGACGUUACAUCUCAUCGGAGGCAUUCCAAGCUCCUAUACAUUAUUGUCUACACCUUCGGAAUUGAUUACACGCAAAGUCAUAUUCCAAAAGUCACGCAGGACAGUGGAGAUACAACUACUACAAUACUAGUGGUACUACUACUAACUCAGACAGCUCCGUACUAGUCCUCAUAGAAGUCACCUCCAUAGCCUGGAAGUUCAACGUGACCAUCCGGGAACAGACGGUCCUGAGGAGCCUGUGGACCAUAGGGGCUUGGAUGGGGUCUUGGACCAACAAACGGUGGCCUGCGGGGACCACAGGGUGGGGUGAUGCCUCCCACAUCACGCCAAUCCACCACGUCUGGCAAAGCAGACCUCACAGGAUACAAAUCCCUUGUAUCCAUACAUCCAGCUUGCACCACAGGUGCAAACCGAGUCAAUGUGGCCCAAUGAUCAGCACGGGUAUUAAAAAGCUCCAGCCUCAAGGCCUGAUUCUCUCGGUCCUUAUAUUCGAGCAUCUCGGCAGUGGUACGAGUUAAUGAAUCCUCCUGAGUGGAGUCAGCAUAGAUAGCCUGAAGAUACCCUUGCGCUCCCGGAAGUGAAGCUAGCAUGUAUCGGAAGUCGGUGUUCCGAAGCAGGCCAGUCCGGACUCGCAUGAUUGUCAUCAUGGAAUAGGCAGCAUCCUGCACAGCCAUCUCAACAGUAACCCCGAGUCCAUAGGAACAGUGAAGGGGCUCGGUAGAUCCAGGAUAAGAAGGAAAUAUCUUGACGGUGCAGAAAUACUGGCUUUGAUUAAAGUCUCAGAAUUGCUCUUCGACGGUGUAUUCGGGAUACCAACGGUAACCCGUCUCGAUCAUGACCCGGACUAACAUAGCAGUAUGACCGGGCACGUCGAGCCACCGGGUCAGGCGAACCACUUUGUUUUGAGCACGGUUGGGCAUCUGAAAGCACAACCACAAUGCAAAGACAUCAGAAUUUCUAGGGAAAAUUGGACAGCAUAACAGCUGUAAAUGCUCAGAAAAAGAUUUGAGACAUCCACAACAGUUCGCAAUACCACUCAACAACAUCAUAUCAAGGUUCUGAUCCAAAUAGCAGCAUACUAAAAAUAGUAGAAACUGAACUGGGGCUUGUAACAACAAUCCUAUAAGCUACUACGGAUUAGUAACACGUGAACCUGAUAGAAGAAGAGAGACUAGUCCUUAACCCACAUUGAAUGAAAAGGGAAUGACUCAGAUAAGAGGCAUAGGGUAAAGGAGUAAAAGAGCCUUACGUUCCCUCCCACAAUCAAUUCCCCUACAUAUAACUAAAGCAUUUCCAGACUCGACAUCGACCAGUUUGGCUCAACGAACCUACAGGCAGUCCGGCACUGAUGCCAACGCUGUCAGGACCCCGAUUCCAAGACACAUCGAUCUAGCUGGUAACACCUCAUAUCACUUUGCGGCCUCACGCACGAUAUUCCACGGGUGUCGCCUUACCAUGGCCCGGGACCGUUUGCGCCUUUUGGCUCACGUAUAUGAUAGUGUCGCUAGCAUCCAUAUGAUAGAGAACCCGGGCCGACAUGGCUAGUCGUGAACCCAAAGAGGCACAGACCUAUGGAGACAGGCAUACAUGAAUCACAUCGAGCAUGUCGGUCAUCAGCGAGUGAUUCCGGGCUGUAGCACUGGGCUAACAGGACUCCGGGGAACCCGGGCUGUAGCAGGCUAGGCAGGACUCCGGAAGUCACCGCGUAACAUUUCCCCGAAGGGACAGACAUAGGAAUGAAGUGAAUCACAUGCCGGCAAGUCAAGUGUCCUGAGCUGUAGUGCUGGGCUAGCAGGACUCUGGUGAACCGGGCUGUAGCGGACUACUAUGGCUCAAGGAACACUAGACUACAUUUCCCCAUAAGAAAGGCUGCCAAGGAUAAACAACUAGAUUGCCGGAUCCCACUCAUACCAAGCAUUUCAAUCAUACACGCAAUAUGUCCGAUAUGAGUACAUACAACAUGGCAUCACAACAAAACUCUACAACUCAAGUACUUUAUUUAAAGGCUCUAGAGAGCCAUACAUAACAGGUUCAUACAGAUAGGGGUCACAUGACCCGACACUCAAGUCAUACAAUCAUACAAGCACAUGCGGAAGCAACCGGUCUGAGUACAGACACUAGAAAGAAAGAAGGCUCCUCGAGGCCUGUCUAUCUACAUAGGGCCCUCCAUGGCCAGGAUCACCACCUGGGUGGCUACUUACUCGUCGACGUCAAGGUCUACAUAGAACCCAUCGGAGGGGGCGGUGUUGUCGUCUGAAAACAGUAAUUAAGCAAACAUGAGUACAAAGGUACUCAGCAAGUCUUACAACAGAACCUAGUAUACAUGCUUAUACUCAAGAAGGUGGUGGGGAUAUUGCAGCAAGCCAGCUUUGACUCUUGGCUAAACUAUCCUACGGAACUUCUCUAGUAAAAUAGUUUUCGCACACGAGUCCACUACUCGCCAACACAAUACUCCACAGGGGAUCCUCCCUCGUCAUCCUAUGAGAGGGCCAUCCUCGGUACUCACACUUAUCUUGAGUAUUUUAGUAGUAUCCAUUUACUUGUCUAUGAACUGUAUAGGAAACCAAGUAGUCAUACACGCUAUUCGGAUAGUUUUAUACCCUGCAGGGGUGUACUUCGUCAUACACGCUUUCACCACUUAUCGCCGUUUACAUGACAUGUACUCGGCAACCUUCAAGCGGAAGCCCAGCGAGGGUGUCGGCCACGGCCUACCUAAACACUUAAGUCUCUAGUCCAGGUUUAUCGCCUAUCCAGGUUCCAUCCACAGGGAGUCCGGCCGAGGUUUCCACAUACGGCCCCGAACGAAGUGAACAUGGUUUCGAGACGCCAAACGGGCGCCCGGCAUACCCGGCCACGGUGUAUCUACCGCAACAUAGCCCACCCCUAGGGUCAGCGCUAUGCACGGCCGCCAACACAUAACCUACAAACACCAGAAACUAUUUGCAACUCCUGGACAGAGUACAAGGGUGAUUAAGAAGUCGAGAUGGUCAAUUAAGGAUCCCAAUGCAUGGUAGUAGUGAAUCUUAAAUCGCACAUACAGAUCUCAGUUCUUAGGGACGGUCUCAAUGAAACAACCCACCAUGUACUCCUACAUGGCCUCUCAUCGAUAUCUUUACCAAAACAUGUUCAACACAUUCCUCAUAUUACCGACAUAAUCAUAUCACCCUAGCCCAUCACCCAGAUGAACCAGACCUGACACAACUCUAAGCAUAGCAGGCAUAGCAAGGUAGGAAUUAUAUACAUGGCUCAAUCAACUCCUACACAUGCUAGUGGGUUUCAUCUAGUUACUGUGGCAAUGACAGGUCAUGCAGAGGAUAAGGGUUCAACUACUGUAGCACACAGCAGUUUGAAUCACGUUGUCUUAAUGCAGUAAACAAGAGCACAGGCGAGAACAUGGGUUGUAUCGGAAUGAUCAAUGGGUUGCUUGCUUGAUGGAGUGGUAGUGGAAUACUGCCCUUCAGUGGGAUACUCGUGAAUAUCCUCGGAGCCAGAACCUACCACGAAGAACACAUCGGAACACAAUCAACACAUGACGAUAUGCAACAAUAUGAUGCAUGCUAUGACGUAUCUUGGCCUAAUGCAAGCUAAAAUAGAAAGGGAUGAACUCAUUUGAAUCAAAAAUUCAAAUAUUAGCUCAUUAAACAUGACCUUAGUAGUGCAUUUCCUUAUUCUGCUUAAACAGCAAGGUAAACUUGUUUUGUCAUGCAUGAAACCAUUACAGAUGGAUAGAUUGAAUUUUUCUGAUAAUUUUUCAUAUAUAAAUUAUUUCAUUUGGAGUUACGGUUGAAUCUCUAUGAUUUUUAGAAGUUUUAAACAUUUUCUGGAAAUUACUGAAUAAAAAUAAAUCCAAAAAAUGCAUUACGGCGUCAGCAUUGUGUCAUGCUGACCUCAGCAGGUCAAAGGCGCCAGCCCAGGUCAAACCUGACUGGUGGGCCCCUUCUGUCAGUCUCUCAGUUAAAUAACAGGAUUAGAUUAACACUAAUUAACUGUCAGUGGGGCCUGGGCCCACAUGUCAGUGACUGAUUAAAAUAAAAUUAGUUAAAACUAAUCCUAGAUUAGUUAGCAGACCGGCCCCACCUGUCAUAGACUCAGGGGGGUCUACCUGGGCCCACCCAGGGUCAAACUGGGUCAAACUCGCCGGCGUUGAGCCGCCGGCGAGACCCGAGACAGUGGCGCAGCUCGGAAAACGCCUACAGGGCACGAGCGAGGCCGUUCUUGGGCUCGUUGGAGAGCUCUUGCAGUCGCGCAUCUAGUGCUGGUGGUGGCCGGGCCUACGGUGGCCGGAGACGACGACGGCGAGCUCCAAGGCGGCGGCCGGAGUUCGGCCAUGUGCGGGGUGUGGGCUGCGGCGUGCAAACGUGGAAACUGAGGCGCUAGCGAGGCACUACGUGAUGCGGCAAGCACGUUGCGUAGCACGGGAUGACCAAAUGGUCGCCGGAGCGGCGCUGACGACAAGCUCGAGCGGAGACGAGCUUCGGCCAUGGUGAAACUAUGGCCUAGAGGGUGCAAACGCGUGGAAAAGAAGAGGGGAAAGGUGGCGGAGCUCACAGGGAGGUCGAUGAGCAGCUCAGUGGGCUCGGGGCGACCGGAGUGAGGCGAAUCGACGAGCGGCGUCCGGCGGGUACCGAGGUUGAAGACAAUCCGAUGGCGGCGAUGCAGGGCCUUCGGCGAUGCGUGGCUCGGUGGGGAGGGCGAGGGCGUUACGGCGGAGCUUCUGGACAGGUCAGAGAGGCGAGGUGGUGAUGGAGGGCGCGACUAUGAUGGUGAGACGGCGAUUAAAAAGAAAGAUCUGGUUCACUCGUACGUGAAAAAAGUAGCAAGCGCUCGAUGCCUUCCUUUGCAUCGAUGCCAGACGCGGUGCUGGGAAUCGACAAGAUAACCGCCAAUCUACCACGAUUAAAUUCCUAGCGCCUCCUUCUAGCGCCUCCCACUGAAAAUGCCCUAAAGGUUUUGGAGGGAUUUUUUUACUGUGUCCUACUUCACGAAUCACGAGGCAAAUCAAGUAGCCGGCAUGGCCUGGCCGGUGAGUGCCAUUGCACUUACUUGCCCCAGCAAUUUUCCGCGUGCAUUGUAGAAUUCUUUCUCCGAGUCCUGUGAAUUAAAGAUGGUGCAGACAAAAAUAUAUCCUAUAUGCGUACAUGUGCAUGAUCAGAACAUGUUUUUACGUGCGUCUACUAUAAAUCAUGACCAUUUUUAACACAAAUCAUGACCAUUCAUGAUUAGUGAAUCAUACUGUCUUAACUUAUGUGAAAUCAUGUGGAGUAAUAUAAUAUAAUAUAAUAAAUAGAUAGAUCCAUGUUGUAUUAUUUUUUGUUUACAAAAAAUAUCUGUCAUUACACAUUUUGAUUUAUGCAUUUGUUUACAAAAAAAACAGUAACAUUUCAUGGUGGAAAGUUUGUAUUGUUUCAUACUGAACACCAAUGUUUUCCUGUAAAAGAAAAUAAUGCCUACGCAUAUGCUUUUAUAUUAUUAUUAUUCUUUCAAACUUAUUCAUACAGUAUUUUUGAUUGUGCAACCAUAAUUUUUAUUGUCUCUCUCGUUCCACUACAUGCUCUUACUCAAUGAUUUUUUUAUAACGGGUGUUUUUAUUAACUCAAAAUAUAGUAUCAAGCGGAUACAAAACAUAAUGAGCCACACCUGGUCUCUGCAUAACUAAGAUGCACACAGCCAAAAGCAGAUGUCUGACAAAAAUAAGAUAAGAAAAUCGACAUAUCGACAACAGUGAGUCAUAUAGUCCCGACACUAUGCCCCCGUUGAAGGACGGGGUGGAGCGAUCUGGAGAUUAUGCUGCCCUCCAUGUUGAGUAAAUACCUCCCUGGCCACUUGUUCCAAACGCAUAGACGCCGCCACGAAUAAUGGUCGGUACUCUGUUCAGUGUAGCAUACACCAUGUAGGAAGUGAGUGCUCACUCCUAGUUACUAAAUUAUGUACACACUAGUAGAAAAAGGGCCAUUUGUCCCGGUUCGUAAGGCCCAUUUGUCCCAAUUGGGGAACCGGGACUAAAGGGUCGGUACUAAAGCCCUACACCUUUAGUCCCGGUUCUUACACCAACCGAGACAGAUGGGGCUCCACGUGGCCGCUACAGCUUGCCGUGGCAGGGGGGCCUUUUGUCCCGGUUGGUAGCACCAACCGGGACCAAUAAGCUACCACGCGUCCGCAUUUGAGGGGCUAGGGUUUUUGUUUUUUUUCUGAAGGGGGGGGGGUGGGUUUGUAUGGUUAAUUUUGGGGGGUUUCACAUAUUGUGUUAGGUAGCUAAUUAAUUAAUAGAGAGAAGUGUCCUCACUUAUCUCCGUGCUUGGUCGACGCUACGUACUAUACGUAUAGAGAGGCCCUCAACACGCUAGCCAGUAAGCAAAUGAAGUAAACCAUUAAGUACAGAAGUUCGUCAUGAACAUAUGCAUACAAACAUAAGUGAUAUCGACCUCUCCUUCUCCGAGAGAUAGGUCGAACAACAAGUUUCCGUAUAUCUAUCCGGCGCUACUAGCUACAUAUAUACAAUAUUAAGAUCUCUUACAAUAUAAUCCCCUAAUUAUAUAUGAACUCAGCUUCCAGAUGGUAUUCUCCGGCUUUAUUGAUGGCGUGGUCAAGAAAGAUUCCCUCCAAUUCCUCUUGAAUUGCUUUGAUGCGAUCUUGUGGUAGGAGUUCAUCUCGCAUCUGCCACAUCUAAUUUGAAGAAGGGGGUCAAUCACCAGUAGAAUAACAACCAUUUGUCCUGGUUCAUAAGGUUAAUUUGUCCCGGUUGGGGAACCGAGACUAAAGGGUCUUUACUAAAGCCCUACACCUUUAGUCCUGGUUCUUACACCAACUGGGACAGAUGGGCCUCCAUGUGGCUGCUGCGGCGAGCCCAGGCCGGAGGUCCUUUGGUCCCGGUUAGUGGCACUGAUACGUCUCCAACGUAUCUAUAAUUUUUGAUUGCUCCAUGCUAUUAUGUUAUCUAUUUUGGAUGUUAAUGGCUUUAUUUUACACCUUUAUAUCAUUUUUGGGACUAACCUACUAAUCGGAGGCCCAACCCAAAUUGUUGUUUUCUACCUAUUUUAGGUUUUCGAAGAAAAGGAAUAUCAAACGGAGUCCAAACGGAAUGAAACCUUCGAGAACGUGAUUUUCUCAAUGAACAUGAUUCAGGAGAAUUGGAGUGUGCUCCAAGAAACAAGGGAGGAAGGCACGAGGCAGGGGGCGCGCCUACCCCCUUGGGCGCGCCCUCCACCCUCGUGGGCCCUCCGCUGCUCCACCGACGUACUUCUUCCUCCUAUAUAUAUCCACGUACCCCCAAACAUCCAGGAGCACCACGAAAACCUAAUUCCACCGCUGCAACCUUCUGUACCCGAGAGAUCCCAUCUUGGGGCCUUUUCCGGAGGUCCACCGGAGGGGGCAUCGAUCAUGGAGGGCCUCUACAUCAACUCCAUGGCCUCUCCGGUGAUGUGUGAGUAGUUUACUUCAGACCUAGGGGUCUAUAGUUAUUAGCUAGAUGGCUUCUUCUUCUCUCUUUGGAUCUCAAUACAAAGUUCUCCUCGAUUUUCUUGGAGAUCUAUUUGAUGUAACCUUCUUUUGCGGUGUGUUUGUCGAGAUCCGAUGAAUUGUGGGUUUGUGAUCCAGAUUAUCUAUGAACAAUAUUUGAUUCUCCUAUGAAUUCUAGUAUGUAUGAUUGGUUUAUCUUUGCAAGUCUCUUCGAAUUAUCAGUUUGGUUUGGCCUACUAGAUUGAUUUCUUGCAAUGGGAGAAGUGCUUAGCUUUGGGUUCAAUCUUGCAGUGUUUGAUCCCAGUGACAGAAAGGGAACCGAUACGUAUUGUAUUGUUGCCAUCGAGGAUAAAAAGAUGGGGUUUAUAUCAUAUCGCAUGAGUUUAUCCCUCUACAUCAUGUCAUCUUCCUUAAAGCAUUACUAUGUUCUCUUGAACUUAAUACUCUAGAUGCAUGCUGGAUAGCGGUCCAUGUGUCGAGUAAUAGUAGUAGAUGCAGAAUCGUUUCGGUCUACUUGUCUCGGACGUGAUGCCUAUAUACAUGAUCAUACCUAGAUAUUCUCAUAACUAUGUUCAAUUCUGUACAAUAUGGUGCACGGGGUUACAUCGGCCUGCAAAGACAUUUCUGCGAUGUGAGACAUCCGAAAAGCAACGAAAACGGGAGAUUAUACAUUUAUUGAAGAGGGCAGGUGUGACAGAUACCGUGAGGGCGUCGAGCUCAGCCAAAGACGAUGGACAGCUGAGCACGGCCUGUGUCAGAGCCGGUGCGGGAGCAGGUGCAGGUGCAGGUGCUGGUGCAACGCUAGUCGAGCUGCUCCUGAAGAAGUCAACAAUGGGAAAGUCCGCUGCAUUUUUUCUGCAUUUUGCGUGCUCCAAUUGAAAAUGGCUGGAACCAAGACAGUAGACAUAUCUGCAACCACCUGUUUUCCGGCAGCUACCGCUGUCGCGACUGUCUCAGAUGAUUUCUUCUCAACCGCAAUCUCAACCUUCUUGUCGAUGUUUUAUUCGGUUAACCUCCAUCUUUCCUUUCUCUCCUCCGUGGUCUCACGGUAGUACUUCUUCCACGUGGCCCCGUCUCCGACACCGUGAACGCGUCCAUACGACGACCGAGUCUCCACGGGGAGUCCUUUCAAUAUGUUCAAUGCCCGGUUGAAUGGAGUGUCCCACUUGGGCCUUGCCAAUGCCUCAGACGGCGAGUCGCUUUCGGCCGCAAUCUUAUGCUGCUCUCUCUACAAAAGGAACACGGAUCAUUUACAAAUAUGACUAAACGUGCAGUCGAACUGAUCAGAAACUAAAAUUACCAGCAGUCUCAUGAACUCCGUCGUGAUCGGGUCCGUCUUGAAAACCUUCUUGACUGAGUCCCAAUGGUGUCGUGCCCUGAGGACGUCAUGCUCCUACGGGACGGUGAAGUCCGCCAAGGGGUCUGGGAUGCCAGAUUUUCGCGUUUCGUGUCCUCCUUGGCCCAUAUGGACCUCUUCCUGCCGUAACCACUGCUUCCGAGGUGGUGGCGCCCCAUGUUCCUUUGUGGAAGCCCCUUCAUGUACUUCGACUUUGUUUUGGCAGCUUCGGCCUCGCAAGCCGCCUUGAAUAUUUCAAAGUGUUCUCUAGUGAUUGUCAGAUUAUCCUUUACAAUCUCGGAGUAGGGUUGAUACGUCUCCAACGUAUCUAUUAUUUUUGAUUGCUCCAUGCUAUAUUAUCUACUGUUUUGGACAUUAUUGGGCUUUAUUAUCUACUUUUAUAUUAUUUUUGGGACUAACCUAUUAACCGGAGGCCCAGCCUAGAAUUGUUGUUUUUUGACUGUUUUAGGGUUUCGAAGAAAAGGAAUAUCAAACGGAGUCCAAACGGAAUGAAACCUUCGGGAACGUGAUUUUCUGAAUGAACAAGACCCUGGAGACUUGGACCCUACGUCAAGACACAAAAGAGGAGGACACGAGGUAGGGGGCGCGCCUAACCCCCCCCCCCCCUCGAGGCACGCCCUCCACCCUCGUGGGGCCCCUGUUGCUCCACCGACGUACUCCUUCCUCCUAUAUAUACCUACGUACUUCCAAACGAUCAGAUACGGAGCCAAAACCCUAAUUCCACUGCCGCAACUUUCUGUAUCCACGAGAUCCCAUUUGGUGCCUGUUCCGGAGCUCCGCCGGAGGGGGCAUCGAUCACGGAGGGCUUCUACAUCAACACCAUAGCCUCUCCGAUGAAGUGUGAGUAGUUCACCUCAGACGUACCGGUCCAUAUUUAUUACCUAGAUGGCUUCUUCUCUCUUUUUGGAUCUCAAUACAAUGUUCUCCCCCUCUCUUGUGGAGAACUAUUCGAUGUAAUCUUGUUUUUGCAGUGUGUUUAUUGAGAUUGAUGAAUUGUGGGUUUAUGAUCAAGUCUAUGUAUGAAUAAUAUUUGAAUCUUCUCUAAAUUCUUUUAUGUAUGAUUGUUUAUCUUUGCAAGUCUCUUCGAAUUAUCAGUUUGGUUUGGCCUACUAGAUUGAUCUUUCUUACAAUGGGAGAAGUGCUUAGCUUUGGGUUCAAUCUUGCGGUGUCCUUUCCCAAUGACAGUAGGGGCAGCAAGGCAUGUAUUGUAUUGUUGCCAUCGAGGACAACAAGAUGGGGUUUUCAUCAUAUUGCAUGAGUCUAUCCCUCUACAUCAUGUCAUCUUGCUUAAGGCGUUACUCUGUUUUUAACUUAAUACUCUAGAUGCAUGCUGGAUAGCGGUCGAUGAGUGAAACCUAUGGCCCCCGGGUCUAUCUUUAUCAUAUUAAUCUCCUACUACUUAGUUAUUUCCUUUGCUUUUUCCUUUGCCUUUAUUUUACUUUUGAUCUUUAUCACAAAAAUACCAAACAUAUUAUCUUUAUCAUAUCUAUCAGAUCUCACUCUCGUAAGUGGCUGUGUAGGGAUUGACAACCCCUAUUCGCGUUGGUUGCGAGGAUUUAUUUGUUUUGUGCAAGUACGAGAGACUCGCGCGUAGCCUCCUACUGGAUUGAUACCUUGGUUCUCAAAAACUGAGGGAAAUACUUACACUACUUUGCUGCAUCAUCCUUCCUCUUCGCGGAAAACCAACGUAGUGCUCAAGAGCUGGCAAUAAGGAUUUCUGGCGCCGUUGCCGGGGAGGUCUAAGCAAAAGUCAACAUACCAAGUACCCAUCACAUACCCUUAUCUCCUGCAUUACAUUAUUUUCCAUUUGCCUCUCGUUUUCCUCUCCCCCACUUCACCCUUGCCGUUUUAUUCGCCCUCUCUCUCUCUCUCUAUCCUCCCUCUCUUUCUCUAUUUGCCUCUUUUUUCCCACUUGCUUUCUGUUUGCUUGUGUGUUAGUUGCUUGCUUGUCACGAUGGCUCAAGAUAAUACUAAAUUACGUGACUUCACCAAUACCAACAACAAUGAUUUUAUUAACACUCCGAUUGCUCCUCUUACCGAUGCUGAAUCUUGAGAAAUUAAUACUGCUUUGCUGAAUCUUGUCAUGAAAGAUCUGUUUUUCGGCCUUCCUAGUGAAGAUGCCGCUACCCACCUAAAUAGAUUCGUUGAUUUGUGUGACAUGCAAAAGAAGAAAGGUGUGGAUAAUGAUAUUGUUAAAUUGAAGCUAUUUCCUUUUUCGCUUAGAGAUCGUGCUAAAGCUUGGUUUUCGUCUUUGCCUAAAAAUACUAUUGAUUCAUGGAAUAAGUGCAAAGAUGCUUUUAUCUCUAAGUAUUUUCCUCCUGCUAAGAUCAUCUCUCUUAGAAACGAUAUUAUGAAUUUUAAGCAACUUGAUCAUGAACAUGUUGCACAAGCUUGGGAGAGAAUGAAACUAAUGAUACGUAAUUGCCCUGCCCAUGGUUUAAAUUUGUGGAUGAUUAUACCAAAUUUUUAUGCCGGAUUGAACUUUGCUUCUAGAAAUCUUUUAGAUUAGGCCGCGGGAGGCACUUUUAUGGAAAUCACUUUAGGAGAAGCUACUAAACUCCUAGAUAAUAUUAUGGUUAAUUAUUCUCAACGGCAUACCGAAAGAUCUACUAAUAAAAACGUGCAUGCGAUAGAAGAAAUUAAUGUUUCGAGUGGAAAGAUGGAUGAACUUCUGAAAUUAUUUGCUAAUAAGAGUAUUUCUUCUGAUCCUAAUGAUAUGCCCUUGUCUACUUUGAUUGAGAAUAAUAAUUAAUCUAUGGAUGUGGAUUUUGUUGGUAGGAACAAUUUUGGUAACAACGCGUACAGAGGAAAUUUCAACCCUAGGCCUUAUCCUAGUAAUCUCUCUAAUAAUUAUGGUAAUUCCUACAACAAUUCUUAUGGAAAUUAUAAUAAGAUGCCCUCUGAUUUUGGAUCUAAUAUUAGAGAAUUUAUUACUUUCCAAAAGAAUUUCAAUGCUUUGAUUGAAGAAAAAUUGCUUAAGAUUGAUGAUUUGGCUAGGAACGUUGAUAGAAUUACUCUUGAUGUUGAUUCUUUGAAACUUAGAUCUAUUCCACCUAAGCAUGAUGUCAAUGAGUCUCUCAAAGCCAUGAGAAUUUCCAUUGAUGAGUGCAAAGAAAGAACCACUAGGAUGCGUGUUAAGAAAGAUGCCUUUAUAAGAGCGUGUUCUUCUAAUUCCUAUGAAAAUAAUGAUGAAGAUCAAAAAGUUAUUGAUGUCCUCCCUAUUAAAUCUUUGUUUUGCAAUAUGAAUCUUGAUAAUCAUGGGACUGAAUAUGAUCCACCUUUACCUAGAAGGCGUUCCAAUAAUUCAGAAUUUGUUGAUCUUGAUGCUAAAAUUGAUAAAGGUGGGAUUGAAGAAAUUAAAACCCUAGAUGUUGCUAAACCCACUAUUAUGGAUUUCAAGGAACUUAACUAUGAAAACUGCCCUUUGAUUGAUUGUAUAUCCUUGUUACAAUCCGUGCUAAAUUCUCCUCAUGCUUAUAGUCAAAAUAAAGCAUUUACUAAACAUAUUGUUGAUGCCUUGAUGCAAUCUUAUGAAGAAAAACUUGAAUUGGAAGUUUCUAUCCCUAUAAAGCUUUAUGAUGAGUGGGAACCAACUAUUAAAAUUAAAAUUAAAUAUCAUGAAUGCUAUGCUUUAUGUGAUUUGUGUGCUAGUGUUUCCACGAUUCCAUAGACUUUGUGUGAUUUGUUAGGUUUCCGUGAUUUUGAUGAUUGCUCUUUAAACUUGCACCUUGCGGAUUCCACUAUUAAGAAACCUAUGGGAAGAAUUAAUGAUGUUCUUAUUGUUGCAAAUAGCAAUUAUGUGCCCGUAGAUUUUAUUGUUCUUGACAUAGAUUGCAAUCUUUCAUGUCCUAUUAUUCUUGGUAGACCUUUCCUUAGAACGACUGGUGCAAUUAUUGAUAUGAAGGAAGGAAAUAUUAGAUUCCAAUUUCCAUUAAGGAAAGGCAUGGAACACUUUCCUAGAAAGUAAAUUAAAUUACCUUAUGAAUCUAUUAUGAUAGCCACUUAUGGAUUGCCUACCAAAGAUGGCAAUACCUAGAUCUAUCCUUGCUUGUUAUGCCUAGCUAGGGGCGUUAAACGAUAGCGCUUGUUGGGAGGCAACCCAAUUUUAUUUUUAUUCCUUGAUUUUUUCUCCUGUUUAGUAAUAAAUAAUUUAUAUAGCCUCUGUUUUGGUUCUGUUCUUUGUGUUUAAUUAGUGUUUGUGCCAAGUAGAACCGUUAGGAAGACUUGGGGAAAGUCUUGUUACACUUGCUGUAAAAAACUGAAACUUCAGCGCUCACGAGAACUGCUGCCAUUUUUAUUUGGAAAGUGCUAUGUAGUUAAUUAUUUUUCAGAUGAUUAACAGAUAAAUUCCUCACGUCCAGAAAUUUAUUUUAGAAUUUUUGGGGUUCCAGCUCUUGAGCUAGCUACAGAGUACUACAGGCUGUUCUGUUUUUGAAAGAUUCUGUUUUUCGUGUGUUGUUUGCUUAUUUUGAUGAACCUAUGGCUAGUAAAAUAGUUUAUAUACCAUAGAGAAAUUGGAAUACAGUAGGUAUAACACCAAUAUAAAUAAAUAAUGAGUUCAUUACAGUACCUUGAAGUGGUCUUUUAUUUUCUUUCGCUAACGGAGCUCAUGAGAUUUUCUACUUUAAGUUUUGUGUUGUGAAGUUUUCAAGUUUUGGGUAAAGAUUUGAUGGAUUAUGGAACAAGGAGUGACAAGAGCCUAAGCUUGGGGGUUCCCAUGGCACCCCCAAGAUAAUCUAAGUACACCUAAAAACCAAAGCUUGGGGAUGCGCCGGAAGUCAUCCCCUCUUUCAUCUACUUCUAUCGGUAACUUUACUUGGAGCUAUAUUUUUAUUCGCCACAUGAUAUGUGUUUUGCUUGGAGCGUCUUGUAUUAUUUGAGUCUUUAUUUGUUAGUUUACCACAAUCAUCCUUGCUGUACACACCUUUUGAGAGAGCCAUACAUGAUUUGGAAUUUGUUAGAAUACUCUAUGUGCUUCGCUUAUAUCUUUUGAGUUAUAUAGUUUUGCUCUAGUACUUCACUUAUAUCUUUUAGAGCACGGUGGUGGAUUUGUUUUAUAGAAACAAUUGAUCUCUCAUGCUCCACUUAGAUUAUUUUGAGAUUCUUAAUAGCAUGUUAAUUUGCUUAAAAUCCUAAUAUGCUAGGUAUUCAAAGUUAGUAAAAUUUUCUUAAGAGUGUUUUGAAUACUAAGAGAAGUUUGAUGCUUGAUGAUUGUUUUGAGAUAUGGAGGUAAUAAUAUCAAAGUCGUUCUCGUUGACUAGUUGUGAAAUUGAGAAAUACUUGUGUUGAAGUUUGCAUGUCCCGUAGCACGCACGUAUGGUAAACGUUGUGUAACAAAUUUGAAACAUGAGGUGUUAUUUGAUUGUCUUCCUUGUGAGUGGCGGUCGGGGACGAGCGAUGGUCUUUUCCUACCAAUCGAUCCCCCUAGGAGCAUGCGAAUAGUACCAAGGUUUUUGAUGACUUGUAGAUUUUUGCAGUAAGUAUGUGAGUUCUUUAUGACUAAUGUUGAGUCCAUGAAUUAUACGCACUCUCACCCUUCCAUCCUUGCUAGCCUCUUCGGUACCGUGCAUUGCCCUUUCCCACAUUGAGAGUUGGAGCAAACUUCGCCAGUGCAUCCAAACCCCGUGCUAUGAUACGCUCAUUCACACAUAAACCUCCUUAUAUCUUCCUCAAAACAGCCACCAUACCUACCUAUUAUGGCAUUUCCAUAGCCAUUCCGACAUAUAUUGCCAUGCAACUUUCCACCAUUCCGUUCAUCAUGACACAUUCAUCAUUGUCAUAUUGCGUAGCAUAAUCAUGUAGUUGACAUAGUAUUUGUGGCAAGGCCACCGUUCAUAAUUCAUUCAUACAUGUCACUCUUGGUCCAUUGCAUGUCCCGGUACACCGCCGGAGGCAUUCAUAUAGAGCCAUACUUUGUUCUAGUAUCGAGUAGUAAUUAUUGAGUCGUAAAUAAAUAGAAGUGUGAUGAUCAUCAUUAAUAGAGCAUGGUCCCAAAAAGAAAAAAAAGGAAGGGCCAAAAAAAGGCCAAAUAAAAAAAUAUAAAAAAGGGGGCAAUGCUACUAUCCUUUUUUUCCAAACUUGUGCUUCCAAGUAGCACCGUAAUCUUCAAGAUAGAGAGUCUCUUGAUUUGUCACUUUCAUAUACUAGUGGGAAUUUUUCAUUAUAGAACUUGGCUUGUAUAUUCCAACAAUGGGCGUCCCCAAGUUCCCUAGGUCUUCGUGAGCAAGCAAGUUGGAUGCACACCCACUUAGUUUCUUUUGUUGAGCUUUCAUACAUUUAUAGCUCUAGUGCAUCCGUUGCAUGGCAAUUCCUACUCCUUGCAUUAACAUCAAUCAAUGGGCAUCUCCAUAGCCCAUUGAUUAGCCUCGUUGAUGUGAGACUUUCUCCUUUUUGUCUUCUCCACAUAACCCCACUCAUUAGAUUCUAUUCCACCCAUAGUGUUAUGUCCAUGGCUUGCAAUCAUAUAUUGCGUGAAAGUUUAUAGGUUUGAGAUCACUAAAGUAUGAAACAAUUGCUUGGCUUGUCAUCGGGGUUGUGCAUGAUGAGAGCAUACUUGUGUGACGAAAAUGAAGCAUGACUAAACUAUAUGAUUUUGUAGGGGUGAACUUUCUUUGGCCAUGUUAUUUUGAGAAGACACAAUUGCUCAGUUAGUAUGCUUAAAGUAUUAUUAUUUUAUGUCAAUAUGAACUUUUGUCUUGAAUGUUUCAGAUCCGAAUAUUCAUACCACAAUUAAGAAGAAUUACAUUAAAAUCAUGCCAAGUAGCACUCCACAUCAAAAAUUCUGUUUUUAUCAUUUACCUACUCGAGGACGAGCCGGAAUUAAGCUUGGGGAUGCUUGAUACAUCUCCAACGUAUCUAUAAUUUUUGAUUGCUCCAUGCUAUAUUAUCUACUGUUUUGGACAAUAUUGGGCUUUAUUAUCCACUUGUAUAUUAUUUUUGGGACUAACCUAUUAACCGGAGGCCCAGCCCAGAAUUGUUGUUUUUUGCCUGUUUUAGGGUUUCGAAGAAAAGGAAUAUCAAACGGAGUCCAAACGGAAUGAAACCUUCGGGAACGUGAUUUUCUCAACGAACAAGAUCUAGGAGACUUGGACCCUCCAUCAAGACAUAAAAGAGGAGGCCACGAGGUAGGGGGCGUNNNNNNNNNNNNNNNNNNNNNNNNNNNNNNNNNNNNNNNNNNNNNNNNNNNNNNNNNNNNNNNNNNNNNNNNNNNNNNNNNNNNNNNNNNNNNNNNNNNNNNNNNNNNNNNNNNNNNNNNNNNNNNNNNNNNNNNNNNNNNNNNNNNNNNNNNNNNNNNNNNNNNNNNNNNNNNNNNNNNNNNNNNNNNNNNNNNNNNNNNNNNNNNNNNNNNNNNNNNNNNNNNNNNNNNNNNNNNNNNNNNNNNNNNNNNNNNNNNNNNNNNNNNNNNNNNNNNNNNNNNNNNNNNNNNNNNNNNNNNNNNNNNNNNNNNNNNNNNNNNNNNNNNUGGGCCCCCCUGUUGCUCCACCGACGUACUCCUUCCUCCUAUAUAUACCUACUAUUGGGGAACGUAGCAGAAUUUUAAAAUUUUCUACGCAUACCAAGAUCAAUCUAUGGAGUCAUAUAGCAACGAGGGAGAGAGGAGUGCAUCUACAUACCCUUGUAGAUCGCGCGCGGAAGCGUUCAAGAGAACGGGGUUGAUGGAGUCGUACUCGUCGUGAUCCAAAUCACCGAUGACCAAGUGCCGAAUGGACAGCACCUCCGCGUACAACACACGUACGGUUGGGAAGACGUCUCCUCCUUCUUGAUCCAGCAAGGGGGAAGGAGAGGUUGAUGAAGAUCCAGCAGCACGACGGCGUGGUGGUGGAUGCAGCAGGAUCCCGGCAGGGCUUCGCCAAGCGCAAGCGGGGAGGAGAGGUGUUACGGAAGGAGAGGGAGGCGCCAAGAGCAAGGGUGCGGCUGCCCUCCCUCCCCCCCCUCUUUAUAUAGGGGCCUUGGGGGGGCGCCGGCCCUAGGAGAUGGAUCUCCAAGGGGGGCGAAGGCCAAGGGGUGGCUUCCCCCCCAAGCCAAGUGGGGGGCGCCCCCACCCCUAGGGUUUCCCAACCCUAGGCGCAUGGGAGGCCCAAGGGGGGCGCACCAGCCCACUAGGGGCUGGUUCUGCUCCCAAUUCAGCCCAUGGGGCCCUCCGGGAUGGGUGGCCCCACCCGGUGGACCCCCGGGACCCUUCCGGUGGUCCUGGUACAAUACCGGUGACCCCCGAAACCUUCCCGAUGGCCGAAAUUGUACUUCCUAUAUAUAAAUCUUUACCUCCGAACCAUUCCGGAACUCCUCGUGACGUACGGGAUCUCAUCCGGUACUCCGAACAUAUCCUUGGUUACUACAUACUAAUAUCUCUACAACCCUAGCGUCACCGAACCUUAAGUGUGUAGACCCUACGGGUUCGGGAGACAUGCAGACAUGACAGAGACGCCUCUCCGGUCAAUAACCAACAGCGGGAUCUGGAUACCCAUGUUGGCUCCCACGUGCUCCACGAUGAUCUCAUCGGAUGAACCACGAUGUCGAGGAUUCAAUCAAUCUGUGUAGAAUUCCCUUUGUCAAUCGGUACGUUACUUGCCCGAGACUCGAUCGUCGGUAUCCCAAUACCUCGUUCAAUCUCGUUACCAGCAAGUCACUUUACUCGUGCCGUAAUGCAUGAUCCCAUGAUCAACCACUUGGUCACAAUGAGCUCAUUAUGAUCAUGCAUUACCGAGUGGGCCCAGAGAUACCUCUCCGUCAUACGGAGUGACAAAUCCCAGUCUCGAUUCGUGCCAACCCAACAGACACUUUCGGAGAUACCUGUAAUGUACCUUUAUAGUCACCCAGUUACGUUGUGACGUUUGGCACACCCAAGGCACUCCUACGGUAUCCGGGAGUUGCCCAAUCUCAUGGUCUAAGGAAAUGAUACUUGACAUUCGGAAAAGCUACAGCAAACGAACUACACGAUCUUUGAGCUAUGCUUAGGAUUGGGUCUUGUCCAUCACAUCAUUCUCCUAAUGAUGUGAACCCGUUAUCAAUGACAUCCAAUGUCCAUAGUCAGGAAACCAUGACUAUCUUUUGAUCAACGAGCUAGUCAACUAGAGGCUCACUAGGGACGUGUUGUCGUCUAUGUAUUCACACAUGUAUUACGAUUUCCGGAUAACACAAUUAUAGCAUGAAAAAUAGACAAUUAUCAUGAACAAAGAAAUAUAAUAAUAACCAUUUUAUUAUUGCCUCUAGGGCAUAUUUCCAACAGUCUCCCACUUGCACUAGCGUCAGUAGUCUAGUUACAUUUUGAUGAAUCCAACACCCAUGAAGUUCUGGAGUUGAUCAUGUUUUGCUCUAGGGAGAGGUUUAGUCAAUGGAUCUGCCACAUUCAGGUCCGUAUGUACUUUACAAAUCUCUAUGUAUCCAUUUUGAACACUUUCAUGAAUGGAGUUGAAGUGACGCUUGAUAUGCCUGGUCUUCCUGUGAAAUCUGGGCUCCUUGGCAAGUGCAAUAGCUCCAGUGUUGUCACAGAAUAGAGUCAUCGGGCCCGGUGCAUUGGGUGUGACUCCUAGGUCGGUAAUGAACUCCUUCACCCAGAUUGCUUCUUGUGCUGCCUCCGAGGCUGCCAUGUACUCUGCUUCACAUGUAGAUCCCGCCACAACGCUUUGCUUGCAACUCCACCAGCUUACUGCCCCACCAUUCAAAAUAUACACGUAUCCGGUUUCCGACUUAGAGUCAUCCAGAUCUGUGUCGAAGCUAGCAUCAACGUAACCCUUUACGACGAGCUCUUCGUCACCUCCAUAAACGAGAAACAUAUCCUUAGUCCUUUUUAGGUACUUGAGGAUAUUCUUGACUGCUGUCUAGUGUUCCAUGCCGGGAUUACUUUGGUACCUUCCUACCAAACUUACGGCAAGGUUUUCAUCAGGUCUGGUACACAGCAUAGCAUACAUGAUAGACCCUAUGGCCGAGGCAUAGGGGAUGACACUCAUCUUUUCUCUAUCUUCUGUCGUGGUCGUGCAUUGAGCCUCGCUCAAUCUCGUACCUUGCAAUACAGGCAAGAACCCUUCUUUUACUGAUCCAUUUUGAACUUCUUCAAUAUCUUAUCAAGGUAUGUACUCUGUGAAAGACCAAUGAGGCGUCUCGAUCUAUCUCUAUAGAUCUUGAUGCCUAAUAUAUAAGCAGCUUCUCCAAGAUCCUUCAUUGAAAAACACGUGUUCAAGUAGGCCUUUAUGCUUUCCAAGAAUUCUAUAUCAUUUCCCAUCAACAAUAUGUCAUCCACAUCCAAUAUGAGAAAUGCUACAAAGCUCCCACUCACUUUCUUGUAAAUGCAGACUUCUCCAUAAGUAUGCGUAAACCCAAACGCUUUGAUCAUCUCAUCAAAACGAAUGUUCCAUCUCCGAGAUGCUUGCACCAGCCCAUAAAUCGAAUGUUGGAGCUUGUACACCUUGUCAGCAUUCUUAGGAUCGACAAAACCUUCCGGCUGCAUCAUAUACAAUUCUUCCUUAAGGAAACCAUUAAGGAAUGUUGUUUUGACGUCCAUUUGCCAUAUUCAUAAUCAUAGAAUGCGGCAAUUGCUAACAUCGUAGUCAACCCCUUGAACUUGCCGAUAACCCUUAGCGACAAGCCGAGCUUUAUAGAUGGUCACAUUACCAUCCGCGUCUGUCUUCUUCUUAAAGAUCCAUUUAUUUUCUAUGGCUCGCCGAUCAUCGGGCAAGUCAGUCAAAGUCCAUACUUUGUUUUCAUACAUGGAUCUUAUCUCGGAUUUCAUGGCUUCCAGCCAUUUGUUGGAAUUCAGGCCCGCCAUCGCUUCUUCAUAGUUCGAAGUUCACCGUUGUCUAACAACAUGAUUUCCAAGACAGGGUUGCCGUACCACUCUGGUGCGGGACGUGUCCCCGUGGACCUACGAAGUUCAGUAGCAACUUGAUCUGAAGUUUCAUGAUCAUCAUCAUCAAUUUCCUCUCUAGUCGUUGCAGGCACCUUAGGAACAUUUUCUUGAGCUGCGCCACUUACCGGUUCAAGAGGUAAUAAUACUUCAUCAAGUUCUACUUUCCUCCCACUUAUUUCUUUCGAGAGAAACUCUUUCUCUAGAAAGGACCCAUUCUUGGCAACAAAGAUCUUGCCUUCGGAUCUGAGGUAGAAGGUAUACCCAAUAGUUUCUUUAGGGUAUCCUAUGAAGACGCAUUUUUCCAAUUUGGGUUCGAGCUUUUCAGGUUGAAGUUUCCUUACAUAAGCAUCGCAUCCCCAAACUUUUAGAAAUGACAUCUUAGGUGUCUUCCCAAACCAUAAUUCAUACGGUGUCAUCUCAACGGAUUUCGACGGAGCCCUAUUUAAAGUGAAUGCGGCAGUCUCUAAAGCAUAGCCCCAAAAUGACAGCGGUAAAUCGGUAAGAGACAUCAUAGAUCGCACCAUAUCUAAUAGAGUGCGAUUAUGACAUUCCGACACACCAUUACGCUGAGGUGUUCCAGGCGGCGUGAGUUGUGAAACUAUUCCACAUUUUCUUAAGUGUGUGCCAAAUUCGUGACUCAAGUAUUCUCCCCCACGAUCUGAUCGCAAGAACUUGAUUUGCCUGUCACGUUGAUUCUCAACCUCACUUUGAAAUUCCUUGAACUUUUCAAAGGUCUCAGACUUGUGUUUCAUUAAGUAGACAUACCCAUAUCUACUCAAGUCAUCAGUGAGGGUGAGAACAUAACGAUAGCCACCGCGCCUCAACACUCAUUGGACCGCACACAUCAGUAUGUAUGAUUUCCAAUAAGUUGGUUACUCGCUCCAUUGUUCCUGAGAACGGAGUCUUGGUCAUUUUACCCAUGAGGCAUGGUUCGCACGUGUCAAAUGAUUCGUAAUCAAGAGACUUUAAAAGUCUAUCUGCAUGGAGCUUCUUCAUGCGUUUGACACCUAUGUGACCAAGGCGGCAAUGCCACAAGUAUGUGGGACUAUCAUUAUCAACCUUACAUCUUUUGGUAUUCACACUAUGAAUAUGUGUAACAUUAUGCUCGAGAUUCAUUAAGAAUAAACCAUUCACCAAUGGAGCAUGACCAUAAAACAUAUCUCUCAUAUAAAUAGAACAACCAUUAUUCUCGGAUUUAAAUGAGUAGCCAUCUCAAAUUAACCGAGAUCCUGAUACAAUGUUCAUGCUCAAAGCUGGCAGUAAAUAACAAUUAUUGAGGUUUAAAACUAAUCCCAUAGGCAAAUGUAGAGGCAGCGUGCCGACGGCGAUCACAUCAACCUUGGAACCAUUCCCGACGCACAUCGUCACCUCGUCCUUCGCCAGUCUCCGUUUAAUCCGCAGCUCCUGCUUUGAGUUACAAAUGUGAGCAACUGCACCGGUAUCAAAUACCCAGGAGCUACUACGAGUACUGGUAAGGUACACAUCAAUUACAGGUAUAUCACAUAUACCUUUAGUGUUGCCGGCCUUCUUGUCCGCUAAGUAUUUGGGGCAGUUCCGCUUCCAGUGACUACUUCCCUUGCAAUAAAAACACUCAGUCUCGAGCUUGGAUCCAUUCUUUGGCUUCUUCCCGGAAACUUGCUUAGCGGGCGCGGCAACUCCCUUGCCGUCCUUCUUGAAUUCUUCUUACCCUUGCCUUUCUUGAACUUAGUGGUUUUAUUCACCAUCAACACUUGAUGUUCCUUUUUGAUUUCCACCUCUGCUGAUUUCAGCAUUGAAUAUACCUCAGGAAUGGUCUUUUCCAUCCCCUGCAUAUUGAAGUUGAUCACAAAGCUCUUGUAGCUCGGUGGAAGCGACUGAAGGAUUCUGUCAAUGACCGCGUCAUUCGGGAGGUUAACUCCCAGCUGAGUCAAGCGGUUAUGCAACCCAGACAUUUUGAUUAUGUGCUCACUGACAGAACUAUUUUCCUCCAUCUUAUAGCUGAAGAACUUGUCGGAGACUUCAUAUCUCUCGACCCGGGCAUGAGCUUGAAAAACCAUUUUCAGCUCUUCGAACAUCUCAUAUGCUCCAUGUCUCUCAAAAUGCUUUUGGAGCCCCGGUUCUAAGCUGUAAAGCAUGCCGCACUGAACGAGGGAGUAAUCAUCAGCACGUAACUGCCAAGCGUUGAUAAUGUCUUGGUUCUCUGGGACAGGUGCGUGACCUAACGGUGCUUCUAGGACAUAAUAUUUCUUGGCAGCUACGAGGAUGAUCCUCAGGUUCCGGACCCAGUCCGUAUAGUUGCUGCCAUCGUCUUUCAGCUUGGUUUUCUCUAGGAACGCGUUGAAAUUGAGGACAACGUGGGCCAUUUGAUCUACAAGACAUAUUGUAAAGAUUUUAGACUAAGUUCAUGAUAAUUAAGUUCAUCUAAUCAAAUUAUACAAUGAACUCCCACUCAGAUAGACAUCCCUCCAGUCAUCUAAGUGAAACAUGAUCCAAGUUAACUAGGCUGUGUCGGAUCAUCACGUGAAACGGACUAGUCAACAUCGGUGAACAUCUUCAUGUUGAUCGUAUCUUCUAUACGACUCAUGCUCGACCUUUCGGUCUUCUGUGUUCCGAGGCCAUGUCUGUACAUGCUAGGCUCGUCAACUAAACCUAAGUGUAUUGCGUGUGUAAAUCUGGCUUACACCCGUUGUAUUCGAACGUUAGAAUCUAUCACACUCGAUCAUCACGUGGUGCUUCGAAACAACGAACCUUCGCAACGGUGCACAGUUAGGGGGAACACUUUCUUGAAAUUAUUUCGAGGGAUCAUCUUAUUUAAGCUACCGUCGUUCUAAGCAAAUAAGAUGUAAAACAUGAUAAACAUCACAUGCAAUCAAAUAGUGACAUGAUAUGGCCAAUAUCAUUUGCUCCUUUUGAUCUCCAUCUUUGGGGCUCCAUGAUCAUCGUUGUCACCAGCAUGACACCAUGAUCUCCAUCAUCAUGUCUUCUUGAAGUUGUCUCGUCAUCUAUUACUUCUACUACUAUGGCUAAUGCUUUAGCAAUAAAGUAAAGUAAUUACAUGACGUUUAUGUUGACACGCAGGUCAUAAAAAAAUAAAGACAACUCCUAUGGCUCCUGCCGGUUGUCAUACUCAUCGACAUGCAAGUCGUGAUUCCUAUUACAAGAACAUGAUCAAUCUCAUACAUCACAUAUAUCAUUCAUCACAUCCUUUUGGCCAUAUCACAUCAGACGGCACAUGCUGCAAAAACAAGUUAGACGUCCUCUAAUUGUUGUUGCAAGUUUUUACAUGGCUGCUAUAGGUUUCUAGCAAGAACGUGUCUUACCUACGCCAAAACCACAACGUGAUAUGCCAAUUUCUAUUUACCCUUCAUAAGGACCCUUUUCAUCGAAUCCGAUCUAACUAAAGUGGGAGAGAUAGACACCCGCCAGCCACCUUAUGCAAGUAAUGCAUGUCAAUCGGUGGAACCAGUCUCACGUAAGCGUACGUGUAAGGUCGGUCCGGGCCGCUUCAUCCCACGAUGCCGCCGAAUCAAGAUAAGACUAGUAACGGCAAGCAAAGUGACAAUAUCCACGCCCACAACUGCUUUGUGUUCUACUCGUGCAUAGAAACUACGCAUAGACCUGGCUCAUGAUGCCACUAUUGGGGAAUGUAGCAGAAUUUUAAAAUUUUCUACGCAUCACCAAGAUCAAUCUAUGGAGUUAUCUAGCAAUGAGGAAGAGAGGAGUGCAUCUACAUACCCUUGUAGAUCGCGCGCGGAAGCGUUCAAGAGAACGGGGUUGAUGGAGUCGUACUCGUCGUGAUCCAAAUCACCGAUGACCAAGUGCCGAACGGACAGCACCUCCGCGUUCAACACACGUCCGGUUGGGAAGACGUCUCCUCCUUCUUGAUCCAGCAAGGGGGAAGGAGAGGUUGAUGAAGAUCCAGCAGCACGACGGCGUGGUGGUGGAUGCAACAGGAUCCCGGCAGGGCUUCGCCAAGCGCAAGCGGGGAGGAGAGGUGUUACGGAGGGAGAGAGAGGCGCCAAGAGCAAGGGUGCGGCUGCCUUCCCUCCCCCCUCUUUAUAUAGGGGCCAUGGCGGGCGCCGGCCCUAGGAGAUGGAUCUCCAAGGGGGGCGAAGGCCAAGGGGUGGCUCCCCCCCCCAAGCCAAGUGGGGGGCGCCCCCACCCCUAGGGUUUCCCAACCCUAGGCGCAGGGGAGGCCCAAGGGGGCGCACCAGCCCACUAGGGGCUGGUUCCCCUCCCAAUUCAGCCCAUGGGGCCCUCCGGGAUGGGUGGCCCCACCCGGUGGACCCCCGGGACCCUUCCGGUGGUCCCGAUACAAUACCGGUUACCCCCGAAACCUUCCCGAUGGCCGAAACUGUACUUCCUAUAUAUAAAUCUUUACCUCCAAACCAUUUCAGAACUCCUCGUGACGCCCGGGAUCUCAUCCGGGACUCCGAACAACUUUCGGCUUACUACAUACUAAUAUCUAUACAACCCUAGCGUCACCGAACCUUAAGUGUGUAGACCCUACGGGUUUCGGAGACAUGCAGACAUGACUGAGACGCCUCUCCAGUCAAUAACCAACAGCGGGAUCUGGAUACCCAUGUUGGCUCCCACAUGCUCCACGAUGAUCUCAUCGGAUGAACCACGAUGUCGAGCAUUCAAUCAAUCUGUAUACAAUUCCCUUUAUCAAUCAGUACGUUACUUGCCCGAGACUCGAUCGUCAGUAUCCCAAUACCUUGUUCAAUCUCGUUACCGGCAAGUCACUUUACUCAUACCAUAAUGCAUGAUCCCGUGAUCAACCACUUGGUCACAUUGAGCUCAUUAUGAUGAUGCAUUACCGAGUGGGCCCAGAGAUACCUCUUCAUCACGCGGAGUGACAAAUCCCAGUCUCGAUUCAUGCCAACCCAAUAGACACUUUCGGAGAUACCUGUAAUGUACCUUUAUAGUCACCCAGUUACGUUGUGACGUUUGGCACACCCAAGGCACUCCUACGGUAUCCGGGAGUUUCACAAUCUCAUGGUCUAAGGAAAUGAUACUUGACAUUCGGAAAAGCUACAGCAGAUGAACUACACGACCUUUGAGCUAUGCUUAGGAUUGGGUCUUGUCCAUCACAUCAUUCUCCUAAUGAUGUGAUCCCAUUAUCAAUGACAUCCAAUGUCCAUAGUCAGGAAACCAUGACUAUCUUUUGAUCAACAAGCUAGUCAACUAGAGGCUCACUAGGGACGUGUUGUGGUCUAUGUAUUCACACAUGUAUUACGAUUUCCGGAUAACACAAUUAUAGCAUGAACAAUAGACAAUUAUCAUGAACAAAGAAAUAUAAUAAUAACCAUUUUAUUAUUGCCUCUAGGGCAUAUUUCCAACACCUACGUACCCCCAAACGAUCAUAUACGGAGCCAAAACCCUAAUUCCACCGCCGCAACUUUCUGUAUCCACGAGAUCCCAUCUUGGGGCCUGUUCCGGAGCUCCGCCAGAGGGGGCAUCGAUCACGGAGGGCUUCUACAUCAACACCAUAGCCUCUCUGAUGAAGUGUGAGUAGUUCACCUCAGACCUACGGUUCCAUAGUUAUUAGCUAGAUGGCUUCUUCUCUCUUUUUGGAUCUCAAUACAAUGUUCUCCCCAUCUCUUGUGGAGAACUAUUCGAUGUAAUCUUCUUUUUGCGGUGUGUUUGUUGAGACCGAUGAAUUGUGGGUUUAUGAUCAAGUCUAUCUAUGAAUAAUAUUUGAAUCUUCUCUGAAUUGUUUUAUGUAUGAUAGGUUAUCUUUGCAAGUCUCUUCGAAUUAUCAGUUUGGUUUGGCCUACUAGAUUGAUCUUUCUUGCAAUGGGAGAAGUGCUUAGCUUUGGGUUCAAUCUUGCGGUGUCCUUUCCCAGUGACAGUAGGGGCAGCAAGGCACGUAUUAUAUUGUUGCCAUCGAGGACAACAAGAUGGAGUUUUCAUCAUAUUGCAUGAGUCUAUCCCUCUACAUCAUGUCAUCUUGCUUAAGGCGUUAAUCUGUUUUUAACUUAAUACUCUAGAUGCUUGCUGGAUAGCGAUCGAUUAGUGGAGUAAUAGUAGUAGAUGCAGGCAGGAGUCGGUCUACUUGUCUCGGACGUGAUGCCUAUAUACAUGAUCAUACCUAGAUAUUCUCAUAACUAUGCUCAAUUCUGUCAAUUGCUCAACAAUAAUUUGUUCACCCACCGUAGAAUAUUUAUGCUCUCGAGAGAAGCCACUAGUGAAACCUAUGGCCCCGGGUCUAUCUUUAUCAUAUUAAUCUCCUACUACUUAGUUAUUUCCUUUGCUUUUUACUUUGCCUUUAUUUUACUUUGCAUCUUUAUCACAAAAAUACGAAAAAAAUUAUCUUUAUCAUAUCUAUCAAAUCUCACUCUCGUAAGUGGCCGUGUAGGAAUUGACAACCCCUAUUCGCGUUGGUUGCGAGGAUUUAUUUGUUUUGUGCAGGUACGAGGGACUCGCGCGUAGCCUCCUACUGGAUUGAUACCUUGGUUCUCAAAACCUGAGGGAAAUACUUACGCUACUUUGCUGCAUCAUCCCUUCCUCUUCGGGGAAAACCAAGGCAGUGCUCAAGAGGUAGCAAGGGUUCCUUUUUGUCGACGAUCCGAUGUUUCAACCCUGUUUUCCAGGUGGCCAACGCGUCGCUAAACUUGGUGACGGCGUGUUUGUUUAUCUUCUUCAUUGCCAGGUCCUUAUCUGGAUCUUUAUUAUCCUUUUCACUGCGGUCUGGGAACAAGAUUAUCUGGUGCAGUUUCUUAAGGAGGGAGGGCCUCAUAUUAUCUAUCUUCUGUAGUUUCCCAUCGUUGAUCGUGGCAGUUGUCCGUACGAUGCAACCUAUUUGAUUGCCGUAGCACGAUCGCGCUUCCUCGGGCGCUAUUGUCUCAAAAAUACCGCCGUCCAUCUCCGUGACCGCCAGUCUACUACUCAUGAGCUGGUUUGGGCGCUGUGGCCUCUUUGCUUUCGGUUCUAGACCAGCUCCGCUAGUCUCGGCGCCUGUCUCAGUUUCAUCAUCGGUCCGCAUGUCGGUAUCAGUCCCCGAUGCGACACCACAGUUGCUGCAACAUGGGUAAGGGAGACCACGUCAGUGGUGGGGGGUCUGAAAAUCAGAACACACUUUCGCGCGUCGCGGGCCGCCUCUCAGACAGCUACUGGGGAGGCGGUGGAGUACCUGGGUGCGCGGCGAAUCCCCGGGAACUCGGUGACCAACUUCCUUCCCGUGUGGCGCAUGGAGACGACGGCGACCCCGGCGAAGAGCAGCUUAGCCGCGAGCUGCACAGCCUCGUCCACCUCCUAAGUUGGGACCUCCGCGCGAGCGUUGCGGGGCCGCCACUCGGAUGGCUUCUGGAAGGCGGUUGUACAUGGGCACAUGGUGAAUCCCGGCGAGAGCUGGCCAUUGGCGCGCGCAAGUAGACGACGAUGUCCUCGAAGAAGAGCAGCCCGGCCAGCUCGCCUCACUAUCCUUUGAUUAGAAAUGAAAGAUUGGGAAGAAGCAGACUUGAGCCUGCAGGGAAAGGAUAAGGUGACGAUGCAGUCUCCACUCGUUCGGGGCGACACUCGUACUGAAUGUAUGAGAAACGUGACGUGGCAGAGACCCCAAGAUACUCCCUCCAUUUAUUUUUAGUCUGCAUAUAAAGUUUGGUCAAAGUCAAGAUUUGUAAAUUUUAACUAACUUUAUAAUAAAAAAAUAUCAACAUUCACAAUAUGAAAUCAAUAUUACCAGAUGCGUCAUGAAAUGUAUUUCCAUACUAUAUAGUUUUGGUAUUGUAGAUGUUCAUAUUUUUUUAUAUAUAUGGGAAGUAGAGGCACUCUUCUAUAUAAUGAAGUUUAUAAUAUAUGUGCUUAUAUUGUACUAUAAUUGUUUGAAUAACUUAGCAUAUAUUCAGAUGUAUGAUAUCUGUAAUUUAAACGCUUGAAUUUUACAUAUGAAUAUUUAUUAAUAAAUAUGUACCCCUAUAAUAGCUAGGCCGUGCAGUUGCACGGGUAGAUGACUAGUGAUUACAAUCUUGCUUGUGUGCAAGUCAAGCUUAUCUAGUUUACACGUAACAACUUAUAGAACAUUACAAAAUUUAUGCUUGCUAAUAACUUCUAGAACACUACAACACUUGACAUGUAAAAGGAAUUUGAUGAGUCAUGGCCUACUAAAGCAAGUUACAUUACUAGUCUUAUCUAUCUUAACAGACCACACAAGAUUACAAACUAUGUACCGUGACAGCCAUGCUUAUCUAGUUUAUGCGUAACAAUUUGCAGAAAAUUACAAACUUAGUUUCAGAAAGAUAGGCAAUCUAGAUUAGUGUUUGAGCUGUAAAGUGAAUAAGAUGAGUCAUGCAUGUCAUCACACCUUUUUGGUGGUGGAAUGAUAGUGCAACAACAAGGAACUUUAAUGACCAGUCCAAGAAUACACUUGUAAGUAGUGCCACCAAACAGAACAUACCAAAUGAUGAUUUUGAGAAGCAUCCAAGCACUUUCCACACAAACAAAUGCCAAUUGUGAAAGAGAUCAUUCCAUGGCAGCUAUAAAUAGCCCCAUAGCAUGACGAUCAUCCUUCCUCAUCCAUCAUUCUCAUAAGUAGAGCACAUCAUUUAAGCCAAGCAAGUUGUGGUCAAUACAAAUCCACCAUGAAGACCUUUCUCAUCCUUGCCCUCCUUGCUAUCGUGGCGACCACCGCCACAACUGCAGUUAGAGUUCCAGUGCCACAAUUGCAGCCACAAAAUCCAUCUCAGCAACAGCCACAGGAGCAAGUUCCAGUGGUACAACAACAACAAUUUCUAGGGCAGCAACAACCAUUUCCACCACAACAACCAUAUCCACAGCCGCAACCAUUUCCAUCACAACAACCAUAUCUGCAGCUGCAACCAUUUCCGCAGCCGCAACUACCAUAUUCGCAGCCACAACCAUUUCAACCACAACAACCAUAUCCACAACCGCAACCACAGUAUUCGCAACCACAACAACCAAUUUCACAGCAGCAGCAGCAGCAGCAGCAGCAGCAACAACAACAACAACAACAACAACAACAACAACAACCACAACAAAUCCUUCAACAAAUUUUGCAACAACAACUGAUUCCAUGCAUGGAUGUUGUAUUGCAGCAACACAACAUAGCGCAAGGAAGAUCACAAGUUUUGCAACAAAGUACUUACCAGCUGUUGCAAGAAUUGUGUUGUCAGCACCUAUGGCAGAUCCCUGAGCAGUCGCAGUGCCAGGCCAUCCACAAUGUUGUUCAUGCUAUUAUUCUGCAUCAACAACAAAAACAACAACAACAACAACAACAACAACAACCAUCGAGUCAGGUCUCCUUCCAACAGCCUCAGCAACAAUAUCCAUUAGGCCAGGGCUCCUUCCGGCCAUCUCAGCAAAACCCACAGGCCCAGGGCUCUGUCCAGCCUCAACAACUGCCCCAGUUCGAGGAAAUAAGGAACCUAGCGCUACAGACACUACCUGCAAUUUGCAAUGUCUACAUCCCUCCAUAUUGCACCAUCGCGCCAUUUGGCAUCUUCGGUACUAACUGAGAAGAAAAUAACUCUAGUACUAGAUAUAUGAAACACCGUUUUCUCAGUCCAUGGUUUGGUCGUUGUAGCGGUGAAAAAAUAAUGUGGCAUGCACUAUCAUGUAAGAACCCAAACUAUACUAGUUCAAACUUGGGAAUAAAAGACAAACACAGGUCUUGUCUACAUAUUUAUGUCGCAUCUAUUUAUAUAUUAAAAGUAAUAUAAGGUGAACCAGGAGCAAGGUAAAUAUGCUAGAAAAUUGCACGUUAAUUAGAAAUUACUAGCCCUCAAUCCGGUAAAUCUUAACAAAUAGAAUUAUCUUGACCGUUAGAUUUAUGUAACAUAUAUAAUUCUCUGGGCCUCCAACGACUGUACGUGACACAUCUGAACGCACAUAUGUUAAAGAAAAUAUAUUUGGUAAAUGGUGGGCCUCUUUAAAAAGAGAACUCACGUACAUGCACCAACUAAGAAAAACACAUACAUGUAAACGGGAAAAGGGCUCCACCCCGUUGAAAAAAUAUACAUCUGGAGGCCACUUUGUUUCCUCAUAAAAAAAAACUUACGUUAAAAAGAUUGCAUGCAUCCCAGGGAAAAUAGUCAAGAAGAAGUCGGACUCUUCCUUACAAAAACAAGGAACGUGUUAAGUUGACUUCAAAGAAAAAAGGAACAUGUUAAGUUAAAAAAAACAAGAAACCUGUUAAGUUAGAAAAAAACAAGGAACGUGUUGUCCUAGGAAAGAUAUGUGUCAAAUCUUACAAAAAAAAGAAUACACACACGUACGUUCAUGCACUUGGAAAAUAGAAAAAAAAAGGAACAUCACGUAUGUAUACACUUCGGAAACUCAUUACAUGACCAUGUCUGAUAUACUCCUCUAAUGCUUAAUAUUAGUGCCUAAUAAUUUAUAUUUAAAAUUUAAUUUACUGAUCAAAUAUCCCCACUGUUUAAAUUUUAAUUUGGCACAUUGUUUGGCUAUAGUAUGAACCUAAAUUUCCUCUUAUUAUUAUAUAUCAUGAUAAUAAUCCAAAGGCGACUAAUCUGCGCCGGCGCACCGGCGCAAUCAAUUCGGCCCGACACAGCGCGGCCGUUUGAUUAAAUUGCAUUUAACCGUCAGAUCUAGAAUCAUUUUAUUUCCAAUUAAACGGAUUCAACCAAACAGCAGAGGGGAAAACAAAGCAGCACCGCCGCCAACACUAGUCAUGGACGACCGAUGUAGCAAAACCUUGAAGAACCGCCGCCGGUCGCCACCCUCGCCGCUGGUCGCCGCCCUCGCCGCCUGCGUUUCUCAUCGGCUUCAUGCAUGCAACAACAUGCACUCGUGAUUGCAGGCUUGCAGCUCCGGCUCCGGGGGACAUGGCCGCAUCUCCGGUAGCGCCGGCCGCCAGCCGCAGCACCUGUCGUUGUGGUCACGCUGUACCUCGCCGUGUGCCCUCCCAAGGCUCUUGCUGGUUCCAACAAAAAACGAUACCUAUUGUAGCAAAAAAGUUUAUCGCUUCCAGCAAAAAAGCUUACCGCUAUAGCCCGCCAUCAUCAUUGUAGCAAAAAUGUUAACUCGAUGUAGCUUCUGUGGUUGCCGACUGCGGCCAAAAAUGACGUGGUUGUAGCAAAACACAAAAGAAAAACGCCGGCCGUCCGCUGUGUAUGGUGGUAACAAACCCUAUAGCCGGUGGUAGCGAAAAACUUCACUGUUUGCAGCAAAAAAAUGUUGUCGCCCGUCGUCGAGGUUGCAUCAUCUUCAUGAAUUAUGUCGCAAAAAAACGUUGUCGCCGGUAGUAGCAAAUGAAGCCGCCGGUAGUAACAAAACAAGACACUGGUUCCAGCCAAAAAAAUCAGCGACAGAACCUUUUGUUGGUUCCAACAAAAAAACUUGUCGGUUGUAACAUCCCUCGCCGCCGGAUGUAGCAUCUCCCAGGGCUAGUUGCAACACUCCAUAAAAAAAGUUGUCUAUGAGCGCAUCCAUGGCAACUGCUGCACCGUCAGCAACGAGGGGAAGAGGAGGCAAUGAAAAUCGUUCGAGUCGUAGCUCCACUGGACACGGCUGCAGCAUGGGGAGUCCAAAAAUCUGUCACAAGCAAGAUGCGCCUCGCCAUCCUCCUGCGCAGGAGAGAGAAGAAAAAGGAAUAAGAGGAAGAAGAAACGAAACGGGAGAAAGAAAAAAAGAAACGAUUGGUUGUGGGCUCAGGCAAUUAGUCAAAUGAGGGGCACGCGGGGCCGUAGGAUACAGCGCAAUCGAACGAAGUGCGCGCGUCCGGCCGAAGACUCAGCUGGACUGCCGGUCCAGCUGGAAAUGUUUCCCUAAUACAAAGGCUUUUCUGAAUGACAAGUCGUCUGAGUUAUCGGCUAACUAGAAAAAAGAUAAAUAUGCUAGAUAAUUCCAUAAUAAUUAGAAAUAUCUAGCCUUUAAUUAUGUAAAUCAGAAAAUCACAACCGUUGGAUUUACUUUAAAGGUAAAUUUCUCUAAAUUCCCACCAUUGCCAGUAUGUAGAAACAUGUGCUGCUUCAAUUCUCCCUUAAUCACCAAUCAAUCAACAACUGAAAACAUACCUCAGUUAAAAAAACUGAACAAAAAAAAGAAAAAAAGAAGAAAGGACAAGAUACACGCAUGUACACGACAGCCUUGGCUUGAAACACAUCAGUAGAUCAAGUGUCCGCCUCCCUUACACAGAAUAAAUUCUAGGGAAGAAAAUAAUAGUGCAACCUAACCUUAUACGUACUAUUCUAUCCUCACGUCCCAUGAGGUUUACUAGCCUACUGCCGCCGCAUCAUGCCAUCCUCUCCUUUCAGCUCCCUCCUUGCGGCGCCACUACUCGCCUAGGGAUAUUGCUGCUCAGACCGUGGAGCUUAACCUGCUUCUUCUUCAGCAAAUAUGGAACUGCUUUAGGAUCCUUCUGACAUCAGCGCGUAUGGGCCUCAUUAUACUGCAGCUCCUGGACCUCCUACAAUUGGUUGGCUAUGGCCAGUUGAUCGAUGUGCUGAAGUCCAGGUCUGUUUGCUGGCACAUAUGCUUUGGAAAUAGGCCACUAUGUUUGUACUUCGAAAUUGUUUCUGUAUUCUUCAGUGGUACAUCCUUUUAAGCGCCAGUUUUUUAUGUUAAUUCAUGCUGACAACACUUAACCUAGCCUUUCAUGUUCACGUACUAAAUACAGGAGCAAGUAAAAACAACAGACCACCUAAUUGCUCUGCAAGUUCUACAUAGGAAAAUUUGUCAUGUUCUACGAUCGCACCAUCCCACCCUUCUCUCUUGGUAUGGGCGCCAAUUGAGGGAUUGAUAAAACUGAAACGAAGACGUCACAGGGCUGGAAGUACCGCUAGCCUGGUUCGCACUGCAACCUACCCAACGCCAUCAGAAACUAGCAACUGAGUCAGGUGUUGAUCGAUUCUCUCAAAUUGCUCUCAUGUAAGUACUACCCCUUGCAUGUGCGUACAUACCUUUGUUGCAUUCUCAAACAGAUAGAACAUGUAUGAUCGGUGCAUGGCUAUUUUUCAUCACAUGACAUCCAGAUAACAAGCAUGAAAGGACUACAUUGGAGAUCAAAAAAUAUUGGUUCCUGGCUAGAGUACCACUACCUAUGGACUUGUCUCCAUAGAAUUUGUUCCCAAGAUGUUAUUUUAAUUAACCUCUUUAGCUUUCUUCCGUUGCAAACGGUGAUGUGCAUCAUGGUAUAUACGUGACCAUCUUGCACAUGUAUACACAAGAGGCUCAGACGGAGGUGCUGGAUUCUGGACGAGGGAAUAUGAAGCAGGAGUGAGCGAAGAGUAAAUAAUGGUGGGAGUACCGAUUGGUGUUAUGAAGAAAAAUGCCAUCCAAAGAUUGAUUAGUGUCAUGGAAGAUUAAUUUCUGAAUGCGAAUAUAUAUGUUACAUUGGUUUGGAUCUUUUUGAGAUAAUUGCACCUAAAUUAGGUUCUUUCUUAUUUCAUAUGUAUACCUUAUUUCAGUAAAAGUUCACAACGAACUUAGUAGGACAAAUAUAAUUUUGUUUGUUCUUUCUGUUGUCCGCCACCAAAGCUCAGUUUGAACUCUCUAGAAAUGGACAAUGAUUUAUGCAUUCUAUAUCUUCUUGAUUGAUUAGCCAUGACAAGGAAAUAAAAGGAUUGACUGAUAUAGCAUAACUUUGGAACGAUCUGUUCGUAGAGGUUACUACAAAUUAGAGUAGUGUCUGUUGGAAUUUUGCUAGUAGGCCUUUGGCCCAAAGCCCAACUAAAAUUCUGAAAUUCUCUUCGCUCAUUCAUGCACACAUGUGAGUGGAGUGAGUGAGACUAAAGUUUAGAGAGAGUUGCACCUCUUUAUAAGGUGAGCUCUUCUACCACUUGUAUGAGCAUGAGAAGAGGAGACCUAUACACGCGCUCCUCCUCCUCGCUCACCACGUCUCGUCACGCCGCGCCGCGCCGCGGAUUGCGGGAUUGAGCCGAGCCGAGGACGUUGUCUAUAUUUUUGCUGUUUGGGAAAAAUUAAUAAGUCAUUAAUUAAUAAUUAAUGGAUGCGUUAAUUACUGAACCAUUUUCGAUUCUUUUGGAUCGUGACGACUCGGACGUGGGGUUUACUCCCACGAUCUACCCGGCCCACACUAUAUAGUCAGGCAGACGUCUACCCUAGCCGCCGCCACUUCGUAUGGUUUCUCACCACCGUUACAGAUCGUUGCGCCGCCAAGCAAGUUUUCUCCAUUCCUCCUGUCGGCAUGCACUGGGAGAAGGGACAGCAGGCCUCCGGAACCCCGCCUCUCGUGAUCCUGUACGGGAGAGGGGCGAUCAGAUUUUUGGGGAGCGCACUCGCACGACUGCUGGCAGCGACGACUUCGCAAACGACGACUUCUUCCCCGACCUCGGCAACCUCAUCCUCGACUUCUGCACCGUAUGUUAUUCUAUCCUUCUUGUUCGAGAUCGUGGUAGAAUUCAGAUUUCUAGCAUGUUCCCUAGAUGUGAUUUGUUCAUCUACUAUUCUAAUUCGCAUGAUUAGUUUAAUCUUUGCUAUUGCUGUCAUGAUCUAUUUCCUAUUUAUUCGGAUUAAAUCUCGUAGUAAUUUGCUCAUUUUUCCAACAGUGCCAUCUAAUAGAUGAUGUAAAUCUCCUCAAGUUUGACGUUGUUGAGCUAAUUUACAAAAAAAACCUCAUCAUUAUUGGAUGUCCUUAACAGCUCAAGAACAAGUUGGGGUCGAAAUAAUGGAUUUUACACUUUUACAUUAAAGGUUUAGCUAAAGCAAGCAGGUGUUUUUAAACCUGAAUUUUUUUCCUCCUGAAUUUCUUUGUAUUUUCUUAUUGACACUAUUUAUACAAUCAUCUGACAAAGAUUAGCUAAAGCUGUUUGUAGAUACGUUCAAACCUGAAAAGCUUCUUUGGUUAUCCUUUUAAUAGUUCUACGUUUAUUUUCUCAUAGGUCUUAAUUCUUAUGUAAUACCAAGAUGCAUUGUGGUAGUGUACAUGUGUUAAAUUCAGGUUGUUAUUCACAAUUUGCGACAAAAUUUAGCUCACGCUACAUUUAAAUAUGUUGAAAUGUGAAAGCUCUUUUUCUUCUCCUUUCUACACCUUGCAUCGGAUUGCAUCCCUUUAGUUAUCCAACAUUUUGUACAACAUGUAGAGAUUAGGAAGUUCAUCAUAGUUUGUCUAUUUCCGUGCUAAUAAAUGUAUGAAAUCUGCAUUUCCAAGCUACUAGGACAAGUAAAAAAUAAUAAUUUUACUAUAGGAUUCAAAAACAGCAGUUCUGAAGUGCACUUUAUUUAUUUGUGAAAGUGAUCACAUUUUGUUUCAUUUUUCUAUAGACAAAUCUACUAAUACAUACUCACGAUAAAACUAUAAAAGUUCUAGUCCGCACAUUGGGCGGGCCACCCGGCUAGUUAGUCUAAAGAUAACAAAAUGAGUCUGGAAUUUGAAUUAAAUUGAAGUAUUUUCUUGGACUAUCCACAUCCUUGGCUUGCCCCUGAUCAAUUAUUUCCAGAGAAGCAUUCAAUUCAUCAAUCAAUUACAUUGAUUUUAGUGGCUGGUACUUCUCCUCGACAUCAGUAUAUUCACCGUGGCCACUCCAAAUCGGCAAGAAUGAGGUACCAGUGCUCUGGAGCAGUGCAAGCUAAUUGCUUCUCAUGUGAAGGGGUGCGGGCGCGGGAGAGGUAUUUCUGGUGGGCCAAGGGAUAAGAAGCGACCGUGGCAGCGGUACAGACGCCCGCAAAGCCCCAUAAUUUGUUUUUGGUUUACAGGAAAAAUGCACAUCCAUACCGGCCUGGGGAAUAUAGCACUGUAUUGCAUGGAAAACCAUGUCCGGAUGGUUGUGAGCGGUUUGAGGGUUAGCUUUUGUAACGCCCGGUUAGUUAUGCUAUAGCAAUUCCCUGCUAAUGAUGUCACGUCACCACGAUUACUGUUGUUAACCUCACAAUGAUUCAAUCCCGUUCAAAUUCAAAUUUGAAAUAAAGGUAAACAUCAAAAGUUUUCAAACAUUAAAACUAAAAUCUUUGAGAGGUGACAAAUAAUGCAUAAGUAAUUAUGGUGAAGAAACCACACUUUAAUCAAAUGUUUAAAUACUCUAAAAUGAAAAAAAAACAGUGACUUAAACUAUUAUUUAAAUGCUUUUAAAAUAGUAAAAAUCUUCUAACUAAAUUAUUUGGGUACCAAACUUUUGGUGGCAGUGGUAUAUUUAGUAGAACUAAUUUAGAUGCUAAUUAUAUAAUUUACAAAAUUAGAGUAAAUUGAAAAAUAGGAUAAAACGGAAAAAGGAAAGACAAAACAAAUAAAAGCAAAAGGGGGCAACCCCUCGCUGGGCCUCGGCCUAGCUGGCCACUAGACUAGCUAGGCUGGCCCCGCCGCCUCCCUUAACCCCCCACUCCCCAUCGAACCCAAGCCCGAUCGCCCCAUUUCCCACACACCCCCUCGCUAGUCUCCCCACCUCUUGAUCCCAUCUGGAUCGGGGAGGGUAUUGCCCCCAUCAACCCCGUUGCCGUCGCCGGAUCGCCCGCCGACGUCGGCAGGCCUCCUCCCCGUCGCCCGUCUCCGGCUCACCUCCCCUCUCGCUCCUCUUCCCCGACCCGAUCUGGAUCGUGAACGAGCAAUGAGCUCGAAGCCCCCCUUCACCAGCGCCAUCACCGUGCGCCACCACCACCACCUGAAGACCUCACCGUCGCUGAACCUUGCGUCGCCUCCUUGUAUCCCUCCCCUACUCGCAUCCUCAAGCCAGGCCGAGCCCCUUCUCGGCAACGCUGUGAGACGCCCCCGUUUCCCUCCUCUUUCCACCGCGUUCACCGCGCCGCCCGCCGUGCCCCUCGCCGUGCAUGAGCCCACCACCGCACCAGCCCCCGCUCCGCGCACGACCCUACCCGCGCCCGCGCCAUGAUCCCCUUUUCCGCCCUACCUUCACGCGCUCGCCGCGAUCCCCAUGCUCCCCCGCGCCCUCUUUCGGGGGCGCCGACUGCCCCUGUCCCGGUGCUCGCCGCCGUGCCUCGCCACCGCUCUACUGCUACGUUACUACUGCGCUGCGGCCGCCGCCUCUUCCCGCUGCUCCGCUAGCGCCGAAGCUCCCGGUUGGCUCCACCACUGCUCACGUUAAACCGCCGGCCUAAAUGGCCUAACCCUCGGCUAAUGAACCCCCACUAACCCACUGACACCGGGACCCACAUUCCCUAAUUAACCAUUUAAUAAAUUAACAUUAGUGUAUGACAUGUGCGUCCCCUGUUAAUUAAUAAUUUUACUGCUAGUUUUAUUAGUUUCUGUUUUUCUGCAUAUUUCUUUUGUAUUUGAACAGGCUUUAUACAAUAAUAUUUAGCGUAUCAUACACAUACAAAUGUAAUCAUAGCAUAUACAUACAAAUAGUCUCAUCAAAUCAUGUCAUCAUCAUAAUCAUCAUCCAUCACAAAGUGGUCUCUGGUCAUCAUCUCGAAAAUAGCGAUACAAGUCUCGAUUACUUGCAACUACAUCGUCAUCCAUCUAAACAAUGAUAUACACGAGAAGAGCUCUCACUAUGAGUGAGAGCGGAACUAUGCAGUACAUGAGUUUGUAUCCCUCUCUCGCAUUAGCGUGAACCUAAACUAACGACUGGCUGUUGCUCGGAAACCGGAAACCGGUACACCUGGGCCUGACACUCCGGCCACUCAUCGUAUACUCCUGGCGUAGCACUUCUUCGCCAUCGAUGAUCUAUGCACCUGCAUCGUCACAUGAGUCGAUGAUAUGCAACAUAUAUAGUUGAGCAACAGAAAGAGACAGACUUGGCAAAAAUAGAAGCAACAUAUCACAAGUAUAAAUAACAAAGUUAAUGUUUUGCAGGAUUACAACUCAACCCAUUGCAGAUUAGAAAACAAGCCCGUAUGAAUGCACAGGCUGACGACUAGUCUAUCUAUACCUAUACCUAUACCUAUACCUAUACCUACCUAUACUAAUUACAGACUCCCAAGGAAUUCCCACGUUAAUUAGUAAUUAGGAGUCGUUAAUCUUGUGGGACCAAAUUAUUACGACAGUCCACGAUCUCUUUUCUCUCUGUGUAAAAAAAGGUCCACGAUCUCUUUUCUCGGUUGUAAAAGAUAAAGGCAACUCAGGUCCACGAUCUCUUUUCACGGUUGUGAAAGAUAAAGACAACUCCCGUCUUCUUCUAAUCUAUAGUUCUAUACCUCCACGACCCCUUUCUCUCCCCAUUUAAAAGGAACAAGCUGAACCAAUAUCUAAGCAUGCAAUUGGUUCCUGUGCGGUCUUGACCUUCCAUCCGUCCACUGCUCGAUCGGCCCUCCCUCAACUACAAGCUGACAAGCCACCAUCGCCAUCCAGCGGCACGCCACCGUUCAUGCAUGUGUUUUUGCCCUUCAAUCUGAAGGAGAUGCGUUGGCUACUCAAGUAACUCUGUUUGUUUUGUUCAAACCAAUUUCGUUAAUUCGGUUCUUUGAUUAUCUAAUUGACAUGGCCUGUGAGUUUUGUGCUAGUGAUACAGGGCCUGUCUACUAGAUUCUCUCCUUGCAACUUCUAUUGUUGUCUCGAUUUGGUGUGGUCAAGAUCCUUGCCCCACCACAAGCAGCACCUUUGCACCAUCGGGGAAAUCUGUCAUAGCAAACAGAGGUAUGUAACAUGCUUUGGUGUUUUCCUCUUUCGUUUAGAUCACUAGAGUUGCUCAACCACACCAUUCAUUGAUUAGUAGUUGGCCUGAGAAGUUGCUCGGUCACCUGCAGCGUCUGAUCCCCUUCUUGACCCUCUCCUUCUGGUCAUUAUCCACCGGCAGGUCAAUGCAAAACGGAUCGUUCGUUGCCGCCACCUUGCGGAGACCGAUGUUUGGCUGCCCUCCUGCCAUCCUGGCACUCUGGUACCGGUCACUGUGCCGUUGUUCUAGAAGAACUAUGUCACACGAAGCGAGAUAUCUUCUUACUAAUCUGGAACAUAAGUGUUUCUUCUUACUAGGAUUCGCUCACCGGUGCAUUCAUCUCUUUUUGGAAAAUACGGCCUUCAUAUUUCACACGCCUAUACAUGGGUGCUGUCCCAACAAUAAUCCAUCUAAUCCAUGAUGCACAUUCAUGAAGACUGAUGUGACUGAAUUAAUAUAUCAAUCUGGUGCUUCCGGAUCAGCACUUGAAGAAGCAACCCCUUUAGUUCAUAAAUUUAUCAUACGAAAGUCAGGGGAAAAAUCAACUAAGUCAUGUGUGCUUUUCUAAUUAAUUACUAUACACUAAUUCCAUUUUUUUCAGUAGCAGGCUAGGAUACGUGGAUUGUGGCAGCACAGAAGUAAACCGAUGAGCUACAUUGGCCGUUCACCAGUCAUCGGAUCAGAAGCCAUGUCGACCAGAGGGACGGAACAGUUCUAUAUUAGGCGAUGGAUACAUGUGGAAGCAACUAAGCAUAUGUGGAUGCAUGUGAUCGCAUAGGUAAGGCCAUAGCUGUUCAAGCCCUACAGGAUCUUUAUUGCUGGUUUUAAUUAUGAGUUUACAACACCAUCUAUACAUACUACUUAUCCAUUUAUUUCCUUACCUUCUUUGUUUCUUUCUCUCCUUGAUCCCCUGUCAAAAGGGCAUCAACAUCCAUAUGCGCAACGGCACACGCAACAAACUAUGACUUCGGUUGCACGUCCAAUGGCAACCACAGUACAUGAUGAUAUCAUGUUUGCUGCAAGACGAAGUACAAGUUCAUAAUUUGGUCUUUUGCAUGGUCCCUUAGUAAAUUAUAUUUGUCCACAUACACCACAUACAUAAAAACAGGUAGAAGCGGUUGCAUGAUGAAAAUGUCCUCUCAAUAUGCAUGCCUAUGAAUACUAUCACCAGAAAGCCAAGGACUAACAAUUAUUCAGGGGUCAAGAUUGAAGACAGACGUCCAAGAUUGGCAGUCGGCCGGCCUAAGAGGGGCAAAACCGUUGUACAUUAUAUUGUAUGGACCUAGCAAGAUCCUAAAGAUAAGUGAUAAUGGAGAUCAUGGGGGCCACCCUUAUAACCAUAUGUCCAAAUGUUCUUAUUUGUUUAUUUUUCUUUUCUCUUUUCGGAAGAAUCCAUCCUGCCUCUAUGGUCAUCCUGACCACUUCGUAUUGUUAUCUAAUCUCCUCCCUUAAUUAAUAUAAAGAAUUACCGCAGCUGAAUUCACUAAAAAAAGUAUUCAGUUUAUUUUAAUUUAUUCAACUAUUAUGGCAUAUCAAUUGGAUUGCAAGUUCUUGGCGGUUGCAUUUGAAUCAUAUUUGAUGUGCACAAAGGCUUCAGUGUCAAGGUGGUCGGACGAGUAUUUAUGUCCAUUAUAUAUGUGUUAGCUUGAGAUCAUCAGGCACCUGUUAUGCAUCUGUCCAGUUAAAAGGAUGUUCAGACUCAGGCUUGCCCUACCAUAUAUGGCUGUGACACUCUGAACCAAGCAAGUUGGUCAUAUGUGUCGAGCACUAUUAACUCUUUGGAAGAGGAUCCACCAAGUACAGGAAACAAAUCAAAUAUCUUCUUAACCUUAUCACCAGAAAAAUUAGCAAGAGAUGAAUAGUAACAUUUUAAAGAAGAAAGAUAUGUUUGAAAAGGGAUAUAUAUUAUGGCGACGAUUAGAAGAGCCCUUGACGAAUGGUGCCUAGCCUGCGAAAGUUUCUUAUGAAUAUAGUCAACACUCUAUAUCAACUGUUGUAAGAUUUUAGAAAUAUUUUUGGGGACAUAUGAUACAUGUCUAUUAUACAUAUGAUUCAACAGAAGUUUGAUUGAAUACAUAUUUAAAACGUGACUGACUUCUAUAUGGACGGAGUAUUUCACAAAGGACUCACUGCCAACUGUGUGAAUAUUCCAAGAUAGUUAGUGCACAUAAAUGUUCAAAUCCAUAGCCUGCAUAAAUAUACAAAAGCAAUGUGUUAGACCACUACACAUGCUUCUGAAAGGAGGCAAAAAAAUGUAUGCUUGAUUGAUGACCGUUCAUGCAUGAAAUUAAUUUCUGAUUUCUAAUUAUUUUGGUCAUAUAAUGGAAAUAGAGACAUUAUAAAGAUCCAACAGCAUGCUAUCACACACGUGUGAACACAGACACACACAAAUAACAUUUGCCGAGCACUCACAAAUAAAAGGUGUGGCUACUCUUGGGUGUUCUACAGCUGGCUUAAAAAAACACGUAUGAAACAUGAUCCCCAAAAAUCUGAAAUUCGCAACAUAUGAAAAUCCACCCUCAAACAUAUUUCUGGUGUCUCAAUUCUUUUAGUUUCAGAUGGUAUGUCCAGCCAAAGUAGUUGUACACAUACAUUACUAUGUUCUAUUAUUUGAGAUUCUAAGACAACAUUUAGUAACUAGCCCGUGCGAUGCACGGGUUCACGACUAGUAUAUAUAAAGCUUAAUGGUGCCUAAGAAAGCUCGCACAAUUUUACAGUGGCUGUGGAGAUGUGUUGCCAAACUGAGACAUAAGAUUUUCGUUUGGCAUCCAGAGUUGCAGACCGCUUGUGUUAUCCUUAAUCCAUGGCCACUCUAAUUUUUCCGGCUGGGCCUUCCCUGUGGUACGGCAGCAAGGCUUGCGUGUGUAUAUGUUUCCUUUAACUACCACUAGCACAUAUGCCCGUGCGUGCGUUGCAAGGGGAGAGAUAAUGGCGUAUCCACCAAUAUAUCUAGCAGCAUGACCCAACAACAUCCGAAUGAUGUCACCCGACGACGGCAGGAAGGCACACACAGAGGUCUAGUAAAAACUCAACAAUUGUACGGGCAUGGUUAAUUCGCGUGAAUUCAAGGGUGUGAGAUUAGUUAGUGUUGGUCCCACAAUUGAAUUCGGGGGCUGAUUAGUUAGUGUGGGCCCACCCUUGAAUUCACCGGGGGAGACAAAAUAAUUAGGGUGAGGAGAGAUUUACGGGGCUUGGUCCCCAGAUGCGUUGCGGCAGUCAUUAUUCGAGCAUUGCAAUGCUCGCACGUGAGGAGCUCUUUUUCCAAUUGUAUAUUGAGAAGCAUUGCUACAGAUACAAUGUUUUUGAUACGUUUUUGUACGAUGAUCCUGAUCUUAAAGGGCCUUCUAAUUUUUAAAUCUUAAAGGCAUUAUUUGUAAGUUGUCGUGAAAAAAAUCUCGCUAAAAGGGUUAUGUUAGACCAUCUUCAGUACAUUAGAAAUAACGAAUUAUAAUUCCUUGGCAUUUGAACAAACAAUCCCUACUUAUUUACACAUACAAUACUUUUGGUAUGAUUUUGAAAUCUUGAAGGCAUUAUUUGUAAGUUGAAGCAAUUUUGAAAUCUCACUAAAAGGUCUGUUAGACCAUCUAUAGCUUUAGAAAUAACUAAUUAUAAUUUUGCAAAAAAAAGAAAUAACUAAUUAUAAUUCCUUAAGCAUCUGACCGAAACGACCCCGAUUUAUUGUCUGGGUAGUAAUUCCUUUGCAACAUUAUUCUCUCCUUUCUUGAAGGAACUCUUGCCUGGGUAGUAAUUCCUUUGCCCACGUAUUUGCAAGGUUAUUCUCUCCUUCAUUUUUACAGGAGCUCUCCUUCCUUAUACUAAUUGGUCAUUAUCCUCUCCUUCCUUUUUCUUUUUGCCAAACUCUCUUUCCAUAUUUAUGCCGCUAACCACGCCACUCUUUUUCCUUAUUUAUGCCCUUUGAUCACGCCACACAUCUCAUGAAAUCUAAGCCAUAUAUAUCACCCAUCUUUUUUCCUUAUUCCGGUGCUUUCCUCACAAACAGUAGUUCUCUAGGAUGCUUAACGAUUUUGAAACAGAAACAUAUAUAAAUCGGUAGAACGGGUUGUAAAGCAGCGAGGUGGUACUAAUUUAUAAAGAAACAAACCUUUUCUUUUUGUGUAAUGAUGCCUUGGUUCGGCUGGUUGCGUUGGGAAAAGGACCGGCGAAGUGGGCGAACCAAAAACGGAUAAAAUUACGGUGGUAAGAAGCGAUAGCCCUUUUAUUAGUAGGUAUGAGGAUGUCUAGGAUGUCUAGGAUGAGGAUUUACUGCACACAAGUGCGGGGGCACUCAGGUCCUGAUGCCGCCUUUUUAUUUUGGCUUCCGAUUUUCAAACUUCUAUAUCUUUUAAACAAAAAAUUCAAUUUAAGUUACGUUUUCAUAUUCGUGCUUCUCGCGGCCAGCGCUUUCAAAUAAGAUCCAUUUUGCAUACAUUUUGGUGGCUUUUGGAAACGGGCGAAUAGCUCCUAUGCGACGUUGUUGGUGUGUAUUGUCUCUCAUGCGACGUUGUUGGCUGUAAUAGCUCUCAUGCGACAUCUGCGUUGGAAAAAAUAGCUCCCAUGCGACACACCAUUUACGCGGCUAGUUGGCUGUUAGUUAGGCUGAGGUUUGGUUAGGACACUGGGGGUUAUGUGCUCUGACUGGUGGGGUCCACCUAUGGUCACGUAGACAAGAGUCAACCGUCCACGACUCGACCUGGGACUGUGUGACCGUGCUCGACUCACCCGUGCUGGACUGAGUGAGCGGUGCCGCCGUAAGCAUCUUCUCCGACAGCGGUUUCUUCUCCGCGGUGGUGGAGCGCAUUUCUCGGCAGCGGCAGAGCUAUUGCGAGGUGAGCCCGAAACCCUAGUCCCACUCCCCAGAAUUUUGGGGGAUCUGUGGCCUCAUGCUGCCCUCUGUUUCUUGGCGAUUUAGAAUCGGGCUCCAUUGGAUCCGGGGGUUGUUUCUUCUCCGUGGCCCGGUGGUGGAGCGCCUAUCUCUGUAGCGGCUAUUGCGAGUGAGUAUUUUCCAAACACUACUCGCAUUCCACUAAAUUUUGGAUAAAUCUGUGGCCUCAUGCUGCCCCUAUUUCUUGGCGUUUUAGAAUCUCGAUUGGAUAGGAGAUGGAGCGAGGGCUGGAUGAGAUGGAGCGAGGAGACAGUGCUUCAAAUCGGUAAUGCCACACUCUUUUCUUGGCGAUUUAGAAUCGAACUCGAUUUGGUAGUGACUGCCGCCGCUGCCUGCCAUUGACAAAACAGGGGAGGUUCAAGUUCUGCCACCACAUUCACAAUUAUAGUGGAAUUUUUUCCCUGUAAAGCCAAGCUCAGUGAUGGCAGUGUCCAAGACAUUGAUAGAGAUACCACCGUGAGGUUCGAUGUCGAAUUUGCAGAUGUUGAUCCCCAGGAAUUGGAGAGCAUGAAGGAGAAGGCCGUGGGCAAUUUGGUGGAGAGAAUUGGGGAGAAUAUUGUUUGGGGUCCAGAACAAGAGGUAUGUCUGCAACGUUUCGAUAACUAUAAUGGUGAAUAUGUGAGAAUUGAAGAUGGAGAAUCCAUGGUUGCUGAAAUUGAUCAGCAAGAAGGGUGGGCAACUAAACAAGUAACAUUUUAUGCAGAGCUAAUUGAUCUACAAACUCAUUCCAGAGUUGGUUAUGUGCAAUCAAAGAGGGCUGCACAGAUGGAAGAUGAUGAGUGGGUUUCACAAAAGAAGAUGUUGGCAUUGUUGACUGAACCGACUGUAGUAGCUGAAGAUACAGGGAUUGAUGCAGAUGGAGAGGAGGGAACCCAUGGUGCUAGGAAGAUUGUUGUUGACUGGAAUGUAGUAGAGUUGAAUGAAAAAACAGAUUUGGUCAUUACACCAAUAUCUGACAUUGAUAUGGCCGAAAUGUUUGGCAUUCAAGUUGAUGACAAAGAUAAGGAGAAGGAUGACAGUUCUUUGCCUGCUGAAGGAACAUAGGCCCUAGAAAUGCAAAUGAGGAUGAAGAACAGCUGAUGAGAGAGGCUGCAGAUGAUGUGGAUGAUGCAGAUGAUAAUGAGUUGGUUUGUUUGUAUGACAAAGAGAACCCAGUUAUUGAGGUGGGAAAGUUGUGGCCAAGCAUGAAGGAGUUUAGGAUGUCUUUCAGGACCUAUGCAGUGAAAAAGAGUUUGAUGCCAAGACUAUGUGGACUGAUUGAAAGAAAUUUUAUGCUCGGUGCAAAGGUUAUGAUGGUGGUGGCAAUCCUUGCAAAUGGUACUUGUCUGCCAGACUACAACCUGAUUGAAGUACAGUAAGGGUAAAUCAAAUACCACACCAGCAUACAUGUAUGACCACUUCACAGAGAGUUUCAAAGAUGACAUCACAGCUUUGGGUUACAGAGAAGAUUACUCCUAUUUUAGCCAAGACUCCAAACACUACUGCAAAGAGGCUUAAAGUUGACUUGGAGAAGCUGUACCCCAUCCAGCUGCAAUAUACCACAGUGUGGAAAGCAAAACAAAGGGCCAUGAAAUCAUUGUAUGGUGACUGGGCAAAUACAUUUAGGAUGUUGUAUAGUUUUAAAGCAGAGGUGGAGAAGAGGUCACCUGGGAGUGUGGUGGAGAUAGAUACAGAGGUAACAGAGGAUGUCAUGGUUUUAUUCAGCAAGUUUUUUAUGUGUUUGAAGCCAUGCAUAGAUGGAUUCAAAGCAGGUUGUCGUCCAUAUUUGAGCAUAGACUCAUCUUUUUUGACUGGAAAGUGGAAUGGUCAGUUGGCUGCAUGCAAUGCUCUAGAUGGACGCAACUGGAUGUUCCCAAUUGCAAUAGGAAUGUUUCAAUCAGAGACAGAGGCAUCAUGGAUAUGGUUCAUGAUGCAACUGAAAAGAUGUAUAGGGCCAGUUUCUCCUUUAGCCAUCCACACAGAUGCAUGUAAAGGGUUCGAAAAUGCAGUAAAAAAUGUUGUCCCCCAUGCUGAGCAGAGGGAGUGCUUUGGACAUAUGUGGAUGAAUCUGAUAAAAAAAUUAGAGGAGAUGAAUUUGGGCGCAUGUGGCCAGCAGCAAGAUCCUACACCAGACAGACACAUUCCUAUCACCUUGGUAAGAUAUUGGCAUCAUGUAGUGAUAAUGAAUUUGCUUCAUGGUUGAACACCCGCCAUUCUCUGUUGUGGUAUAGAUCAGGUUUUAAUACUGCCAUAAAAUGUGAUAAUAUCAAUAACAACUUGGCAGAAAGUUUUAACAACAAAGUGAAGGAUUUGAAAGACUUGCCUGUGCAUGACAUGGUGGACCAAAUAAGGAUCAUGAUCAUGCGUUUGUGGGAGUUGAGAGGAAAAAUUGCUAAUAUUUUGGAAGGGGACAAGCUUCCAGCAGUGGUACAAUAGGUGGUCAACAGGAGUAGAAAUCUUUCACAUCUAUCUGUUGAGAAAUCUUCCUUGUGGGGUGCUGAAGUUAGAGAUACAAAGAGUGGCAAGAGGCAUGUGGUAAAUACUGAGUUGCAUGAGUGUACUUGCCGAGAGUGGCAACACACUGGAAAACCAUGUGAGCAUGCCAUACUUUUUUUGGCAUCUAAACCCAGGUUAAAUAUGCACCCAUAUUUGCAUGAGUAUUAUUCAGUACAAAAAUUCAAAGCUGCAUAUGCAAGUCCAAUUCCUGCACUGACUGACCAAUCUCAGUGGCCUGAGGUGGAAAUAGAAUUUACCUUGUGUCCCCUGUCACUAGAAGAAAGGCUGGGAGGCCUAAACAGAGCAGAUUCAAAGCUUGGUUUGAGAAAGGUGGUUGUAGUAAGAAGGGGAAAAAAGAAAAGAAAAAGAAUGAUAAGCCCAAAAGGGCUCAAAAAGGUAAGAAAAAUAGGUGCAAGUUGUGUGAGGUACUUGGGCACAGAAUUGGUUCAUCCAAGUGCAUCUAUACUCCUCAGAGGACAAAGUAUGUUCAUGUUACUGUUUUUACAAGUUUUUGAUUUUGUUACUUGUUCUAGUAUCUAACCAAGUCAAAUGCUUUAUUUUUUAGGAGGAAGCGUGCAGAAAAAGCCCCACCUCUUGUUGUUGAACAAUGCUGGCCAGUGAAAAAAGCAAGACUCAAUGGCUAUAUAGAAGGAAGAGCACUAAGCAGAUAAUGUUUGGUGACAAAGAUAUGGAGCUAACUGAAACUGUUACUGCUGAACAUGAGCUAAGUGUUUCUGUUUUGGACGAUGUGAUGCAUACUGAAUCUGUUUUGCAGACGCUAGGGCAAUCUGAAACUGUUGCAGAUGAAGCAACGGUUGUGCUGCCAUGCGAAUCUGCUUUGACAACUGUGUUGCCAUGUUUGGAGGUUGUGCUGCCAAGUGUUGAGUUGCAAACUGAAGUAGUUGAACAAUUUGUGCCAUCUACUCAAUCUGCAGAAGUGCAAACUGAAGAAGUGCAAACUGAAGAAGUGGGACAUGGUCAGGUGAAAAAGUUGAGGGGGCCUAGUGGAGUUUGCAAGGGGCCAAAAAGCAAGAGCAUCAACAUCAACAAACUAUGCGCCGUGGAACCAAACGAUGGAAAAAAGCAGAAGAAAUCGAGUGGUAGAAAGAAGCAAAAGAAAUAGAGUCGAAAUCAUUCAAAUUUGAUGUGAAAACUUAAGUUUGUUGUCAUUUGAUGUGAAAACUUAUGUUCUUUCAUGUGAAAACUUAUGUGCUAUGAUGUUGAUUUGACUUGAAAUAAAAUUCAAAUUUGAACCGACAUUCAAAUUUGAACCUAUCUCCAAAUUUUUUUGAGUUCAUUUGUUUGUUCUGUGAUGUUGCAUCGUUUUAUGUACUACUAUGCACUUUGUGAAGUCCAACUCAUAGUCACUGAAAAUGCUGUACAAACAGGCUCCAAAGUAAGGGAAAACGGCCCCAUUUCUAAGCAAGUUUUUUUCGAUCUUCUCAAAAUCACCCAAAAAAGAUUUUCUUAGCUUAUAUUAUACCUAUAUAGGAUCAAUACAAAGUCUCACCUUUUUUGAAUAAGUAUUCAUAUUAUUUAAUUUAUUUUUGAAAAAACACCCUUUAAUACAAAGUCAGCAAUAAAACAAGUUUAAAAAUUUUAAAUGCAAAAAUAACUUCAGAUCCUCCUUAGUCACUCUAAAAUGAAGCUAAGGUGAUGUUUUUUGAUUUUUUUGCAUUUUCAAAACCUCAAACCCUCUUCUCACUCCUUUGAACUCUAUGCAACCUCAGUCGAGAUAGUCCAAUUUGUGAAGGUUUUUUCAUGCAAAGAUCAUUAGAUCAAGUUUAUCAUUUUAUAUCAUAACUAUGUAACAUAAAAAGGCUAUAUGCGCAGGUUUUUCAUUUUUUAGAUUUUUUUGAAUUAGUUAUACACAUUUGAAUGUUCGGUCAAACCUUUCAAAACCCCGUUGACUGCCUCAAAACCCCAUGUAACCCUAGCGCCAAACGUCCACCGUCGAUCUAACCCUAACGCCAAACUGCGGCCGUCGGAUGGGACUUCUAGAAGGAUUCCGCGGGGGCGAUCCAUGGGCUCCAAUCUGAUUGGCCAUUGUUUUUUCUCUCUGACGAACAGAUAACGUUGAGCGGGGGAGCAUCUAAGUGACCGUUGGGCCGAGUGGAUUGGGCCUGGCAAAGCCUGGCGUGCGUGCACACGGCUGUUGAGAGGGGGGAUGGGCUGCAUGCGAGCGGGUCAAUGACAUGUGGGCCAUCCUUGUCCCAUGCAUGCCAUGCAACGUCGCAGCCUAGCUAUUCUUUGCUCGUGAAAGCCUAGCCAUUUGCAUGCGGGCUUGCAUGCACGCAUCGACGCAGAGUACGGCAAGGGUGCAGCGUAUAGGUACGUCGCAUCUAAGCUAUUUUAACAAAUGCAUGUUUGAACGAGAUGGACGCGUCGGUGGUGCAGCUCCUUUUUCAGUGUCACGCGCGGAUGAACGGGCCUGUUUCCCAUGCGGCAUCACCGCCGAUGCAAGUGCCCGUGCCUCUUUGGAUGCUCUGGCCGCCGUUUUUUGAAUUAAUGCCCGCAAUUACUUAUGCCAUGCGAACGGAGAAGAGAAAAAGAUCGAGAAGGGGCACCGUGUACACAUUGACCAUGGUUGCAAUGCGGCUAUAAAAGGGCACCAUUUCCUCAUCCUCUCACACUCAUCUCUCAAGCCUCCUCCCCUUCUUCUUUUCGAGCCAAAUCCACCACUCGAGCCACCAUGCAGUUCAACGGCCCUACCUACCGUCGCCCUUGCACCGUGCCGGAGAGGCAGUACCCAGCCGGAGUCGUCGUGGAGAACAGCCUGAGGGUGUGGGCCAUCUCUAGGUGGAGGGGCCCUAGAGAGUUGGCUCGCUUCUUCCUCCAAGCUGGCUACCGCCACCUCCCUCCGGGCACUCCGCCCAUGUUCCACCUCCACGAGCAGUACGAUGGCAAUGCCGGCCCCGACGGCUUCGUCAUCGGCCUCUAUGUCACCUUCACCAACCCCUACGACGCUCACCACCUCCCCGGGGAGGUGUUCUGGUGUGGAUGCGAGUUUAUCGCGUUCACGACCUACAACAUCUUCACCAACUUCCACCACAUCUUCCCUCACCACAACGGCAUGCACACCCUCCCCUAUCAGAUGCCGGAGGACGACGAGUGAGGGGCCCAAGGAGGAGGGUCCAAGGAGUGGCAAGGAGGAGGGGCCAAGGAGUUGUUCAAGCGGCGAGUCUUCUAUCUAUCUAGUUUGGGGCUCUAGUUUGUGUUUGUGUUGGUUCGGGCGUGUGUGCCCGUGUCUUUUAUAUAUCUAGUUUUAAUUAUUUUACUUUCAUGUUUUAUGAACUAUAUGUAGUGGGGGGAUGCCCCUCUAUAAGUUUUAUCUAUCUAUGCUACUAGGGUACCCGAUGCCCCUCUAUCUAUCUAUAUGUUUUUUCGGUCCUAAAGUUUCUCCAUUGCAUUUUAUUUAUGUGGCCAUGUGUACUAAAAAACAAUUGAUCUGGUAUCUAAAAUGUACGUUACCAAGAAAUUGACAAUAAAGAUUAUAUACUGUACUACAUAAUCAUACAGUUGGUAUACAAUGCAUUUGAAGACAAUGGGCAAGAAAAAUGCUAAUUAUCUGGUGCUGGUGACAUGCGUAAGUGUUGUCUGAUGUUUAAAUCAUGCUUGCUAUGUCAUUUUUUGCUGCCAAACAUGGCAUUAGCGAGAAAGGUCAUUUGGGCACUGAAUGUAUUAAAGUAUACACCAUAUAUAAAAAUGUCUAGCCAAAAGAUUUGGGUGUACAACUGUACACCAAUGACCAAGUAUGGAUCCGCCCCUGGUUGUAAGGGGAUGCCCCUCUAUGUUGUAAGGAGAUGCUACUAGGGGCACACUAGAUGUCUUCUUUUUUUGAGAGAGGCACAACCUUUUUCGGUUGAAACACACGAGUAAAAACUUUGAAAACACCAUAGCACAAGUAAAAAAAUAUAUUAAGAAAUGGUGCUUGGUUGAAAUAAACUAGAACCAAACAAUUGCAACUUUCUUGGUUCACAAAGACUGCUCAAAUAAUUAUCUCAAAUAGCUUAUGCAUAAAAAUAUCUCAAAUAAUUAUUAGAUGAGUUAUCUCAAAAAAGGUGACUGCAGGAAACUUAAAAUUUGUGAAAUGAUCUAAAGCCGAAAAGAUAUAUCGAUGAAUUAUCUCAAAUAGCUUAUGCAUAAAAAUAUCUCAAAUAAUUAUUAGAUGAGUUAUCUCAAAAAAGGUGACUGCAGGAAACUUAAAAUUUGUGAAAUGAUCUAAAGCCGAAAAGAUAUAUCGAUGUCAAUGACCGUGUGCACUUUUUUUGCACUCCUUUUAUCAAUGGGCCUGGAUAUGUUCUAUUCGGCCCUGCCUAACUUCUAUAUGGGCCUGGCCUUUUCGGGCAACUAUGGACGAACCUUUUUUUUCCUUUUCUCCCUCUACCACUGAAACUGAAACUGAUGACGAACUGAAGAACUAAAAAACGGGGCCGAAACAGAGUGGAGAGGACAUGCUGAAUUCGUACAACGCAACACUUUUAUUCAAAUAUACAUAUCAUUAGGAUUACAAAUGAUGCCCAAUCUAUUCACUUACGACUAAUUAUCAUCACAUAAACAAAUGCGAGAGCAAUUACACAAACAUAAAAAAGUCCGGCCAUCAGCCCCAUCAAAUUGCCCUGCUUCUGCAAUUUGAUGAGUUUCUUCAUCUGCUUGUUUAGCUUCUUCAGCUCUGCCGUCACUACUGCAUCCCCCACAGUAGCCCCAAUGGAAUGGGCACAUCCAGGGGCCCCAGAUCCAGAAGCGCCCGAUCCAAACUUGCCCAACUUCUCCACCUCCAGCGGUAAAUCGAGCUCCCCUGAUGCACCCUCCAGUUGAAUCCGCUCUAUGUACUCAUUUAGCCACUCAAAAUGGGUGCAUUGCUUCAAUUUCUGAAAUUGGAAAGAUGAACCCUAAAUCCCAAAUCCGAUGAAAAAUGGGGAAAAAUUGUGAUAUGAAAUUGGGAUACAAAAACCAAAAUUGGCAUAUUGAGAAGUAAAAUCUCACCUUUCCCUGCUCUGGUUUGCUCUCGCAUUUCACGAAUUCCCGCCCAAGGUUGCCAUUCUUGUCGGUCGUUGUGACUAGCCGCUUCAGGGGUGUGAUACGUGGGCCUGCAGGGCACCUUGUCAUGGGCACUGCGCCAUAGCGCGGCCAUGAGCGGCGGGAGGCUGAAGCGGAGCUCGACAUUGCUAGGUCGCGGCCCGGAACGGCGUUGCUGCGCGUCGUCGCCGGAGAAGAAGAACAACAACGGUCGGGGAGGGGGGGUGGGGGCGGGGGCGAGGAUGGGCCACGGCUCGGGCCACGGCUCGGUGUCCUCUUGUACCAAUGCUGACCUGGAUAAGUUAGUGGGUCCCACGCAGUGGGUCCCGCUCACCUGACCAAUGCUGAGUUGGAUAAGUUAGUGGGUCCCGCGCUGUGGGUCCCGCUCACCUGAUUCGAGUUUUAAACAUGUGUCUUUGGAUUAGACAGCAGUGUCGCAUGGGAGCUAUUUUUUCCUAUGCAGAUGUCGCAUGAGAGCUAUUACAACCAACAACGUCGCAUGAGAGACAAUACACACCAACGAUGUCGCAUAGGAGCUAUUCGCCCUUUGGAAACAUUGCUAAGUUUCAUUGUUUGAAACUUAGUACGAGCGACCGAUAAAAUUUAAUUAUUUUGUGUCUACGACCAACAGGAGAAAUUGCUUAAAAUUACAUCUUUGAAACUGGUCAUUUUUUGAUGCAAAAAUGUAAGUUUCAUCAUUGAAACUUAAGGGCAUGUCCAAUGCUGGAUGCUUAUCCAGGCGCUUAUCGUGUGGAAAAAAAAAAUGCCACGAAGUUAGCUCUCGCUUGUCCAACAGCCAAUGCUAACAACGGGCGCUAACCACGGCUGGAGCUAUAGAUUAGAAAGAAAGAUCUGGUUCACUUGUACGUGAAAAAAGGAGCAAGCGCUCGAUGCCUUGCUUUGCAUCGAUGCCAGACUGAGGUGCUGGGAAUCGACAAGAUAACCGCCAAUCUACCAGGAUUAAAUUCCUAGCGCCUUCUUCUAGCGCCUCCCACUGAAAAUGCCCUAAAGGUUUUUGAGGGAUUUUUUUACUGUGUCCUACUUCACGUAUCACGAGGCAAAUCAAGUAGGCGGCAUGGCCUGGCCGGUGAGUGCCAUUGCACUUACUUGCCCCAGCGAUUUUCCGCCUGCAUUGUAGAAUUCUUUCUCCGAGUCCUGUGAAUUAAAGAUGGUGCAGACAAAAGUAUAUCCUAUAUGCGUACAUGUGCAUGAUCAGAACAUGUUUUUACGUGCGUCUACUAUAAAUCAUGACCAUUUUUAACACAAAUCAUGACCAUUCAUGAUUAGUGAAUCAUACUGUCUUAACUUAUGUGAAAUCAUGUGGAGUAAUAUAAUAUAAUAUAAUAGAUAGAUAGAUCCAUGUUGUAUCAUUACACAUUUUGAUUUAUGCAUUUGUUUACAAAAAAAACAGUAAAAUUUCAUGGUGAAAAGUUUGUAUUGUUUCAUACUGAACACCAAUGUUUUCCCGUAAAAGAAAAUAAUGCCUACGCAUAUGCUUUUAUAUUAUUAUUAUUCUUUCAAACUUAUUCAUAUAGUAUUUUUGAUUGUGCAACCAUAAUUUUUAUUAUCUCUCUUGUUCCACUACAUGCUCUUACUCAAUGAUUUUUUUAUAAUGGGUGUUUUUAUUAACUCAAAAUAUAGCAUCAAGCGGAUACAAAACAUAACGAGCCACGUCCGGUCUCUGCAUAACUAAGAUGCACACAGCCAAAAGCAGAAGUCUGACAAAAAUAAGAUAAGAAAAUCAACAUAUCGACAACAGUGAGUCAUAUAGUUCCGACACUAUGCCUCUGUUGAAGGACGGGGUGGAGCGAUCUGGAGAUUAUGCUUCCCUCCAUUUUGAGUAAAUACCUCCCUGGCCACUUGUUCCAACCGCAUAGACGCCGCCACGAAUAAUGGUUGGUACUCUGUUCGGUGUAGCAUACACCAUGUAGGAAGUGAGUGCUCACUCCUAGUUACUAAAUUAUGUACACACUAGUAGAAAAAGGGCCAUUUGUCCCGGUUCGUAAGGCCCAUUUGUCUCAGUUAGGGAACCGGGACUAAAGGGUCGGUACUAAAGCCCUACACCUUUAGUCCCGGUUCUUACACCAACCGAGACAGAUGGGGCUCCACGUGGCCGCUGCGGCUUGCCAUGGCAGGGGGGCCUUUUGUCCCGGUUGGUAGCACCAACCGGGACCAAUAAGCUACCACGCGUCAGCAUUUGAGGGGCUUGGGUUUUUGUUUUUUUCUGAAGGGGGGGAGGGGGGUUGGGGGUUUUGGGGGGUUUUGUAUGGUUAAUUUUGGGGGGUUUCAUAUAUAGUGUUAGGUAGUAAUUAAUUAAUAGAGAGAAGUGUCCUCUCUUAUCUCCGUGCUUGGUCGACGCUACGUACUAUACGUAUAGAGAGGCCCUCGACACGCUUGCCAGUAAGCAAAUGAAGGAAACCAUUAAGUACAGAAGUUCGUCAUGAACAUAUGCAUACAAACAUAAGUGAUAUCGACCUCUCCUUCUCCGAGAGAUAGGUCGAAGAACAAGUUUCCGUAUAUCUAUCCGGCGCUACUAGCUACAUAUAUACAAUAUUAAGAUCUCUUACAAUAUAAUCCCCUAAUUAUAUAUGAACUCAGCUUCCAGAUGGUAUUCUCCGGCUUUAUUGAUGACGUGGUCAAGAAAGAAUCCCUCCAAUUCCUCUUGAAUUGCUUUGAUGCGAUCUUGUGGUAGGAGUUCAUCCUGCAUCUGCCACAUCUAAUUUGAAGAAGGGGGUCAAUCACUAGUGGAAUAACAGCCAUUUGUCUAGGUUCGUAAGGCUCAUUUGUCCCGGUUGGGGAACCGAGACUAAAGGGUCGUUACUAAAGCCCUACACCUUUAGUCCCGGUUGUCGGUGUCAAAACCGGCGGAUCUCGGGUAGUGGGUCCUGAAUUGUGCGUCUAGGCCGGAUGGUAACAGGAGGCAGGGAACACGAUGUUUUACCCAGGUUCGGGCCCUCUUGAUGGAGGUAAAACCCUACGUCCUGCUUGAUUAAUAUUGAUGAUAUGGGUAGUACAAGAGUAGAUCUACCACGAGAUCAAGGAGGCUAAACCCUAGAAGCUAGCCUAUGGCAUGAUUGUUGUGUAUGGAGUUGAUUGCCUACGGACUACAACCCUCCGGUUUAUAUAGACACCGGAUAGGGUUAGGGUUACAUAGAGUCGUUUACAAUGGUAGGAGAUCUUGAAUAUCCGCAUCACCAAUCUUGCCUUCCACGCCAAGGAAAGUCCCAUCCGGACACAGGACGAAGUCUUAAAUCUUGUAUCUUCAUAGUCCAGGAGUCCGGCUGGACGUAUAGUCCGGCUACCCGAACACCCCCUAAUCCAGGACUCCCUCACCGGUUCUUACACCAACUGGGAGAGAUGGGCCUCCACGUGGCCGCUGCGGCGAGCCCAGGUAGGAGGUCCUUUGGUCCCCGUUAGUGACACUAAUACGUCUCCAACGUAUCUAUAAUUUUUGAUUGCUCCAUGCUAUUAUGUUAUCCAUUUUGGAUGUUAAUGGGCUUUAUUUUACACCUUUAUAUCAUUUUUGGGACUAACCUACUAAUCGGAGGCCUAGCCCAAAUUGCUAUUUUUUGCCUAUUUUAGGUUUUUGAAGAAGAGGAAUAUCAAACGGAGUCCAAACGGAAUGAAACCUUCGGGAACGUGAUUUUCUCAACGAACAUGAUCCAGGAGACUUGGAGUGUGCGCCAAGAAAUAAGGGAGGAAGGCACGAGGCAGGGGGGCGCGCCUACCCCCCUUGAGCAUGCCCUCCACCCUCGUGGGCCCUCCACUGCUCCACCGACGUACUUCUUCCUCCUAUAUAUAUCCACGUACCCCCCAAACAACCAGGAGCACCACGAAAACCUAAUUCCACCACCGCAACCUUCUGUACCCGAGAGAUCCCAUCUUGGGGCCUUUUCCGGAGGGGGCAUCGAUCACGGAGGGCCUCUACAUCAACUGCAUGGCCUCUCCGAUGAUGUGUAAGUAGUUUACUUCAGACCUACGGGUCCAUAGUUAUUAGCUAGAUGGCUUCUUCUCUCUCUCUUUGGAUCUUAAUACAAAGUUCUGCUCGAUUUUCUUGGAGAUCUAUUCGAUGUAAUCUUCUUUUGUGGUGUGUUUGUCGAGAUCCGAUGAAUUGUAGGUUUAUGAUCCAGAUUAUCUAUGGACAAUAUUUGAUUCUCCUCUGAAUUCUUUUAUGUAUGAUUCGUUUAUCUUUGCAAGUCUCUUCGAAUUAUCAGUUUGGUUUGGCCUACUAAAUUGAUCUUUCUUGCAAUGGGAGAAGUGCUUAGCUUUGGGUUCAAUCUUGCGGUGUUCGAUCCCAGUGACUGAAAGGGAAGCGAUAUGUAUUGUAUUGUUGCCAUCGAGGAUAAAAAGAUGGGGUUUAUAUCAUAUUGCAUGAGUUUAUCCCUCUACAUCAUGUCAUCUUCCUUAAAGCAUUACUCUGUUCUCUUGAACUUAAUACUCAAGAUGCAUGCUGGAUAGCGGUCGAUGUGUGGAGUAAUAGUAGUAGAUGCAGAAUCGUUUCGGUCUACUUGUCUGGGACCUGAUGCCUAUAUACAUGAGCAUACCUAUAUAUUCUCAUAACUAUGCUCAAUUCUAUCAAUUGCUCGACAGCAAUUCGUUUACCCACCGUAAUACUUAUGCUCUUGAGAGAAGCCACUACUGAAACCUAUGGCCUCGGGGUCUAUCUUCUAUCAUAUUAAUCCUCCAAUACUUAGUUAUUUAUAUUUCUAUCUAUUUUACUUUCCAUCUUUUAUUUCUCUUUAUCAUAAAAAUACCAAAAAUCUUAUCUUAUCAUAUCUAUCAGAUCUCACUGUUGUAAGUGACCGUGAAGGGAUUGACAACCCCUUUAUCGCGUUGGUUGCGAUGUUCUUAUUUGUUUGUGUAGGUUCGUGGGACUUGAGCGUGAUCUCCUACUGGAUUGAUACCUUGGUUCUCAAAAACUAAGGGAAAUACUUACGCUAAUUUACUUCAUCACUCUUUCCUCUUCAAGGGAAAACCAACGCAAUGCUCAAGAGGUAGUGUCGGUGUCAAAACCGGCGGAUCUCGGGUAGUGGGUCCCGAACUGUGCGUCUAGGCCGGAUGGUAACAGGUGGCAGGGAACACGAUGUUUUACCCAGGUUCGGGCCCUCUUCAUGGAGGUAAAACCCUACGUCCUACUUGAUUAAUAUUGAUGAUAUGGGUAGUACAAGGGUAGAUCUACCACAAGAUCAAGGAGGCUAAACCCUAGAAGCUAGCCUAUGGUAUGAUUGUUGUAUAUGGAGUUGAUUGCCUACGGACUACAACCCUCCGGUUUAUAUAGACACCGGAUAGGGUUAGGGUUACAUAGAGUCGGUUACAAUGGUAGGAGAUCUUGAAUAUCCGCAUCGCCAAGCUUGCCUUCCACACCAAGGAAAGUCCCGUCCGGACACGGAACGAAGUCUUCAAUCUUGUAUCUUCAGAGCCCAGGAGUCCGGCUGAAGGUAUAGUCCGGCUAUCCGAACACCCCCUAAUCCAGGACUCCCUCAGUAGCCCCUGAACCAGGCUUCAAUGACGACGAGUCCAGCGCGCAAAUUGUCUUCGGCAUUGCAAGGCGGGUUCCUCCUCCAAGUCCUUCAUAGAAGAUUGUAAGCACCAAGAGUAGUGUCCGGCUCUGCAAAAUAAGCUUCCACAUAUCGCCAUAGAGAGAAUAAUAUUAACACAAAUCAAAUCUGCUGACGUAUUCCGCAGUGCGUCAUCACACUACAGCCAAGUCCUUCACUCGAAUCGUUUUCACUUUUCCACCUCAGCGUGUUUUGCGAGGCGGUUUCCUUGGCACGUCUUGUCAAAGCAGAGAUCGUGUCCCCCUUGUUUACGGGAUUCUCGUUAAUACGGACGUGGGUAACCCAACCGCGCCACUUAUCACGGCGCUUGGGAGGCAAGCGAGUUUUACUAGGCUGGUGGGGACGCAUAGUCGCAUCCGCCCAUAUAAGGGGAUAAGGAUCCACCUUUUUACCUACGCCUUCUUCCUCCUUUGCCUAGCCAUCUUCUGCGCACCCGAGCUCUAGCGCCCCAGCCCGCGCUUCCUACCUCAACCCUCUCCAACAAUGUUCGGAGCGGGAGGCAAGUGGAUGGUCUCCUCCGUCACGGAGGGCCAUGUCAAAAGGUUAAGGAAGGCCGGAUACUUGUCCAAAGACAUCGCGCACCGGCUUCCUGAGGAGGGGCAGCUUCUCCCCACCCCAAGGCCCCAUGAGAGGGUAGUAUUUCUUCCCCACUGCCUCCGCGGACUGGGUUUUCCUCUCCACCCAUUUGUCCGCGGGCUCAUGUUCUACUAUGGCCUAGAUUUCCACGAUCUGGCCCCGUACUUCAUCCUCAAUAUCUCGGCGUUUAUCAUCGUGUGCGAGGCUUUCCUCUGCAUUCGCCCCCAUUUCGGCCUCUGGCUCACGACCUUCAACGUCAAGCCAAAGGUGGUGCGCGGUAACCAGGCGGAGUGCGGAGGUGCCAUGGCGGGCAAAAUUGCCAACGUCCUAUGGCUCGAGGGCUCCUUUGUGGAGACCUUGAAGGGGUGGCAGUCAGGGUGGUUUUACAUCACCGAGCCACGCGAUCCGAAGUGGAUCGCAGCCCCUGAAUUCCGAUCCGGACCCCCUACGCGGCUCAUGUCCUGGAAGGAGACGAGCUUGUCGUGGGGCGACGAAGGAGAGUUGACCAGACUGCAAAAAUGCAUCCAGUCCCUGGUGAACAAGCAGCUCAAGCUUGUCAACGUAAUCUAGGUCAUGCUCGUCCGCCGGAUUCUUCCGUGUCAAGAACGGGACUUCAAUUUGUGGGAGUUCAACCCGGCGCAACACCGAACUCUGAGAAGGCUCUUCAACACGACGUACGAAGAUGUCUGGAGGGGGCUAACCAAAGGCGCCGAGACUCCCACAUCCGCCUCCGAAGACCGCGGAUUCAGCUCGCAGCGUCCUGCUGGCGAGGUAAGAUAUUUCCAUCUUUUACAGGAUGUUAAGCUUUUUCAUAGUUGACUCUAUGCGGGAUCAAAACUCCCUCACCUUUGACAGGAUUGGCGGGAGAAGUCCGGACAGAUUAAAUGCCCGGCUCCCUUGCCCGAAGACCUAGCCCCUGCUCUCCUAGAGAAGCUGCUGGUUUCGGCACCUUAUGUGGUGCCGGAGAAGAGGGCCAAGAAGAAGAAGGCCACGGGGACUCGAAAGAGUUCCUGGCAUAUGGUGGUGUCGGACUCGUCGUCCGACCAGUCCGAGACGCACUCCUCCCGUGAAGACGAGGAGGAAGAGUGUCGGACUCGUCGUCCGACGAGUCCGAGACGCACUCCUCCCGUGAAGAGGAGUGGCCGGACUACGUCCCCGACGCCGACGAGGACGAAGAGGAGUGGCCAGACAGGGCCAAGCAUCCGGCGAGAUCGUAAGUGUUCGGAUACCAGAGUAACUCGUGAUAUUCCUUUUGUUGCACAGCUUUCCCUAAUGUCGGAUAUAAUCAUGCAGUCCGCCCAAGGAUGGGCUCGACGAGUCGUCGAGCGGCUCCCUGGAUUCAUCGGACGUGAAUUCAGUUCCGCCUACUGCUUCCCCCUGUGCUGCAGAUGACGCCGAAGUGGCGUCGCGACAAGCUCCGGGACGAGAGGAGGUGGUCCAGGAGGAGUCGCGAGGUGACCUCCCGGACUCCAGGAGUGAAGGGGACAAGACCCCCCUGGGAUCCAAGUUCGGCUUUAAGCCGGACACUGAGAUGGAAUCAUCAACAGUUCCGGACUGCGGUAGGCGAACUCCUACCAGGAGGAGCAAGCCUACUGAGCCGGCAUCCUCCGUCCAGCCGGAGGCGCCGGACAAUCUGCUGGAGGAGCUUAAGGGCGCCUCCACCGACGAGGAGCACCGUGCCGUCAUGAGUACGGUGAUCCAGAAGGUUCGGUCCGCCAAAAGCGGACUGACUGAAGCUUGUGCUGGCCUUCUAACAGGCUUCGAGGUAAGUAAAAAUAUGUAAAAAUAUUACCGUAUAGACAGUAGCCCCUGAUGCUCUGUUUGGCGUUUGUAAAGAAAAGCCAAAUAGAGGAUCUAUUAAAUAUCGCAGGAGUCUAACUAAAAAGGAGUCAAUAUAUGUAUGCAGGCUUCGCUGCUGGCCACCGCCGCACUGACUGCGGAGGUGGGUGCCCUGAAGGAGGGCCUCCAGCGGACCGAGCAAGAGCUCGGCCUUGCCAAACGGCAGCUCGAGGAAAAAGAAUGUAAGAGAUACCUUACAGAAAAAGUGCCUAUAAAAAGGCUUGAUUGCAAAAAGAGUAGCAGGAUUGUACUGCUUAUUGUAGGGGCCACGACUGAGGUGGCGACCUUUAAGCAGGUGUUGUCUGAGGCCGAAAAGAAAACGGCCGCGGAGCGCACCGAGCGAGACAGACUUGGGGCUCAGGUCAGCGAGGUGCAGCAAGAGCUUCAGGCUCUCAUGAAAAAACAUGAGAGUUUGAAGCUGGAGUCGAAGGCGCAAGCAUCCGAGCUUGCAACGGCCCUAGAGGCUGCCAAGUCUACCAAGGCCGAUGCCCUAAAGACCCUCCAAGAGUUGGAGGAGAUGAGGAAGAUAGCAACGGGUAAGGCAUUCUUUAUGCAAAGCAGAAAUAUAAAAGUGAACUACCUGUUACUUACCCGAAUCCGAAGCUCUCCAGGGGCAUUCGCAGAUCUUCCCUGCAGCGUAUCCGAUGCCGCCGCAUUAUACCAAGCUGAAGAGGGUAGCUCGACGGAGAAGGUGUUCUGGUUUCAGUAUUCUGAGGCCGGACACCCUGUGCCCUUGAGCAACCAGCUGAAACAGCUGGUUGAGCUCCACAAGGCGGCCAAGCAGGCCAUGAAGGGCUUCAUAGUUCGGCUGUGGCCUGGAGAGGCCCUACCUGGGAGCUAUCUCGGGCUGGUGCGGCGGCUGGUGGAGGCCUGUCCGAGGCUUGAGGUCAUCAAGUGCUCCGUCUGCAUCGAUGGUGCCCGUCGGGCCCUUGCCCGUGCAAAGGUGCACUGGGGUAAGCUGGACGGUGAGAAGCUUGUGAAGGACGGGCUGCCGCCGGGGAAGGAGCAUCGCAAGCCCGAGAACUACUACAAGGAUGUUCUUGCAGGUGCCCGCCUUAUGGCGGAUCAAUGUACCAAGGAUGUGAUAUUUGAAUGAACUCGCUCGUGUUUAUCUUGUGCGCUGAAAACUUGUUCAUAUGUGCUAAGCAAUGCUUAUUGAAUUUAAAAUAUUACUUUCUGUGCGGCCAUUUAUCAAAAAUUGAGAGAUGGCCAGUCGUCGGCUUCUGCCCCCGUGCCACUAGUGCUGGGGUGUUCGGGAUAAACCUGAGCGCUCUUUUUCCCAUAGUUGGGUCCUUCGAGGGAGGCGCUCAGCACAACGAACCAGGCAAUCGGACUAUAAUGCUUGAACACUCUCACUUAGCCAUAGAGCUCUAUAAUUUUAAAUUUCGGUGAAGCCCGUAGUUCGGAAGACCGAGUUCGGGGCGCUAUCCACGCCUUGGCCGGACAAAGCCGGCUCCUCGCUCGAAGCGGCAUAAGCCUUUAGGGACUCGAAAAACCUCUCGAACAGCGAUCGGUCUCUCGCCACAUCAUGACAGUCAGUUUUAGCUUUCUCCACUCAGGUGCUUAACCCAGGUGAACCGGGGCACAAUCGCAGUGGUUCUCCUAGUGCUACCUUAGCCGAUAGAGCGGAACGUAAGGCACCAAAACAUAGGAGCCACGCAAACCCAACUAUUGACCCAAAUCAUGAUUCGGAGCCGAUGCAUAUAGUGCUAUAAGUUCGGGGUGCCGCACUUGUGAAAGUGUACGGACUUCUCACACCAUUAUGAGCGGUACUGAAGCCCCUGGCAUGUUUGCCAUACCAUGGUGUACGGGUGCAAUCAUGUCAUUUAAUAAACAUAAAUGUGAAAAGAAGAUAAUGCAAAAAAUAGACUAGAAGCUAAGCAUUGUUUAUAGAGAGGCUAUUUAUCAAAGCCGAACGAUACAAAUAGUGCGGUAAGCAAAAGAUAUUGGACUAUUCAGUAUGUCCUGACCAGGGGCAGGCCGCGGAAUUGUAUUUAAAACAGGUAUACCGCUCGUAACAGAGACCACCUGGGAGUUCCAUAAUGCGUCAUGGCUUGUCUGCCUCCCUGGAUCUUGCAUCGUUUGUGCGGCAGUCGAAUUGCCGAACAGGUCGUCCGAAGUAUGGAGUCCUGAAAGAAGAAAAAAUUAAAAAAAGAAUCCGGCAGCCCCUAGUACGUAUUAAGCCGUAUUUUGGGCGUGUUGUUAUUGUGCCCCUUCCCCUGUGCCCAUGGUAUUUCAAGGGCGUAGUUAUGUACGUGAGGUACUGGUUUCGCUAUGUUGCGAAAGCUGGGGUUGGGGCCGCAUUGCUACGCUUGCUUAGAGUGUGCCAGGCAGUGUCUGGCUUUUUAAUGGCCGGACUGGAGAAUUGCCUGAGAAGGCUACUUUGUACCUCCGCUGCGAGAGCCGCCGUAUGCUCCUCCAUAUGGAGGGAGCGUUCGGUGUUUCCGUUGAACGUAAUUACUCCUUGAGGGCCUGGCAUCUUGAGCUUGAGAUAUGCGUAGUGCAGCACCGUGUUGAUCUUUGCGAAUGCGGUUCGUCCGAGCAGGGCAUGAUAGCCACUGCGAAACGGUACUAUAUCGAAGAUUAACUCUUCGCUUCGGAAAUUGUCCGGGGAUCGGAAGACCACAUCAAGUGUUACUGAGCAUGUACUGUUGGCUUCUACACCUGGUAUAACGCCUUUAAAGGUCGUUCUUGUGGGCUUAAUCCUUGAGGGAUCUAUGCCCAUUUUCUGCACUGUAUCCUGAUAAAGCAGGUUCAGGCUACUGCCGCCGUCCAUGAGGACUCUUGUGAGAUGAAAUCCGUCGAUGAUCGGGUCGAGAACCAAUGCGGCGAAGCCGCCAUGACGGAUGCUAGUGGGAUGGUCCCUUCGAUCGAAAGUGAUCGGGCAGGAGGGCCAUGGGUUGAACUUUGGGGCGACUGGCUCCAUCGCAUAUACGUCCCGUAGCGCAUGCUUCCGCUCCCGCAUGGGAAUGUGGGUUGCGUAUAUCAUGUUCACCGUCCACACUUGUGGGGGAAAGCCCUUCUGUCCAUUGUUGUUCGGCGGCUUGGGCUCCUCGUCGUCGCUGUGCAGCCCCUUGUCUCUGUUUUCGGCCCUUAACUUGCCUGCCUGCUUGAACACCCAACAAUCCCUGUUAGUGUGAUUGGCUAGCCUUUCGGGGGUGCCAUGUAUCUGGCACAAGCGAUCGAGUAUUCGGUCCAAACUGGACGGGCCCUGAGUAUUCUUUUUGAAUGGCAUUUUCCGCUGACCGGAUUUAUAGCCUUUGAAUCCGGCAUUGACUGCCGUGUCUUCAUUGCUGUCGCUGCUAACGCGGCGUUUUUGCUUAUUCCGAUGUGUCCUACCACUUUUGUCCUUGGUAUCCGAAUUACCAGGGUGCUUUGAUAAGUUGUUACUGCGAGCUAGCCAGCUGUCUUCUCCCGCGCAAAAGCGGGUCAUGAGUGUCGUGAGGGCUGCCAUGGAUUUCGGCUUUUCCUGUCCCAGGUGCCAGGCAAGCCACUCGUCGCAGAUGUUGUGCUUCAAGGCUGCCAGGGCCUCUGCGUCCGGACAGUCGACUAUCUGGUUUUUCUUUGUUAGGAACCGUGUCCAAAAUUGUCUGGCCGAUUCCUCUGGCUGCUGAAUUAUGUGGCUUAAGUCGUCGGCAUCCGGUGGUCACACGUAAGUGCCCUGGAAGUUGUCGAGGAAUGCGGCUUCCAGGUCCUCCCAAGAACCGAUUGAGUCUGCUGGCAAGCUGUUAAGCCAAUGCCGGGCCGGUCCUUUAAGUUUGAGCGGGAGGUAUUUGAUGGCGUGUAGAUCAUCGCCGCGUGCCAUGUGGAUGUGAAGGAGACAAUCCUCGAUCCAUACCGCCGGAUCUGUUGUGCCAUCGUAUGAUUCGAUGUUUAUGGGUUUGUAGCCCUCUGGGAUUUUAUGAUCCAUUACUUCAUUCGUGAAGCAUAGCGGGUGUGUGGCGCCUCUGUAUUGGGCUAUAUCACGACGUAGCUCGGAAGAGCUAUGUCUGUUGUGUUCGGCCCGGCCGGAUUUGUUGUAUCCAGAGUGAAGAUCAUUUUCCCGUGCCUUAGUUGAGAGGUGUCGGGGCAUGGCUUGGGUGGAGGGCCGAGACGCCUCUCUGUCGCGGCCGCGAGGUGGCCGGUCUGCCAUGUCAUGCGCUGGUGAUGUAGGUGCUUCCUCCUCUGAUCGGGGUAGCGGCCUAUGCUUCGGGUAACUCUUGGAGGGGCGUUCGAGUUCAUACUCUUCGGCCGCAAGGACUUCAGUCCAUCUGUCAGCUAGCAAAUCUUGGGCAGCUCUAAGUUGUUGCUGCUUUUUCUUGAGGCUGCUUGCCAUGGCUAAAAGCCUGCGUUUAAAAAGCUCUUGUUCGGCGGGGUCUGAUGGUAUGACGAAUUCGUCGUCAUUGAGGCUUGCCUCGUCUUCGGAGGGAGGCGUAUAGUUAUCAUCCUCGACCUUUCCGUCUGCCGCUCUCUCAUCAGGGCUGGCUUCUCCAUCUUCCUGUGCCGAAUCUUGCUGAGGUGGGUGUUCUUCGGCGCUAUCCGGGGUAGUAUUAUCUCUCAUGUCGGAAUCACCGUUUUUGCUUUGGCGGGAUUUAGAGCGGCGCCGCUGGUGCCGGCGCUUUGGCUGUUUCUUGGGGGCGUCAUCCCCCACUGUUCCAUCGCCAUCUCCAUCUUUUGGAGUAUCCACCAUAUAUAUGUCAUAUGAUAAGGUGGCCUUCCAGCGCCCUACAGGUGCUGGUUCCUGUUCGUCUCCUACAUUGUCGUCCAUGCCGUCGAUGUCUUUGGAGCUGAAGUCAACCAUGUAGGUUAGACCGUCGAUAAUGGCUACAAAGUGGGUGGUGGGUGGGCUUUGAAUUUCCUCAUCGUAUGUAUCCCACCCUCGCUGACCGUAGUCCGGCCAGGGCUCUCCUGAUAAAGAGAGAGACUUAAGAGAAUUCAGGAUGUCGCCAAAAGGCGAAUGCUGAAAGAUGUCUGUAGCGGUGAACUCCAUUAUCGGCACCCAAUCGGAUUCGAUUGGCAGGGGCGCGGGGGGUUCGGAGUCCGGGGAGGAGUCCGGAUCCUCGGAGUCACGGGUCGUGCAGAGUGCGGGGCUAGCGUUCGGCUCGAUCGCUUUCGGGAUCGCAGCCCCCGAGGUGACGUCCAACCGCUCAUCCUCGAUUGGCGCAAUAGGUUCCGAGUUAGGGGUCGGAACCGAUGCGUGUGCGGCCUCCAGGACACUGGCCGGGGGCAGAGCUAGAUCAUGCCCCUCGGGAUAGUGCGGCGUGCUUGGCCGUGGCUCGAGCCCGUCGAAGAUCAAGUCUCCGUGGAUGUCAGCCGUGUAGUUUAAGCUUCCAAACCUGACUUGAUGGCCAGGGGCGUAGCUUUCGAUCUGCUACAGGUGGCCGAGCGAAUUGGCUCAUAGAGCGAUGCCGCCGAAGACGAAGAUCUGUCCGGGGAGAAAAGUCUCACCCUGGACCGCAUCGUUGUUGAUGAUCAAAGGAGCCAUCGGGCCUAAAGGCGACGAGACAGAGGAACUCUCAAUGAAAGCACCAAUGUCAGUGUCAAAACCGGUGGAUCUCGAGUAGUGGGUCCCGAACUGUGCGUCUAGGCCGGAUGGUAAUAGGAGGCAGGGAACACGAUGUUUUAUCCAGGUUCGGGCCCUCUUGAUGGAGGUAAAACCCUACGUCCUGCUUGAUUAAUAUUGAUGAUAUGGGUAGUACAAGAGUAGAUCUACCACGAGAUCAAGGAGGCUAAACCCUAGAAGCUAGCCUAUGGUAUGAUUGUUGUAUAUGGAGUUGAUUGCCUACGGACAACAACCCUCCGGUUUAUAUAGACACCGGAUAGGGUUAGGGUUACAUAGAGUCGGUUACAAUGGUAGGAUAUCUUGAAUAUCCACAUCGCCAAGCUUGCCUUCCACGCCAAGGAAAGUCCCGUCCGGACACGGGAUGAAGUCUUCAAUCUUGUAUCUUCAUAGCCCAGGAGUCCGGCUGAAGGUAUAGUCCGGCUACCUGAACACCCCCUAAUCCAGGACUCCCUCAGGUAGCAAGAUGGAUUUCUGGCGCCAUUGCCGGGGAGAUUCGCGCCAAGUCAAGACAUACCAAGUACCCAUCACAAACCCUUAUCCCUCGCAUUACAUUAUUUUCCAUUUGCCUCUUGUUUUCCUCUCCCCCACUUCACCCUUGCCAUUUUAUGCGCCCUCUCUUUUUCCGUUCCCCUCUUUUCCACUUGCUUUGUCGUUAUGGCUAGUCCUUUAUCUACUCCUUUGUCUCCCGAGAAUGAAGUUCUUAAUUUUAAACAAAGGGAGGGAGAAAAUCUAAAAGAUGCUUGGUACAGAAUUUGCAACACACAAAUUAGAUCUACUAGGAAACAAUCUACUUUUGUUCUUCUUCACGAUUUUUAUGUAGGCAUCACACCUUGGAAUAGAUAUAUUCUUGAUGCCAUUACCGGAGGGAAUUUCUUGGGUAGCCAUACUUUUGAUUCUUAUAAUGCUAUGAUAGAUCUGUUUGGCCCACCACCUCUUUUGGUUAAUGGAACUAUUUUAACUUUGGAACAUGUGAUGCAAUGGCUUGAAAUUAGUGAAAAUAAAGUUGCCACCAUAGAGUUAAUUGAAAAUUUGGAUAGAAAGAUCCAUAACCAAAUUACCCAAUACGGAUCUAAGUUAGGAGUUGCUCUUAAAAGUUUUAAAGAAAAGGGACCUAUGGUUAAUGAAAAGAUAGAAAAGGAUUCCACUAGAAUUGAUAAAAUUGAGGAUAUUAUUACCAACCUUGGGUCUUCCUUUUCUUCUAUUAUAAAUACUCCGCCUAAUGCUAAGAUUGCCAAACUAAUGUAUGUUACAAAAAAUAAGGGUGAAACUUCUAAUAAGGAAAAUGCGGAUCUCAAAUCCAUAAGUGUUCACCCCAAUUUUCUCACUAUCCUUAAGGAACCUUUUGCUACAAAUGAUUUUCUUGAUUUCAUACCUAGGAGUUUGAUAAUUAAUAAAAACAAAGAAACUCCUAAAAGUUAUUGGUGUGUUAUUGAAGAAUCACCUUCCAAAGACGGCAAUACCUAGGUCUAUCUUCGCUUUUAUGCCUAGCUAGGGGCGUUAAACGAUAGCGCUUGUUGGGAGGCAACCCAGUUUUACUUUUAUUCCUUGAUGUUUGCUCCUAUUUAGUAAUAAAUAAUUUAUGUAGCCUAUGUUUUGGUUGUGUUUUUUGUGUUUAAUUUGUGUUUGUGCCAUGUAGAACCAUUGGGUAGACUUGGGGAAAGUCUUUUUGAUCUUGCUGUAAAAAACAGAAACGUUAGCGCUCACGAGAAUCGCUGACAUUUUUAUUUGGAAAGUGAUAUUUAGAUAAUUCUUUUUGCGGAUGAUUAAUAGAUAAAUUCCUCACGUCCAGCAAUUUAUUUUAUAAUUUUUGGGGUUACAGAAGUUCGCGUUAGGUACAGAUUACUACAGACUGUUCUGUUUUUGACAGAUUCUGUUUUUCGUGUAUUGUUUGCUUAUUUUGAUGAAUCUAUGGCUAGUCAAAGAGGUUAUAAACCGUAGAGAAGUUGGAAUACAGUAGGUUUAACACCAAUAUAAAUCAAGAUUGAGUUCAUAACAGUACCUUGAAGUGGUGUUUUGUUUUCUUUCGCUAACGGAGCUCACGAGAUUUUCUGUUUGAGUUUUUUGUUGUGAAGUUUUCAAGUUUUGGGUAAAGAUUUGAUGGAUUAUGGAACAAGGAGUGGCAAGAGCCUAAGCUUGGGGAUUCCCAUGGCACACCAAGGUAAAAUUAAAGGACACCAAAAAGCCUAAGCUUGGGGAUGCCCCGAAAGGCAUCCCCUCUUUCGUCUUCGUCUAUUGGUAACUUUACUUGGAGCUAUAUUUUUAUUCACCACAUGAUAUGUGUUUUGCUUGGAGCGUCUUGUAUGAUUUGAUUAUUUGAUUUUUAGUUUACCAAAAUCAUCCUUGCUGUACACACCUUUUGAGAGAGACUCACAUGAUUGGGAAUUUAUGAGAAUACUCUAUGUGCUUCACUUAUAUCUUUUGAGCUAUAUGGUUUUUGUUCUAGUUCUUCGCUUAUAUAUUUUAGAGAAUGGCGGUGGUUUUAUUUUAUAGAAAUAAUUGUUCUCUCAUGCUUCACUUAUAUUAUUUUGAUAGUCCUUUAGAACAACAUGGCAAUAAUAAAACUGUCAUACAAGUGCAUUGAAUACUAUGAGAAGUUUGAUACUUGAUAAUUGUUUUGAGAUAUGGAGAUGGUGAUAUUAGAGUCAUGCUAGUUGUGUAGUUGUGAAUUUGAGAAAUACUUGUGUUGAAGUUUGUGAUUCCCGUAGCAUGCACGUAUGGUGAACCGUUAUGUGACGAAGUCAGAUCAUGAUUUAUUUGUUGAUUGUCUUCCUUAUGAGUGGCGGUCGGGGAUGAGCAAUGGUCUUUUACUACCAAUCUAUCUCCCUAGGAGCAUGGGCAUAAUACUUUGCUUUGAUAACUUAUAGAUUUUUGCAAUAAGUAUGUGAGUUCUUUCUGAGCAAUGUUGAGUCCAUGGAUCAUACGCACUCUCACCCUUCCACCAUUGCUAGCCUCUCUAAUACCGUGCACUUCUCGCCGAUAUCAUACACCCACCAUAUACCAUCCUCAAAACAGCCACCAUACCUACCUAUUAUCACUAGUGCAGAACCGGGCAAUAGCACCGGUUCGUAAGGCCCUUUAGUGCCGGUUUAGGAACCGGCACUAUUAUUUCGGCACUAAACCCCCCCCCCUUUAGUACCGGUUCAGCACGAACCGGUGCUAAAGGGGUACCACGUGGCACGAGCCAGCUCCGGGGGCCGGGAGCCCUUUAGUACCGGUUGGUAAAACCAACCGGUACUAAAUGGUUGUGGGUUUUUGUUUUAUUUUGUAUUUUUCAAUUAAAUUUGUGUUAUCAAUUUAAAUUAGGAUUGUUUUACGUUAUAAUGAGUUGUAGUCGUCAUCAUCAUCAUCAUCAUCGCAUAUUAAUAAAUAAAUAAACUCUAGCUAGCUAAAAAUCAUCGUGGUCGUCUAAUUACCACUAUUUAAUCAUCAUAGUCAUUACCGCUAGCUAUGUAAUCAUCAUCAACGUUGGCUAGCUUAAAGAGGAAACAUUCACUUUGUAACAGAAGCAAAGAGAUAUCAUCAAGUUCAACAUAAUCAUCACCAACAUCGAAGUUCAGGACACGGAUCCAUGAGACGAGUACUAAUUAAGAGCAUGAAGUAGUAGCUACUGAUCCUGCUUCUCCCUCUCAGGUAGAAUAGCACAGAACAUGUAUAGCUCUCCUGAUUCAUCAUACUGAAGCAUGCAGAUGAAUCUGUCUCCUAAUCUUGGGUUGCGCUUCUCCUUACUGCCCCCUAGUACUUCUCUGCGAUCGUUAACAAUUUUGCUCCAAUCUUUCACUAUUAAGCAUUCUUCGCUUUUAGAAAUCCUGAAUGCACUCAUGUGCAAUGUAGGAAAUCUUGGUCGUAAGCUAACCAUUGACAUGCGACCUUUUGUCUCGAUCCACUAAGGCACAACUGUCAUCGGAAGUCCCUGUUGAACAACAUCGUAUAGUAAUUAAUAUACUAAGCAAUGAAAGUUUAGCUUUAAAAAUAAUGUACGCAAAAGAUGCACUAAUUAAGGACAAAUAUUUAAAAUCUUACCAUCUUUUGAUUAUAGAUGUGACCGUAGUUCAAGGCGAUCACCAUUGGUCGCACGUUUUGAGUACUAACAUUUCUAAGUUUAGAAAAAAAAUUGUCUUGACAGUAUUAAGAUCCUCAAGCCAUGAAACACAAUGACUUAUUUCCUCGCAGUUUAGUUGAGCCCCGAGGUAGUAGUAGGUCCUGUCUACCAAGCGCCGGACAUGUUUGCUUGAACCGAAAUAAGCUGACAAUACACAUCAGUUGUCAACUAUUUUUGAAUAAACUGUACGAAAGACAUAAACGUAUAUAUGCAUGCAUGGUUGAGAAAAACUCACCAAAUGGUAGAACUGGAGGCGUUUGCACAUCGACCCAGAUGUCUAUAUUACCUUCAAUAUCAUCUUCCGGACGAAUAUCAAAGGUGAUAACCAUAUCAGGCUCAAAUGCAUAAGCCUUGCAUAGUGCUUGCCAAGUUUUGCAUUCAAAAUGGGUGUAUGUGCCUCCAUUAUAUAAUUUGACGUUGAAAGUAUACCCAUGCUCCGUCUUCAAGUAAACUCUCUUUACCUCCAUAUCAUCUAUAGCACUAAAACCUAUCUUAUAUAAUACAAAAAUUCUUGUAUGGCAGGGGAUGCGCUAGUAGAAUAGUGAAAAUUUAAAAUUAUAAGUUGAAGCAAAUGAAGCAUAAGUUUUGCAUUCAAAUAAUAAUUGACAAAGUGGCUUACUGUAUCAACUUCAAAUGUCUCAUCCAGCUUGAUGUUGAAGCGCCUACCAUCAACAAGGAAAUUUUGGUCGCACAGGCCGCGCUGGUCUUCACAGUGUUCGCACAUAAUAAAAUCUUUUUAGUUGUCAGAUGACAUUUCCUAUGUUCAUAUAGGUGAAACAUUAAACACCUAUAUCUAGCCAAAUAUAUAUUCAUCUAACAUUUGACAUUAAUAUAUCUAACUAUAUAUUCAAUUGACAUUACUAUAUAUUUAACUUUUCUAUCUAAUUCAUCUAACAUUCGACAUUAAUCUAACAUUUAUAUAAACUCAAAAUAUAUAAAAAAUUAAAUAAACAGAAAAACUCAUUAACAAAUAAUAUUUUAAUUAGAUCAUCAAAUCUCAUAUACCUAAAUUUUCUUACUAAAAAUAAACUAGUUAUAUUAAUUAUUCAACUAGUUCUAAUCUNNNNNNNNNNNNNNNNNNNNNNNNNNNNNNNNNNNNNNNNNNNNNNNNNNNNNNNNNNNNNNNNNNNNNNNNNNNNNNNNNNNNNNNNNNNNNNNNNNNNNNNNNNNNNNNNNNNNNNNNNNNNNNNNNNNNNNNNNNNNNNNNNNNNNNNNNNNNNNNNNNNNNNNNNNNNNNNNNNNNNNNNNNNNNNNNNNNNNNNNNNNNNNNNNNNNNNNNNNNNNNNNNNNNNNNNNNNNNNNNNNNNNNNNNNNNNNNNNNNNNNNNNNNNNNNNNNNNNNNNNNNNNNNNNNNNNNNNNNNNNNNNNNNNNNNNNNNNNNNNNNNNNNNNNNNNNNNNNNNNNNNNNNNNNNNNNNNNNNNNNNNNNNNNNNNNNNNNNNNNNNNNNNNNNNNNNNNNNNNNNNNNNNNNNNNNNNNNNNNNNNNNNNNNNNNNNNNNNNNNNNNNNNNNNNNNNNNNNNNNNNNNNNNNNNNNNNNNNNNNNNNNNNNNNNNNNNNNNNNNNNNNNNNNNNNNNNNNNNNNNNNNNNNNNNNNNNNNNNNNNNNNNNNNNNNNNNNNNNNNNNNNNNNNNNNNNNNNNNNNNNNNNNNNNNNNNNNNNNNNNNNNNNNNNNNNNNNNNNNNNNNNNNNNNNNNNNNNNNNNNNNNNNNNNNNNNNNNNNNNNNNNNNNNNNNNNNNNNNNNNNNNNNNNNNNNNNNNNNNNNNNNNNNNNNNNNNNNNNNNNNNNNNNNNNNNNNNNNNNNNNNNNNNNNNNNNNNNNNNNNNNNNNNNNNNNNNNNNNNNNNNNNNNNNNNNNNNNNNNNNNNNNNNNNNNNNNNNNNNNNNNNNNNNNNNNNNNNNNNNNNNNNNNNNNNNNNNNNNNNNNNNNNNNNNNNNNNNNNNNNNNNNNNNNNNNNNNNNNNNNNNNNNNNNNNNNNNNNCGGCGGCGGGGACAGCGACGAUGACGACGGACGACGGUACGGGCGACGGGCGGCGACGACGGGAUCGAGCGGUCCGCGCGGCGGAGGUGGGAGACGAAGUGGGGAGUUGAAACUGAAAUUUUCGUAAGUGCUAUAUAUAUAUAUAUAUAUAUAUAUAUAUAUAUAUAUAUAUAUAUAUAUAUAUGAUUGGCCUUUAGUACCGAAUCGUGGCUCCAACCGGUACUAAAGGCCUAUUUUCGCCAGGCCAAGCGGCGGGAAACGAAGGCUUUUAGUACCGGUUGGAGCCACCAACCGGUACUAAAGGGGGGCCUUUAGUACCGGUUGGAGCCACCAACCGGUACUAAAGGCCUUGCGCUGCCACCCCAAAAUUUAGUCCCACCUCGCCCGGCGAAGGGCAGCCGCACUGGUUUAUAAACCUAGCCGCGGCUACCUCUUCGAACUCCUCUAUAUAGCAGCCUUCUGGGCCUAAUUAAUUAGGGCGCGCUGCCAUGUGAGUCUGCUGGCCCUUCUGGGCCUGCAUUUGCACACCCUAGGUCUGGUAGACCCACAGGGCAGUGCGCCAACAAAUUUUUUAUAUAGUUUUAUCUUUUCUGCAUUACUUAUUUUCUUUUAUUUAUUUUUGAGUAGUUUUUUAUAUAGUUUUUGUUUUCUGCAUUAUUUAUUUUCUUCUAUUUAUUUUUGAGUAAUUUUUUUGUAUAGUUUUUUUAUUUUCUGCAUUACUUAUUUUUGCAUAGUCCGAAACCCUGAUACUCGGAAAGAGUUUGUCCAGUUUGUACACGAAGUGCGUCCAGUUUUUGCCGUGACCCUCUCUACUCUUUCGCGCAUGCUAUGCGGGUGAUACGAUGAUACCAUGCCAAGUUUCAACAUUUUCAGGAUUCAUUUUGUAGUGAUUUUCAAUUUCACGGUCAUUUAGCUCUCUAAACAAUUAGGUAAAUGACUGAAAAACAACAAAUGAUGUCAGAACAUGUUGAAAAUUGAUGACGUCGCUUUAAAUGCUGCAUACUGAACACAAAAGAAGUCCGGAGUACAAAUAAGUUUAAAAAACAUUGAAGUGGCCAUGUAACAGAUGAGUUCUCGUCCGAAACCCUGAUACUCGGAAAGAGUAUGUCCAUUUUGUACACGAAGUGCGUCCAGUUUUUGCCGUGACCCUCUCUACUCUUUCGCGCAUGCUAUGCGGGUGAUAUGAUGAUACCAUGCCAAGUUUCAGCAUUUUCAGGAUUCAUUUUGUAGUGAUUUUCAAUUUCACGGUCAUUUAGCUCUCUAAACAAUUAGGUAAAUGACCGAAAAACAACAAAUGAUGUCAGAAUAGACUGCACUGCACAUAGCUCAGUGUAGACUACACUGCACAUAGCUCAGUGCAAUCUAUGUUAUUCCGCAAGGCUUGAAGCUAAUCAACAUGUAGAUGAGCAUUGCAAUUCUUCGUCAUUGUCUGUGCACUCACGGCUUAUAAACCGCUCAUACUGCCUCUCUCUUGGCGAGGUGGGACUAAAAACAACUUGCCAUAACCUCAUCAAUUUCCUCUUGAAGCUUGUCCUUGCCUUUUUGCUUGUAUUCUUGUGGUGGAAGAUCAUCUUGAGCUUGUGUCCCCUUGAAGGAAGUAGGAUACUUCUCUUGUUGAGGAACAAACUUUGUCUUGGGGUAUUGAUCUUCUUCCCACUCAACUCCAUUGGCAUUGAACUUUCGUUCAAAACCAACACCUUGAUUCUUCCAGUGCCUUCCUUGCUUGCGCACAAUUUCCUCGAAUUGCUUACUCCCGGCAAGGCUUUUGUACAUUCCUUUCUCUAUAAUUCCCUUCAAUAAGCUAUUUUCUUGCUCAAGUGUAACUUGGCUAAGAGAAUCAUUAGUGGAAUCAAGAGAACUACUAGAAGCAACAAUGUUAGAUCUUAUGUCACAAAAAAGAAGUCGUAUCAAACCUUUUAUGUCGGAUCUAGAACAAACCAAUCGGUAUCGCCAUCAUACAGCCCUACCGUGGCUUGUGAUGCAUAUAUAUAUGCAUAUCAAAUGCACGGUUGGGCGUAUGAUGGCGAAUCCGAAUGAUUUGUAUUCAGUCGAUGAACUGGUAGAUGUAUGCAGUCGAUGAACUGGUAGAUGUAUGUAGUCGAUGAACUGAAAGACUUAUGCAGGGAAGGCGAGAGAUGGGCUAUAUAUAGGGUCGUCUGGCUCACAAAGUGAUUGUGGUAGUUUCGAUCCAACGACUCACAUGAGCUAGGAAGAAGCACACCCUUGAUCCAACGACUCGCAAGAGCUAUAAAGAAACACACGAUCCAUGUGAUUCUUCCUGAUUGGUGGGAUGCACAUUAGUAUCGGUUUGUGCCAUGAACUGGUGCUAAAGAUUGGCAAUGAACCGGUACUAAUGGUAGCAGCCCGCCUAGCCGUUGGAAUCGGCACUAAUGGUCACAUUUGUGCCGGCUCAAAUUCAAACCGGCACUAUAAUGUGCUUCACAUUUGACUGUUUUUCUACUAGUCAAUAGAGUUUGCCAAACUUGAGUUUCCCAAGUCACUUACACAAAAAGCUAUGAUUCAUGGUUGUCAAAUCCAUAAUUUACAAACCACAACAACCUUGAGGCAUAACAAGCUUUAAAUGCUGCAUACUGAACACAAAAGAAGUCCAGAGUUUAAAUAAGUUAUUAAAAAUAAAAAAGAGGUGCAAUGCUGGUUAAUUUGCUUCAAGCUAUUCGGAAUAGUGUAGAUUGCACUAAGCCACUGCACAUAGCUCAGUGCAAUCUAUGCUAUUCCGCAAGGCUUGAAGCUAAUCAACAUGUAGGUGAGCAUUGCAACUCUUCGUCAUUGUCUGUGCACUCACGGCUUAUAAACCGCUCAUACUACCUCUCUCUUGGCGAGGUGGGACUAAAAACAUCUUGCCAUAACCUCAUUAGUACUGGUUCAUGGUACGAACCGGCACUAAAUGGUGAUGGUGGGGCCAUAGCCUGACCGCAGGCUGACACAGCCUCUUUAGUACCGGUUCGUGGCAUGAACCGGUACUAAAGGUUCGCCACGAACCGGUACUAUUGAUCGCCGCCACGAACCGGCACUAAUGUACACAUUAGUGCCGGCUCUAAUUCAAACCGGCACUAAUGUGCUUCACAUUUGACCCUUUUUCUACUAGUGUAUGGCAUUUCCAUAGCCAUUCCGAGAUAUAUUGCCAUGCAACUUUCCAUCGUUCCAUUAUUAUGACACACUUCAUCAUUGUCAUAUUUGCUUGCAUGAUCAUGUAGUUGGCAUCGUAUUUGUGCAAAGCCACCAUUCAUAAUUCUUCAUACAUGUCACUCUUGAUUCACUGCAUAUCCCGGUACACCGCCGGAGGCAUUCACAUAGAGUCAUAUUUUGUUCUAAGUAUCGAGUUGUAAUUCUUGAGUUGUAAGUAAAUAAAAGUGUGAUGAUCAUCAUUAUUAGAGAAUUGUCCCAAGUGAGGAAAGGAUGGAGACUAUGAUUCCACAACAAGUCGGCAUGAGACUCCGGACGAAAAUAAAAAAAGAGGGAAAAAAGAGAAAGGCCAUAAAAAAGAAGGCCCAAAAAAUGAGAGAAAAAGAGAGAAGGGGCAAUGUUACUAUCCUUUUUCCACACUUGUGCUUCAAAGUAGCACCAUCAUCUUCAUGAUAGAGAGUCUCCUAUGAUAUCACUUUCAUAUACUAGUGGGAAUUUUUCAUUAUAGAACUUGGCUUGUAUAUUCCAAUGAUGGGCUUCCUCAAAUUGCCCUAGGUCUUCGUGAGCAAGCAAGUUGGAUGCACACCCACUUAGUUUCUUUUGUUGAGCUUUCAUACACUUAUAGCUCUAGUGCAUCCGUUGCAUGGCAAUCCCUACUCAAUCACAUUGAUAUCUAUUAAUGGGCAUCUCCAUAGCCCGUUGAUACGCCUGUUCUGGAGCUCCGCCAGAGGGGGCAUCGAUCACGGAGGGCUUCUACAUCAACAGCAUAGCCUCUCCGAUGAAGUGUGAGUAGUUGACCUCAGACCUACGGGUCCAUAGUUAUUACCUAGAUGGCUUCUUCUCUCUUUUUGGAUCUCAAUACAAUGUUCUCCCCCUCUCUUGUGGAGAACUAUUCGAUGUAAUCUUCUUUUUGCGGUGUGUUUAUUGAGAUCGAUGAAUUGUGGGUUUAUGAUCAAGUCUAUCUAUGAAUAAUAUUUGAAUCUUCUCUGAAUUCUUUUAUGUAUGAUUGUUUAUCUUUGCAAGUCUCCUCGAAUUAUCAGUUUGGUUUGGCCUACUAGAUUGAUCUUUCUUACAAUGGGAGAAGUGCUUAGCUUUGGGUUCAAUCUUGCGGUGUCCUUUCCCAGUGACAGCAGGGGCAGCAAGGCAUGUAUUGUAUUGUUGCUAUCGAGGACAACAAGAUGAGGUUUUCAUCAUAUUGCAUGAGUCUAUCCCUCUACAUCAUGUCAUCUAGCUUAAGGCGUUACUCUGUUUUUAACUUAAUACUCUAGAUGCAUGCUGGAUAGCGGUCGAUGAGUGGAGUAAUAGUAGUAGAUGCAGGCAGGAGUCGGUCUACUUGUCUCGGACGUGAUGCCUAUAUACAUGAUCAUACCUAGAUAUUCUCAUAAAUAUGCUCAAUUAUGUCAAUUGCUCAACAGUAAUUUGUUCACCCACCAUAGAAUUAUUAUGCUCUCGAGAGAAUCUACUAGUGAAACCUAUGGCCCCCGGGUCUAUCUUUAUCAUAUUAAUCUCCUACUACUUAGUUAUUUCCUUUGCUUUUUCCUUUGCCUUUAUUUUACUUUUCAUCUUUAUCACAAAAAUACCAAACAUAUUAUCUUUAUCAUAUCUAUCAGAUCUCACUCUCAUAAGUGGCCGUGUAGGGAUUGACAACCCCUAUUCGCGUUGGUUGCGAGGAUUUAUUUGUUUUGUGCAAGUACGAGGGACUCGCGCGUAGCCUCCUACUGGAUUGAUACCCUUGGUUCUCAAACUGAGGGAAAUACUUACGCUACUUUGCUACAUCAUCCCUUCCUCUUCGGGGAAAACCAACGCAGUGCUCAAGAGGUAGCAAGAAGGAUUUCUGGUGCCAAUGCCGGGGAGGUCUACGCAAAAGUCAACAUACCAAGUACCCGUCACAUACCCUUAUCUCCCGCAUUACAUUAUUUGCCAUUUGCCUCUCGUUUUCACCUCCCCCACUUCACCCUUGCCAUUUUAUUCGCCCUCUCUCUCUCUCUAUCCUCCCUCUCUUUCUCUAUUUGCCUCUUUUUUCCCGCUUGCUUUCUGUUUGCUUGUGUGUUAGUUGCUUGCUUGUCACGAUGGCUCAAGAUAAUACUAAAUUAUGUGACUUCACCAAUACCAACAACAAUCAUUUUAUUAGCACUCCGAUUGCUCCUCUUACCGAUGCUGAAUCUUGUGAAAUUAAUACUGCUUUGCUGAAUCUUGUCAUGAAAGAUCUGUUUUCCGGCCUUCCUAGUGAACAUGCCGGUACCCACCUAAAUAGAUUCAUUGAUUUGUGUGACAUGCAAAAAAAAGAAAGGUGUGGAUAAUGAUAUUGUUAAAUUGAAGCUAUUUCCUUUUUUGCUUAGAGAUCGUGCUAAAGCUUGGUUUUCGUCUUUGCCUAAAAAUAGUAUUGAUUCAUGGAAUAAGUGCAAAGAUGCUAUUAUCUCUAAGUAUUUUCCUCCUACUAAGAUCAUCUCUCUUAGAAACAAUAUUAUGAAUUUUAAGCAACUUGAUCAUGAACAUGUUGCACAAGCUUGGGAGAGAAUGAAACUAAUGGUACGUAAUUGCCCUGCCCAUGAUUUAAAUUUGUGGAUGAUUAUACAAAAAUGUUAUGCCGGAUUGAAUUUUGCUUCUAGAAAUCUUUUAGAUUCGGCCGCGGGAGGCACUUUUAUGGAAAUCACUUUAGAAGAAUCUACUAAACUCCUAGAUAAUAUUAUGGUUAAUUAUGCUCAACGGCAUAGUAAAAUAUCUAAUAAUAAAAAGGUGCAUGCGAUACAAGAAAUUAAUGUUUUGAGUGGAAAGAUGGAUGAACUUCUGAAAUUAUUUGCUAAUAAGAGUGUUUCUUCUGAUCCUAAUGAUAUACCCUUGUCUACUUUGAUUGAGAAUAGUAAUGAAUCUAUGGAUGUGGAUUUUGUUGGUAGGAACAAUUUUGGUAACAACGCGUAUAGAGGAAAUUUCAACCCUAGGCCUUAUCCUAGUAAUCUCUCUAAUAAUUAUGGUAAUUCCUACAACAAUUCUUAUGGAAAUUAUAAUAAGAUGCCCUCUAAUUUUGAAUCUAAUAUUAAAGAAUUUAUUACUUUGCAAAAGAAUUUCAAUACCUUGAUUGAAGAAGAACCGCUAGGAUGCGUGCUAAGAAAGAUGCCUUUAUAAGAGCGUGUUCUUCUAGUUCCUAUGAAAAUAAUGAUGAAGAUCUAAAAGUUAUUGAUGUGUUCCCUAUUAAAUCUUUGUUUUUCAACAUGGAUCUUGAUAAUGAUGGGAUUGAAUAUGAUCCACCUUUACCUAUAAGGCGUUCCAAGAAUUCAGAAUUUGUUGAUCUUGAUGCUAAAAUUGAUAAAGGUGGGAUUGAAGAAAUUAAAACCCUAGAUGUUGCUAAACCCACUAUUAUGGAUUUCAAGGAAUUUAACUAUGAAAAUUGCUCUUUUAUUGAUUGUAUAUCCUUUUUACAAUCCGUGCUAAAUUCUCCUCAUGCUUAUAGUCAAAAUAAAGCGUUUACUAAACAUAUCGUUGAUGCCUUGAUGCAAUCUUAUGAAGAAAAACUUGAAUUGGAAGUUUCUAUCCCUAGAAAGCUUUAUGAUGAGUGGGAACCAACUAUUAAAAUUAAAAUUAAAUAUCAUUAAUGCUAUGCUUUAUGUGAUUUGGGUGCUAGUGUUUCCACGAUUUCAAAGACUUUGUGUGAUUUGUUAGGUUUCCGUGAUUUUGAUGAUUGCUCUUUAAACUUGCGCCUUGUGGAUUCCACUAUUAAGAAACCUAUGGGAAGAAUUAAUGAUGUUCUUAUUGAUGCAAAUAGGAAUUAUGUGCCUGUAGAUUUUAUUGUUCUUGACAUAGAUUGCAAUCUUUCAUGUCCUAUUAUUCUUGGUAGACCUUUCCUUAGAACGAUUGGUGCAAUUAUUGAUAUGAAGGAAGGAAAUAUUAGAUUCCAAUUUCCAUUAAGGAAAGUCAUGGAACACUUUACUAGAAAGUAAAUUAAAUUACCUUAUGAAUCUAUUAUGAUAGCCACUUAUGGAUUGCCUACCAAAGAUGGCAAUACCUAGAUCUAUCCUUGCUUGUUAUGCCUAGCUAGGGGCGUUAAACGAUAGCGCUUGUUGGGAGGCAACGCAAUUUUGUUUUUAUUCCUUGAUUUUUGCUCCUGUUUAGUAAUAAAUAAUUUAUCUAGCCUCUGUUUUGGUUGUGUCCUUUGUGUUUAAUUAGUGUUGGUGCCAAGUAGAACCGUUAGGAAGACUUGGGGAAAGUCUUGUUACACUUGCUGUAAAAAACAGAAACUUCAGCGCUCACGAGAACUACUGCCAUUUUUAUUUGGAAAGUUCUAUUUAGUUAAUUAUUUCUGCAGAUGAUUAAUAGAUAAAUUCCUCACGUCCAGAAAUUUAUUUUAGAAUUUUUGGGGUUCCAGCUCUUGAGCUAGGUACAGAUUACUACAGACUGUUCUGUUUUUGAAAGAUUUUGUUUUUCAUGUGUUGUUUGCUUAUUUUGAUGAACCUAUGGCUAGUAAAAUAGUUGAUAGACCAUAGAUAAGUUGGAAUACAGUAGGUAUAACACCAAUAUAAAUAAAUAAUGAGUUCAUUAUAGUACCUUGAAGUGGUCUUUUAUUUUCUUUCGCUAACGGAGCUCACGAGAUUUUCUACUUUAAGUUUUGUGUUGUGAAGUUUUCGAGUUUUGGGUAAAGAUUUGAUGGUUUAUGGAACAAGGAGUGACAAGAGCCUAAGCUUGGGGAUGCCCAUGGCACCCCCAAGAUAAUCUAAGUACACCUAAAAGCCAAAGCUUGGGGAUGCCCCGGAAGUCAUCCCCUCUUUCGUCUACUUCUAUCGGUAACUUUACUUGGAGCUAUAUUUUUAUUCGCCACAUGAUAUGUGUUUUGCUUGGAGCAUCUUGUAUUAUUUGACUCUUUAUUUGUUAGUUUACCACAAUCAUCCUUCCUGUACACACCUUUUUUAGAAUACUCUAUGUGCUUCGCUUAUAUCUUUUGAGUUAUAUAGUUUUGCUCUAGUACUUCACUUAUAUCUUUUAGAGCACGGUGGUGGAUUUGUUUUAUAAAAACUAUUGAUCUCUCAUGCUUCACUUAGAUUAUUUUGAGAUGCUUAAUAGCAUGGUAAUUUGCUUAAAAUCCUAAUAUGCUAGGUAUUCAAAGUUAGUAUAAUUUUCUUAAGAGUGUUUUGAAUACUAAGAGAAGUUUGAUGCUUGAUGAUUGUUUUGAGAUAUGGAGGUAAUAAUAUCAAAGUCGUGCUAGUUGAGUAGUUGUGAAAUUGAGAAAUACUUGUGUUGAAAUUUGCAUGUCCCGUAGCAUGCACAUAUGGUAAACGUUGUGUAACAAAUUUGAAACAUCAGGUGUUAUUUGAUUGUCUUCCUUAUGAGUGGCGGUCGGGGACGAGCGAUGGUCUUUUCCUACCAAUCUAUCCCCCUAGGAGCAUGCGCGUAGUACCGAGGUUUUUGAUCACUUGUAGAUUUUUGCAAUAAGUAUGUGAGUUCUUUAUGACUAAUGUUGAGUCCAUGAAUUAUACGCACUCUCACCCUUCCAUCCUUGCUAGCCUCUUCGGUACCGUGCAUUGCCCUUUCCCACAUUGAGUGUUGGAGCAAACUUCGCCGGUGCAUCCAAACCCCGUGAUAUGAUACGCUCUUUCACACAUAAACCUCCUUAUAUCUUCCUCAAAACAGCCACCAUACCUACCUAUUAUGGCAUUUCCAUAGCCAUUCCGACAUAUAUUGCCAUGCAACUUUCCACCAUUCCGUUCAUCAUGACACAUUCAUCAUUGUCAUAUUGCUUAGCAUAAUCAUGUUGUUGACAUAGUAUUUGUGGCAAGGCCACUGUUCAUAAUUCUUUCAUACAUGUCACUCUUGGUCCAUUGCAUAUCCCGGUACACCGCUGGAGGCAUUCAUAUAGAGUCAUACUUUGUUCUAGUAUCGAGUAGUAAUUAUUGAGUUGUAAAUAAAUAGAAGUGUGAUGAUCAUCAUUAAUAGAGCAUGGUCCCAAAGAGAGAAAAAAGGAAGGGCCAAAAAAGGCCAAAUAAAAAAUAUAAAAAAGGGGGGCAAUGCUACUAUCCUUUUUUCCACACUUGUGAUUCAAAGUAGCACUGUAAUCUUCAUGAUAGAGAGUAUCUUGAUUUGUCACUUUCAUAUACUAGUGGGAAUUUUUCAUUAUAGAACUUGGCUUGUAUAUUCCAACAAUGGGCCUCCUUAAGUGCCCUAGGUCUUCGUGAGCAAGCAAGUUGGAUGCACACCCACUUAGUUUCUUUUGUUGAGCUUUCAUACAUUUAUAGCUCUAGUGCAUCCGUUGCAUGGCAAUCCCUACUCCUUGCAUUAACAUCAAUCGAUGGGCAUCUCCAUAGCCCAUUGAUUAGCCUCGUUGAUGUGAGACUUUCUCCUUUUUGUCUUCUCCACAUAACUCCACUCAUUAUAUUCUAUUCCACCCAUAGUGUUAUGUCCAUGGCUUGCAAUCAUAUAUUGCGUGGAAGUUUAUAGGUUUGAGAUCACUAAAGUAUGAAACAAUUGCUUAGCUUGUCAUCGGGGUUGUGCAUGAUGAGAGCGUUGUUGUGUGACAAAAAUGAAGCAUGACUAAACUAUAUGAUUUUGUAGGGAUGAACUUUCUUUGGCCAUGUUAUUUUGAGAAGACAUAAUUGCUCAGUUAGUAUGCUUGAAGUAUUAUUAUUUUUAUGUCAAUAUGAACUUUUGUCUUGAAUCUUUCGGAUCUGAAUAUUCAUAUCACAAUUAAGAAGAAUUACAUUAAAAUCAUGCUAAGUAGCACUCUGCAUCAAAAAUUCUGUUUUUAUCAUUUACCUACUCGAGGACGAGCAGGAAUUAAGCUUGGGGAUGCUUGAUACGUCUCCAACGUAUCUAUAAUUUUUGAUUGCUCCAUGCUAUAUUAUCUACUGUUUUGGACAAUAUUGGGCUUUAUUAUCCACUUUUAUAUUAUUUUUGGGACUAACCUAUUAACCGGAGGCCCAGCCCAGGAUUGCUGUUUUUUGCCUAUUUUAGGGUUUCGAAGAAAAGGAAUAUCAAACGGAGUCCAAACGGAAUGAAACCUUCGGGAACGUGAUUUUCUCAACGAACAAGACCCAGGAGACUUGGACCCUCCGUCAAGACACAAAAGAGGAGGCCACGAGGUAGGGGGCGUGCCUACCCCCCGGGCGCGCCCUCCACCCUCGUGGGCCCCCUGUUGCUCCACCGACGUACUCCUUCCUCCUAUAUAUACCUACGUACCCCCAAAUGAUCAUAUACGGAGCCAAAACCCUAAUUACACCGCCGCAACAUUUUGUAUCCACGAGAUCCCAUCUUGGCGCCUGUUCCGGAGCUCCGCCGGAGGGGGCAUCGAUCAUGGAGGGCUUCUACAUCAACACCAUAGCCUCUCCGAUGAAGUGUGAGUAGUUGACCUCAGACCUACGGGUCCAUAGUUAUUACCUAGAUGGCUUCUUCUCUCUUUUUGGAUCUCAAUACAAUGUGCUCCCCCUCUCUUGUGGAGAACUAUUCGAUGUAAUCUUCUUUUUGUGGUGUGUUUGUUGAGACCGAUGAAUUUUGGGUUUAUGAUCAAGUCUAUCUAUGAAUAAUAUUUGAAUCUUCUCUGAAUUCUUUUAUGUAUGAUUGGUUAUCUUUGCAAGUCUCUUCGAAUUACCCGUUUGGUUUGGCCUACUAGAUUGAUCUUUCUUGCAAUGGGAGAAGUGCUUAGCUUUGGGUUCAAUCUUGCGGUGUCCUUUCCCAGUGACAGUAGGGGCAGCAAGGUACGUAUUGUAUUGUUGCCAUCGAGGACAACAAGAUGGGGUUUUCAUCAUAUUUUAUGAGUCUAUCCCUCUACAUCAUGUCAUCUUACUUAAGGCAUUAAUCUGUUUUUAACUUAAUACUCUAGAUGCAUGCUGGAUAGCGGUCGAUGAGUGGAGUAAUAGUAGUAGAUGCAGGCAGGAGUCGGUCUACUUGUCUCGGACGUGAUGCCUAUAUACAUGAUCAUACCUAGAUAAUCUCAUAACUAUGCUCAGUUCUGUCAAUUGCUCAAUAGUAAUUUGUUCACCCACCGUAGAAUACUUAUGCUCUUGAGAGAAGCCACUAGUGAAACCUAUGGCCCCCGGGUCUAUCUUUAUCAUAUUAAUCUCCUACUACUUAGUUAUUUCCUUUGCUUUUUUACUUUGCCUUUAUUUUACUUUGCAUCUUUAUCACAAAAAUAAAAAUAUCUUUAUCAUAUCUAUCAAAUCUCACUCUCGUAAGUGGCCGUGUAGGGAUUGACAACCCCUAUUCACGUUGGUUGCGAGGAUUUAUUUGUUUUGUGCAGGUACGAGGGACUGGCGCAUAGCCUCCUACUGGAUUGAUACCUUGGUUCUCAAAACCUAAGGGAAAUACUUACGCUACAUUGCUGCAUCAUCCCUCACUCUUCGGGGAAAACCAACGCAGUGCGCAAGAGGUAGCAAGGGUUCCUUUUUGUCGACGAUCUGAUGUUUCAACCUUGUUUUCCAGGCGGCCAACGCAUCGCUCAACUUGGUCAUGGCGUGUUUGUUUAUCUUCGUCAUUGCCAGGUCCUUAUCUGGAUCUUUAUUAUCCUUUUCAUUACGGUCCGGGAACAAGAAUAUCUGGUGCAGCUUCUUUAGGAGGGAGGGCCUCUGGUGCAGCUUCUAUAGUUUCCCAUCGUUGAUCAUGGCAGUUGUCCGUACAAUGCAACCUAUUUGAUUGCCGUAGCACGAUUGCGCUUCCUCGGGUGCUAUUGUCUCAAAAAUACCGUCGUCCAUCUCCGUGACCACCAGUCUAGUACUCAUGAGCUGGUUUAGGCGUCGUGGCCUCUUUGCUUUCGGUUCUAGACUAACUCCGCUAGUCUCGGCGCUGGUCUCAGUCUCAUCGCCGGUCUGCAUGUCGGUAUCAGUCCCUGAUGCGACAACACAGUCGCUGCAACAUGGGUAAGGGAGACCACAUCAGUGCUGGGGGGUCCGAAAAUCGGGACACACUUUCGCGCGUCGCGGGCCGCCUCUCAGACAGCUACUGGGGAGGCGGCGGAGUACCUGGGUGCGCCGCGAAUCCCCGGGAACUCGGUGACCAACUUCCUUCCCGUGUGGCGCAUGGAGACGACAGCGACCCCGGCGAAGAGUAGCUUAGCCGCGAGCUGCACAGCCUCGUCCACCUCCUAAGUUGGGACCUCCGCGCAAGCGUUGCGGGGCCGCCGCUCGGGUGGCUUCUGGAAGGCGGUUGUACAUGGGCACAGGGUGAAUCCCGACUAGAGCUGGCCAUUGGCGCGCGCAAGUAGACGACGACGUCCCCGACGAAGAGCUGCCCGGCCAGCUCGCCUCACUCUCCUUUGAUUAGAAAUGAAAGAUUGGGAAGAAGCAGACUUGAGCCUGCAGAGAAAGGAUAAGGUGACGAUGCAGUCUCCACUCGUUCGGGGCGACACGCGUACUGAAUGUAUGAGAAACGUGACGUGGCAGAGACCCCAAGAUACUCCCUCCAUUUAUUUUUAGUCUGCAUAUAAAGUUUGGUCAAAGUCAAGAUUUGUAAAUUUUAACUAACUUUAUAAUAAAAAAAUAUCAAUAUUCACAAUAUGAAAUCAAUAUUACCAGAUGCGUCAUGAAAUGUAUUUCCAUACUAUAAAGUUUUGGUAUUGUAGAGGCACUCUUCCAUAUAAUGAAGUUUAUAAUAUAUGUGCUUAUAUUGUACUACAAUUGUUUGAAUAGCUUAGCAUAUGUUCAGAUGUAUGAUAUCUGUAAUUUAAGCGCUUGAAUUUUACAUAUAAAUAUUUAUUAAUAAAUAUGUACCCCUAUAAUAGCUAGGCCGUGCAGUUGCACGGGUAGAUGACUAGUGAUUACAAUCUUGUUUGUGUGCAAGUCAAGCUUAUCUAGUUUACACGUAACAACUUGUAGAACAUUACAAAAUUUAUGCUUGCUAAUAACUUCUAGAACACUACAACACUUGACAUGUAAAAGGAAUUUGACGAGUCAUGGCCUACUAAAGCAAGUUACAUUACUAGUCUUAUCUAUCUUAACAGACCACACAAGAUUACAAACUAAGUACCGUGACAGCCAUACUUAUCUAGUUUAUGCGUAACAAUUUGCAGAAAAUUAGAAACUUAGUUUCAGAAAAAUACGCAAUCUAGAUUAGUGUUUGAGCUGUAAAGUGAAUAAGAUGAGUCAUGCAUGUUAUCACACCUUUUUGGUGGUGGAAUGAUAGUGCAACAACAAGGAACUUUAAUGACCAGUCCAAGAAUACACUUGUAAGUAGUGCCACCAAACAGAACAUUCCAAAUGAUGAUUUUUAGAAGCAUCCAAGCACUUUCCACACAAACAAAUGCCAAUUGUGAAAGAGAUCAUUCCAUGGCAGCUAUAAAUAGCCCCAUAGCAUGACGAUCAUCCUUCCUCAUCCAUCAUUCUCAUUAGUAGAGCGCAUCAUUUAAGCCAAGCAAGCUGUGGUCAAUACAAAUCCACCAUGAAGACCUUUCUCAUCCUUGCCCUCCUUGCUAUCGUGGCGACCACCGCCACAACUGCAGUUAGAGUUCCAGUGCCACAAUUGCAGCCACAAAAUCCAUCUCAGCAACAGCCACAAGAGCAAGUUCCAUUGGUACAACAACAACAAUUUCUAGGGCAGCAACAACCAUUUCCACCACAACAACCAUAUCCACAGCCGCAACCAUUUCCAUCACAACAACCAUAUCUGCAGCUGCAACCAUUUCCGCAGCCGCAACUACCAUAUUCGCAGCCACAACCAUUUCGACCACAACAACCAUAUCCACAACCGCAACCACAGUAUUCGCAACCACAAGAACCAAUUUCACAGCAGCAGCAACAACAACAACAACAACAACAAAUCCUUCAACAAAUUUUGCAACAACAACUGAUUCCAUGCAUGGAUGUUGUAUUGCAGCAACACAACAUAGCGCAUGGAAGAUCACAAGUUUUGCAACAAAGUACUUACCAGCUAUUGCAAGAAUUGUGUUGUCAGCACCUAUGGCAGAUCCCUGAGCAGUCGCAGUGCCAGGCCAUCCAAAAUGUUGUUCAUGCUAUUAUUCUGCAUCAACAACAAAAACAACAACAACAACCAUCGAGCCAGGUCUCCUUCCAACAGCCUCUGCAACAAUAUCCAUUAGGCCAGGGCUCCUUCCGGCCAUCUCAGCAAAACCCACAGGACCAGGGCUCUGUCCAGCCUCAACAACUGCCCCAGUUCGAGGAAAUAAGGAACCUAGCGCUACAGACGCUACCUGCAAUGUGCAAUGUCUACAUCCCUCCAUAUUGCACCAUCGCGCCAUUUGGCAUCUUCGGUACUAACUGAGAAGAAAAUAACUCUAGUACUAGAUAUAUGAAACACCGUUUUCUCAGUCCAUGGUUUGGUCAUUGUAGCGUUGAAAAAAUAAUGUGACAUGCA
rnacentral:lncRNA from 1 species